rnacentral:lncRNA from 1 species
UUUUUUUUUUUUUUUUUUUAUAUUAUUAUUUUGGAAUGCAUUUUGUUCUAGGUUAAUCUCUUGGUUUCCAUGGACAAGUCACCCGUUGCCUUAUGCCCAUGGGGAUUUCUUGACUUCUCUGCUACUUCUUCCAAAUUGAAUACUGCCACUGGUCAAUUAUCCGGACAACUUCCAAAAGCACGAACCUUUGCUGCCAUUGUCACAAAUGGUGUGGAAACUUCAGUUAAUUUAAGUCAACUUCCCUCUCCUACUGUUCGGGGAGAUGUGACUUAUGUUAAAAUCAGUGAGGACCUUUAUCAAGAACAAUUACGUUCAUGUCGAACAAACCUCAUUGGUAGGCUUUUGUUAAAAAAAGGAACGAUGCCGAUGAAGACUGAGCUUCUCAAGAGUGCUUUGGCUUCUUUAUGGAAGCUUCACAAUUCAUGGAAACUGGUACCUCUUGGCAAGGGCUAUUUUGAUCUUCACUUUUCCAGCGAAGAAGAUAUGAGAAGAGUGUGGGGUGGUGGAACCUGUACACUUCAAUUUGGUCUUUUUAGGCUGUCUCAAUGGCAACCAGAUUUCAAACCUGGUGAUGUCCUUCCCCAAACACAUGCUCAGGUAUGGAUCAAAAUAUAUGGCCUAAGUCAAGAGUAUUGGCACCCUCGCAUUCUUAUGGAAAUUGCUCGUGGGGUGGGUACCCCACUCCAGUUGGAUCAUGCUACACGUGAAAAGUUAUAUGGUUAUUAUGCUAGAAUUUUGGUCGAUGUGGAUCUUUCUGCUGAUUUGCCUUCGACUAUUAUGGUUGAGCGGGAACAACAUGGUUUUUCUGUUGAUAUUAUUUAUGAGAAUUUGCCACCAACCUGUGGUCAUUGUGGUGUAAUUGGCCAUAAUACAAACAAAUGCCGGCAUUUAAAGGGUAAUCAUUCUGAUGGGAUGCAUCCGCAUGUUGAGGCGCAUCGUCGUGGACGAUCACCAACUCGUCAAGUUUAUCGUCCAAAACCAUCGGCUAAGACUGUUUCUCCUCCAGGUGAUACUAUACACAUGGAACGUUCCCCUUCAGUUGAAAUUCUUCACAAUAAUCGUUCUACUGGACUUAAUAAUGAUAUGGGAGCCCCACUUUGUAGCUCUCUUGAGCAACGCCAUACUGAACAAGUCAAUGAUUUUGCGAAUCAAAUACUAAUGACUGUUGUGAAUAAUGAGCUAAGUGUGUUGGCUGACAAGGUCAUUGAUUCAUCAACAGAUCCUCAUGGUCACCUAGAGACAAUUUCAGAUAGACAGCUUCUAAAGGUACAACCAACCAAUAUUAUUAAUGAUUCCCCUUCUUGCAACUUGAAUGAUACUCUUUCAGAGGAGAUGAGAGAUGAGCCUUCGGAAGAAAUUAAUAUCGACCACAAUGUUGAUGUUGAUGUCCCACCUGGUUUUGGUUUGAGGAAAGAGAUCAAUGUUGUGGAUGCAGGGAAGGAUUCAAAUGACUUUACUCUAGUUCUUAGUAAAUCCCAGCAAAAGAAACAAAAGAAAAACCAAAAAGUUGAUGCAUGUAGGCAAGAAGAACCCUAUGUUACAAGGGCAGGAAGACAAGUUAUUUCUACCUCCAAAUGAAGCUAGUUUAUUGGAAUAUUCGCGGUAUUGGUAAUUCCGAUACACGUACGGAGCUUUCUAAUGUUUGCCACUCUCAUCAUCCUGACUUGGUUUGCAUCUCUGAACCUAUGGUUACUUUUGAUUCUAUUCCUUCUGCUUAUUGGAAUUCAUUAGGUCUCUCUUUACUUACUAUCAAUAACAGGGAUGAUUUAUUGCCUAAUAUUUGGGUUUUGUACUCUACGGACUAUUGUUCUCCUACUGUGAUUUCUUCUUCAGGGCAACAAGUUACUUUUCAGACUUCUUUUGAGGGUGUUCUUUCUCAGUUUACUAUUGUUUAUGCGGCUACUACCUCGACACUUCGUCGUGUUUUAUGGUGUGACCUCUUAAAUAUCCGUUCUAAUACUACAAUGCCGUGGAUGGCAAUUGGUGACUUUAAUGCUAUCCUUGGAGCGCAUGAGCAAAUGGGUGGUCACUUGCCUGCUCGAACUUCAUGUGAGGACUUUCGCAGUACUACUGAGCUUUGUGACUUUACUCAUAUGGAUACUACUGGUGCUUUUUACACUUGGACUAAUGGUUGGAAUGUCCGUGGUUAUAUGGAGAGGCGUCUUGACCGCUCUCUUUGUGACACACGUUGGUUACAUUCUUGGCCUUAUACUAGUUGUUGUGCUUUACCCAGGGUCGUUUCUGAUCAUAAUUGUCUAGUUUUCUCGGCUUCUGCUAUUCGUCUUGGAGGUCCGCGACCUUUUCGGUUUCAGUCCAUGUGGACUUUACAUUCAGAAUUUUCUGGUUUGGUUGCUAAGUGUUGGCAAUCAACUGUUGUCUAUGGGUGUCCCAUGUUUGUUAUGUUGGAAAAGCUUAAGGCCCUUAAGCGCUGUCUUCGAGUUUGGAACUCUACUGUUUUUGGCGAUGUCCAUAGAAAUGUCACUUUUGCUAAAGAAAGACUUCAGAAUAUCCAAAAUAGUAUUUCUUCUGAUGGGAAUUCGCAAGAGAAGUUUAAUGAGGAAGUUGUGGCUAAGACGGCUGUCCUCGAUGCUCUUCAGAUGCAAGAAGCUUUUUGGCAUGACCGUGCUCGAGUUAAAUGGCUCACUGAGGGUGAUCGUAAUACCGCUUUUUUCCAUGCUUAUGCUCGAGGUAGGCAUUCUUCCUCCAGGAUUGUAAAUCUUUUAGAUGGUGAAAAUGUACUCUCUUCACAUACUGCUAUUGUUGAUCAUGUGGUAAACUUUUAUCAGUCUUUAUAUAAUUCUUCGUUCACCCCAACUGGAAUUGAGGAUGUUUGUGGUGUAAUACCACCUAUGGUUAGUGAAGAGGAAAAUCUUUCUCUUUCUUGUUUACCUUCAGCAGAUGAAAUUAGAAGUGUUGUCUUUUCUAUGGAUCCUUCGAGUGCUCCGGGACCUGAUGGUUUUCCUGGUUCCUUUUAUCAGUCAUGCUGGGAUAUUGUUGGUUAGAUGUGAUUGCUUUUGUACAAGAUUUUUUUAAGCGUGGAUGGCUUUAUCCCAAUGCCAAUUGCAAUUUUGUGGUGCUUAUCCCUAAAGUAGAAGGUGUUGCCACAAUUGCUCAGUAUCGGCCCAUUGCUCUUGCUAACUUUCUGUUCAAAAUUAUCCCCAAGAUUCUUGCUGAUCGGCUCAGCCCAAUUGCCACUCGCAUUAUUUCUCCUCAACAAACGGCAUUUUUGAAAGGUAGACGUAUUUCUGAUUGCAUUGGGCUAGUUUCAGAAGGGUUCAAUUUUAUGGACAAAAAGGCUUUUGGAGGUAAUGUAGGCAUAAAAGUCGACAUCGCUAAAGCUUUUGAUACUUUGAACUGGGAUUUUCUUCUCCAUGUGCUUUCUAGUUUUGGUUUUUCUAGUAUCUUUGUGGAUUGGGUGCGGGUUUUAUUACAGUCAGCUCGCCUUUCAAUUCUGGUAAAUGGCACACCGCAUGGGUUUUUCUCUUGCUCCCGAGGGGUACGUCAGGGUGACCCUCUUCUCCACUUCUUUUUUGUCUAGCAGAGGAAGCUUUGAGUAGAGGUUUAUCUUCGCUUUUCUCUACUAGAAAGAUUACUUCUAUUUCAGCUCCGCGAGGUUGUUGCCCUCCUACUCAUGUGUUAUAUGCUGAUGAUCUUUUCAUUUUUUGUCGUGGGAAUGUUCGAUCUCUUUGUUCUCUUCGAAAUUUCUUGGAUAAGUAUGGUUGUGCAUCGGGGCAACUUGUUAAUGCAUCUAAGAGUACUUUUUAUCUUAGCUCUUCCUCAGCCCAUCGUAAAGCUCAUGUUUCUAGGCAUCUUGGCUUUCGUUUGGGUGUUGUUCCUUUCACUUAUCUUGGGGUACCCAUUUUUCGAGGUAAGCCAAAGAGAAUUCACUUUCAAGCUUUGGUAGACAAGGCUAAAGCUCGCCUCUCGGGUUGGAAAGGUAAACUUCUCUCAAUGGCUGGACGAUUUCAAUUGGUACAGUCUGUUUAUCAAAGCUUAUUUCUCCAUAGCUUCUCUGUUUAUCAAUUGCCAUCUUGCAUUUUAAAGCAUCUUUCUGCUUGCGCAAGGAAUUUUAUUUGGUCAGGGGAUUUAUCUUCCCGAAAAUUGGUAACAGUUGAUUGGAGUAUGGUGUGUGGACCUAAAAAAGAAGGUGGGCUUGGUCUUCGUGAUUUAGCUUCUUUGAAUUUAACGGCUUUGCUUAGUUUUGGAUGGGAUGCUUUACAAUCUUACUCUUUGUGGGGUUCUUUUGCUCGUCAGCGUUUUCCUCUUUCGCCUUACAGAAAUCAAAAUAUCUAUUUACGGUCUUCUGUGUGGCAUGGUUUGAAGCGUGCUUUGCCUAUUUUGAAUAAUAAUAGUCGUUGGAUUAUUGGUGAUGGGAGGUCAGUUUCCUUUUGGUUUGACAAAUGGUUGGAUGAGCCUAUUAUUAGUCCUUCUUUAUUUUCGGUCAUUUCACCUAAGGUUCUUCCUCGGGUUUCAGAUGUUAUUGAAGCACAAAGUUGGUCUUUGCCAGAUUAUUUUUCAAAUUUAUUCCCUUCAAUUGUGCAACAGAUUUUACGUCUACCUUUGCCUUUAAAUGCUAAGGAUGACAAAUUGAUUUGGGAGCCCUCACCUACUGGGAAGUUUUCUUUUUCUUCUGGUUAUCACCUUAUUCGAAGGAGACAUAGUGAUUGUGCUUGGGCUAAGGUUAUCUGGCAACAUUUUAUUCCGCCACGACUAUCUAUUUUGGCUUGGAGGCUUUUUUCAUGAUAAACUUCCUACAGAAGAUGCGUUACAACGACGUGGUAUUUCUUUGGCAUCCAUUUGUUGUUUAUGUCAUAAUUCUGAAGAAUCUACUGCUCAUCUUUUCUUUGGAUGUCGGAUAUCUAGGCAACUUUGGAGGUGGUUAGCAUGUCAAUUUGGUACAUCUUUACCUCUUCCAGAUUCUUUGGUUGCUUUUUGGGAUGUAUAUGUUCGUAAGCCAUUUUCCAAACAAUUGCACAAUCUAUGGAUUUUUGCGGGUCUUUCUACUAUUUCAGCUAUUUGGAAGGCUCGAAAUAAAUUUAUUUUUGAGGGUCGUCCAAUCUAUUUUCAUCGUCUUUGCAUGUCUAUUAAUUCGGCGAUUGUUCAUGGUGGGAAGUUUAUUCCUGGUUAUUCUCAGGGUUUUGACACUCGAAUAAUUUAUUCUUUGGGGAUCCAACCUAUCCCUCGCAAGGCUCCUACUAUUCUUCCUGUCCUUUGGUCUCCUCCUUGGUUUCCUUGGGUUAAGCUUAAUACAGAUGGUUUGUCUAAAGGAAAUCCCGGUCCUGCUGCAUGUGGAGGAGUUUUCAGGAAUUGCCAUGGUCGUUUUCUCGGAGGUUUCUGUCAACGGAUUGGUCAUUGCAACUCUUUUUUUGCAGAGUUAUCAGCAAUUAUUAUUGGUAUUGAGUUUGCUUAUCAGCGGGGUUGGCACUGUCUUUGGUUGGAAAGUGAUAGUUCUAGUGUUAUUUCUGCUCUUCAAUCAUCUGAUUUUGAUCCUCCUUGGCCUCUUCAUACGCAAUGGUCUAUUUGUUUGGAUCGCAUUCGGGAAAAUGACUUUCUACGCAUCUCACAUAUAUCGAGAAGGAAAUCUUGUUGCGGACAAUUUUGCUAACAUGGGCUUGUCUUCUCCAUCUUUAACAUGGCAUGAUUCUCCUCCGAUGGCGGUUCGUGCUACUCUGUUUUCUGACUAUGUUGGCUUGCCUGGUUACCGCUUUCUCAAAUUAAUGUGCAUGUCGGCAUCCAGGUUUGUCUCACUUUCCUUUUUUUCUCCUAUCUUUAUGGUGUUGUUUGAUUUGUUUUGCAGGUUUAGACCUUCAUGUUUGGUUCUAGAGGGGUUAGGUUUCAUGUCCCCCCCUCUUUCUUUGUAUCAUUCUCAUUUUUUGUUUCUAGAAGGGUAAGGUUUAUGUCCCCCCUUCUUUCUAGUGUAUUCCUUUUUGUUAUCUCUGUUUUUUGGAGGGGUAAGGUUUAUGUCCCCCCCUGACUAGGUGUACCUUGUUUUUUCGUUAUCAAUAAAAUUACCCUCGUACCGUCGAGGUUUUCCAAAAAAAAAAAAAAAAAAAAAAAAAAAAAAAAAAAAAAAAAAAAAAAAAAAAAAAAAAAGAAGUGGUAUAUUUGUAUACAAUAUCAACAUCAUCAAUAUCGUGCUUCUAAUUACAAUUUUAGGAAGUGAAAGAUUAGCAAGAGCCUAGCUAGUGGUUACCUCAGUAUGUUGUAAAUCUACGUCUGUAUUAAAUAAGCCUCAUCUUUAUCUGAUGCAACAAUACAAAAGGCGAAUUGGUAUUGAACUCUUUGUUGGAUGUAUGUCAACAAUCUGUGAUAAUUUAUUUAUGCUAAUAAAUAAUAAAUGCAAUAGGAAUUAACAGAAUAUAAACUAGAAUACGAAUUAUAAAAACAAACAACUUGAAGAUCGAGGCUUGCGUACCGCAAUGUCCUUGAAACAAAAAUUUCGUCUCUACUCUGUGCUUGUAGUUCUACGGACGUCUGCUUAACCAGGAUUCAACGAUCAAGUUAAAAUUCCAGCACCGGAAAAUUUAACUUCUGGCGAAUUUAGUGUGGUUCUCUCAGUAAGAAGGUUUAGGAAUGUAGAAGAUGAAGUUGAUUAUUUUCUGUGUUUUAGAUGCUAUGCAGAUGAAUGUAUAUAUAGCAGAUGGAUGCCUUUUUGUAACAGGUAUGAGAAUGGGGUGUAACUGUUGGGAGACAUCUCUUCAGAGGGGUGCUUUGCUCUGUGUUCAGAAAGAACUCUCAGACUUCAUCUGAAAGGAUGAGUCUUUUCAUAAAAAAUAAAUAAUUAAUUAAAUUCGAAUUUAAUUAAAAAAUAAUUAAUUAUAUAUUAAUUACCAAAUAAUUAAUACACCCCAAAGCCCAACCCCAAGGGUGAGCCCAAUUUUAGUCUCCAGGCCUAUUACUCCAAUCACUUUCUUUAAAGGACAAAGCCUUAUAAAGUGAUAAAAUCUUUUGGGAAUGGCCAAUGUGGGACAAGGAAAUUUCUACUCAAACUACUCAAAUUUCCAACAAUACCCCACAUUUGAGUUGAAAUUUCAUUCAAACUCCAACAAUAACAAUGACCCCACAUUUGAAUGCAAAUGUAAAUGCAAAUGUGUGACUAGGUUGCCUAAAACUGAGAGAGAAUAGUCAUGAUAUGCAUCGGGUGAAGUGUCUUUUGGACUUGAACUUACCCUAGUGAAAACAUAUCGGGUUUACUUGGUGAUGCAGUGGAUGUGGAAGAUCUUGAACUGUUCACCGCAGUAGUAAACCAAGACAAUAUGCUACACACAUAUCAUGGCUGCCACACGUCAAUUCAUACGGUUGUGUUCAUUUUGGCCCUGAACAGAUCCCGGAUUUCGUAGGAGCUUUAGAGAAUUUAGCCAUAUCAAUUCUCAUAAAUGUGGCCCCAUUUACUCCUAUAUAGGUGACAUUAGUUAAGAAUAGUCUGCUAUAUUCCUCUUGAUAACAAGAUAUUAAUGUCAUUAAAUGUAUAAAACAUAACCCCUCAAACGUCAACAGACAACACACAUUUUAUCAUAAGAAUGGGUAAGUUAUGUGUUCAACUUUUGAAUCAAACUCAACUAGUUUGCCUAUUGAACCUAGACUAUGGGAUCUCCAAUCAGCUAGGUUAGGUUUCCGGCCAGUUCAAUUCAUUGAAUUGGCUUAAGACCCAUUCCCCUCGAUGUAAAUAAUAUUUGCUCUCUUGGUAGGCCUUUUGUCAAAAGAUCAGCCAUAUUUUCCUUUGACUUCACAUAAUCAAUGGAUAUUAUUCCAUUGGAGAGCAUCUUCUUAAGAGUAUUGUGUCGACGUCUGAUGUGACGUGACUUCCCAUUGUAUACAUGACUUUUGGCCCUUGAUUGAGCGGCCAUACUAUCACAAUGUAUACAUAUAGCCGUUACCGGCUUUGGCCACAUUGGAAUAUCCUCCAGAAAAUUUUUGAGCCACUCGGCUUCUUCGCCAGCCAAGUCUAAAGCUAUAAACUCAUAUUCCAUGGUGGACCGACCUAUACAUUUCUGUUUAGAGGAUUUCCAAGAUAUUGCUGCACCUCCCAAGGUAAAAACAUAUCCACUUGUCGACUUGGAUUCUGUAGUGUCAGAAAUCCAAUUGGCAUCACUGAAGCCUUCUACAACAGGUGGAUAUUUUGUGUAGUGUAAUUCGUAGUCAAGUGUAUUUUUCAAAUACCUUAACACUCUUUUGACAAUUAAAUAUAUAUUAAUUAUAUAUUAAUUAUAAUUAAUUAUAUAUUAAUUACCAAAUAAUUAAUACACCCCAAAGCCCAACCCCAAGGGUGAGCCCAAUUUUAGUCUCCAGGCCUAUUACUCCAAUCACUUUCUUUAAAGGACAAAGCCUUAUAAAGUGAUAAAAUCUUUUGAGAAUGGCCAAUGUGGGACAAGGAAAUUUCUACUCAAACUACUCAAAUUUCCAACACUCUUCAUCCAUAAGAUUUAAAUUUAAGACAUAUCCUUAUAAGUAAAGAAGAAUACCAUUAAACGUAUUACUAGGUGGCCAUAAAGAGUCAUCUUUAAAUCAAAGAUCAAAUUAAAUAAGGUUGAUCUUUAAAAUAAGGGUGAACUGUUGAUUUAGUCCCUAAAUUAUCACCUCAAUACAAAUUUGGGUCAUGAAUUAUUUUUUUAGUAAAAUAAGUCCUUAAAUUCAUAAAAACUGCUAAUAUAAUCUCUAAUAUUAUAUUGGAGGCUUUUUUAUCAAAUUUUUCGUCAACUUAAGUCACAUGACACAUUUAGAGGAUAAUGUUGUUAUUUUCUUGCAUAUAAGACCUUAACAUUGCAUAUAGGUUGCGAAUAUAAUGUCUUAUUUACCCUCCAAAGUUAUUCCGUACACUAUUUCUUCUUCUUAAAAAAAAAAGGUCCUUAAACUAUGAAAAACUACCAAUCUACUCUUUAAGUGUAUCAUAUGUAAGUCACGUAACUUAAAUUAACGAAAAAUUGAAUAGAAUAGCUUCAAAUCUAAUGUUAAGGAUAUAAUUGGUGGAUUUGUACUAGUCUAGGGACUAUUUUUUUUUAAAAAAUAAUUUAGAGACCUUAUUUUUAUUUAAAUAACUAAAUCGGUAGUUUACCCUUAAAAUAAAGAUUAAAUUACAAAUGAAGAUGAAUACUUUUGGGCAUUUGAUAUCUUUGUUUUCUAAGCCUGCGUACCCUGGACUUUCUUUUGUUUGAUUUCAUUUAUUUGGGCCUUGCAAUUCUUUUCUCUUUCCAAAUGAGUUUUAUUGGGGCCUACAGAUUACUAAUAAUUUUUUAGUGCAUUCCACAUGCAUUCAAUUUUUAUCCACAAAUUUAUUAAGUUCAAUAACGUGACUUUCACGAUCAAAUUCUCGAGGUCAAUUUUAUAAAUCCACAAGUUGAAUGAAAUUGGGGAGAAAAAAACACGACCAUUUUCCCAUCAUCAUCUUAUUUACAUCAUAUUUAUCACAAUCGAAUCGGUCAAAUGAGUUCAUGAAUCAUCAACCCAUGAUAAGGCAUCUUAUUUUUGAAGAAAAUAAAAUGCCAACUAAUUACUAAUUCACAAAUGCCAAUUGAGUAUUUGCAUUCAGAAUAUGGCCUUAAGACUUGGGAUUGAAGGCACCAUAUUCCAAAGUAAAAUAUUUACCCAAAGUAAUUUUUUUUUGUCCAAAAUUUAUUUAACGUAAUUGGAAAUAGUCAAGUGAAUGAACAAACAUUCAAUAUCGGUGCAGUUCGAUGCUUCUAUUAUUUGAUGCAUGAUUUCUUCAAAUUCUCAGAACCAAAUAAAUGCACUGCAUUAUCUUUCCAUCUAUAUAGAUAUAGCCAUGCACCCUUCAAAUAGCUUACAAAACCAACCAGAUAAGCUAGCACUUCGGAUUAUCUGACUAAACCCGAAACACCUAAAACCAGAAGUUUGGACUAGAAAAUGGAAGCCAGUAAAGAAUCGAAUACUAAUACCCCGGUGGAAGAAAAUCAAAAUGCUGGGGUUGAGGAACGUGGCACCUGAUGGUGCUGGAGAAGCUAAAGCAGGAGGGAGUACUGGUACCGUACACAAAACAACGAAAGCACCCGAAAGAGAUGCUCAAUCUCCAAGGACAGCUUUGAGAGCAACCCUACUGCCUAUGUCAAAUAUUUGUGUAAAUAAACAACUCCUGCUACUGACUACUCGCUACUGCAUGAGAUGUUAAAAUUUACAUAGAAUAAAGAGUAGCAGUACUAGUCGUUGCCGUUGUGUCCCUAUCUAUGUUAAGUUAUUAAAAUUAUCAUUGUGGUUAAGCUUUCUGUUUCGUUAUUUACACUGUUAUACUUCGAUGAUGAGUAAAACUGAAAAUUAUGGGUUUUAGUUCUCCUUGUUUUAUGUCGAUAUCCAUCCAUUCUUCAUAAGCAAUUCUUGCUCAUCUUACGAAGUUAGCAUUGUUGGGACAGAUGUUUACAAUUGUAAGAUAAAAGCUUUGGAUUAUUUAAAAAUGCUGCAAACAAAGGAGAACAAUUGUCUCGAAAAGCUUAAAUUACAACGGAUUAACAUAGUUGUGUUGAGUCUGUUGACGUUAAUUGAUAGUAGAUGGAAGAUUGCUCAGUCUAAAAAUACCAGAUAAGAUAAGUGCACAAAAAGCUUGCUCCUGCUAGUAACUAGUCUUGGUGCUUGAUCGAAUCCACCUAGUGCAAGAAUCAUGGAAAUUCUGGUCUUUGCAGUUCAAAGUGAGUGCAGCAUUACCUGAACUCCAUGUUGUGGACGACAUGUCAGAUAAUGCAAGGGCGAGUGGAUGUAACCUGGAGACAGGGUGAAGGAGAAACGCUGUAGAAUCAUCGACAGCGCAAUCUUUGCUUCGGUGGUUGCAAAAUUCAAGCCCACACACGUUCGAGGUCCCAGUCCAAAGGGUAUGAAUACACCUACGUUAUUGUUAGUUGCUUUUGCAACCCCUUCCGAGAAUCUGUCUGGUUUGAAAAGUUGUACAUCUUUCCCCCAGAUUUGAGGAUCAUGGUGAAUUGCUAUGGUCGAGAUAACUAAAUCAACAUUAGCAGGAACAAUGAGCUGUCCAAGUCUAACUUCCCUUUCAACUUUCCUUGUAAUUGAAACGGGAGGGGUAUAUAACCUUAGAGACUCAUUGAUGAUCAUACUCAUCUGCGUGAAAAUUGAUAUAGACAAUAAAUCAGGAAUUGAAGCUUAAUCGAAGACAUGAUUCUUCCACUUAGACAAACAUGUGGUUGCGUUCUUGAUUUUCUUACCCUUUUCAUUUUUGCAAUGCCAUCGUGAUUCGGAGUUUGGUUACCAAAUAACUGUAUGACUUCCUUUCUUGCUUCCUCUUGCCAAUCCGUAUGGAGUGCCAGAAGAAACACAGUCCAAGCGAGCAAAGUAUUAGCGGUUUCCUGUCCAGCAAAGUAAAAGGUCUUGCACUCGUCGACCAAAUCAUCCACUGAAAUCCUCUGGUCGUCAUUGGAAUCAUGAUAAGCCUUUAAAAGUAAUCCAAGAAAAUCACUUCCGAAGCUGUCUUCUCCUCCGGUCAUAGCCUUCUCUUCUCUUUUCUUAACAAUCUCUACUAUGGAGGCAUGUACUGCUUUCUCAAGUUUUUCUGCUUCAAUCUCAUCUCUAGUUUUCAAAAACUUACUGCAUAUUGAAUGACAGACUACAGAUAAGGACAGAAGCAAUCAUCCGAAAAUCAAGUUGUGAGAACAGCUUAGACAUGAUUAUGUGCUAGUUAACAUCGCAAGGAACAGAAUGUAUUGUCCCGUAUUCAAUUUUUAAUGCUGUUCCAGCAGCAGACUCUAGCAAAUUGAAAGUUCCAAUUGAUCAAUCAAAGAUCAUUUGAUACAAUAAACAUCGAAGAUUUAAAACCCACUAACCAAUCAAUCAGAGAUUCAAUAACUAAAGAGAAGUGACUAAAUGGAUAUCCUUUCAAUUAAAAGGAAAUUACCUGAUGCCGGGAAUUCUGAUUGUGAGAGCAUUUUUGAAUAUCAGGAAGCCGAUAUUAUUCAACAUCUCGAAAAUAUUCUUUCCUUCAAUAUAGCUGCUUCCAAACGCCGUUCUUGAAAUCACUUCUGAACUGAACAGCUUAAGCUCUCCAAAUACCUCAAUCUCUUUUCCAUCAUAAUCUUUCCACCUUUCAAGCAUUGUCUCGGCACUCGCGACCAUUUCCGAAAACAUGCUCUAGUAAAACAAUGACAUCAUCACAUCAUCAAAUUCACCUAAAAUCCCUCCUUUUCCUAUUCAAAUACUUAACACCACAGUACAAUUAGCAGCAAAAACUUACUUUUAAGCUCUCUCCAUGGAAGGCAUGGUUCGCGAUCUUUCGCAGUUUCCCCCAUUUUUCACCCUCGGUCGUUGAGACAAGCCCAUCCCCCAACAGCUUCCUCACAAAGCCCUGGACCUCUCUUUUCGGAUACGCUCUAUCUUUGUUAUUCAGUAUCUCCUUGCACAACUCAGGCUCCGUUAUCACAAACUGAGCCCGAGUACCGUGCCACUGUAGAUAAUUCUUCCCUGUAAGCAAUUCCAUACAAAUAUCACCAAAAAUAAUCUCGAACCAAAAUAUCAAACAAAAAAAAAAAAAAAACAAUAGUUUACGAAAAUUAAGGUCGUUCUGUUUUUCGUUACCAUAAAUCAUGAUCCAAGAGUGCAUGUGCGGUUGAACAACGGAAAGUAUGUCGUGGGAUAAAUCCUUCGGCUUGCUCAUGGCUUCUUUUCUCAUGGUGGCGAUUUGUUUGGUGUUUCCAUGGAUGAAUCUGUAAGGAGGGCCUCUGAUACCCUGCGACGCCAUCAACUUCGAGAUUCGAGUGGGAGUCCACCAUAGCUUGUGAAGGACCUUCACCAGAACGGAGACGAGAACCACACACAGAAGGCUUGAGAGAGUGACUGCCACCCCUCCCACUGCCAGAGUGACCAUUUUUGGUACUGGCUUUCUCUUCUCUGAAGCUGCUGAGUUUUCACUUCGGCUUUGUUGUUUAUUAACGUGUUGUGUGCAGAAAGGUAAGAUAAUUAAAAUGUCCGUUUGACCCUACUUGAUUGUUACUUUUGCUUCUCGUACUACUGCCAUUUAAUGCGACCUGAAGGGCAAAUAUUGUCAUCCGUGCUGACUUAUUAGAAUGUUAGGCUGCCAUCUGCCAGCUUUUCAAAUUAAUUCUUCAACAAUAAAGUCAUACAACCCCGCAUCUGAUAGUUUAUUUCUUAUGCCGGUCCCCAGUCCGAAUAAAAAAGAAGGGAGAAGGCGUAAAUUAGUUGACAACCAUUACUCUAUUCUUACAUCGAAUCUUAAUAAUACUGAAUCUUUUUAUUAAGAUUCUUAGCUGGAAUAGCUCAUUUUACAAAGAGUAAUGCCAAGUAAACAAAAUUUGCGUCAUUUAGUACUACGGUUUAAUGAUAUUUCUCUUCAUUUGUAAAUGAGUGGUCUUAAUUUCGAUUCUAGUCAAAGGCGAGUUUGAACAACAUUAUUGCUAACCUAUUAGGAGGCUAAACCCAUCUUCUCCUCUUAAAGUAGAUAAUAUCAAUUGUUUAAAAAAAAAUCUAAAUUUGCAAACUAAAUAUAAUAAACCUAUUUCUAAAAGAUAAUUUGGAAUGACCACUAACUAUUGAUUAAUUGCACAUCAACUUAUUUCCUUCCUCCUCCCACAAAUUAAAAAAAAAAAAGCCCUUCUCUGUCUGAAAAUGCGGCCUUUAUAGCUUCUGCAAUUCCGGCGACUUCUCCUCCGCUACCUUUCCACUUCCUUUUCAUCCCCAUCAGAACGAUGGUGAUGGUGCAACUGGGUUGAAAACCCCAUCGGGAGGAAUGAAUCCGAGAGAGAGAAUGGUGGUGAAUUGAUCGAUUCGAUCACUGCAAUUUCUGUGAGGAGGAGAUUUGCAGAUGGUAGCCUUGAAUAAUUGAAUUCAAGCUCAACUUCUGCUAUUAAACCCCCACACCAACUUAAAAAAAAUUGUGAAUUUUAAUUGUAGGAGGAAGUUGUGGAAUCUUGUGAAUUUAAAAAAAAAAAUUCUGACAUUAUGAUCAGUUAGAGUUAAUGAAUGACAAUAAUAAUGACAACGUGAUAUGUAACUCCAAUAAUUCAAUAUUGAUAUUCCAAUUAAAAUGAAUUCGAAAAUGAAGUGGUAUAUAUUUAUAUUAAUUUGUUUAUUCGAGAUCAACAUCAUCAGUUUCGUGCUUCUACGUAAAAGUAAAAGAUAUUCAACGUCCAUUCAAUAGAGAAUUUUUUGUUGUGACGGGAACACGGAUUGUACAUUAUGAGUUUCUCUGUAAGUGAUGGGAAAUUUUACUUAAGUUAUAACUUUUUAACACACAUAUCUCACUAUUUAUAUAGUGAUACUUAGUGUACCAUCUCGUGUACCAAUCACACAGAAAAAUCUCUCCAUUCAAUAAGGCUCUUCCUCGUUAGACAUGAACAAUACUUAGAGAUAAACCAACUUAUCGUUAGACAAGAAAAAACAUGAUUUGAUUUGAGAGUCAACCUCGAUUGUAUCAGGUAAUCUUGUCGACCAAGACCAGGACACACCAGUUCCAACAAGACCCCCAAUGUAUGGCCAGCUCAGGCAAACAACCAGCAAUUGAAAUUAGGUGCGCGCUGAGGACGGAACUCGAAUGAAAGAAAAGACAUAAGAAAAACUUAAACAAGUGGUACAGUGUAGAAUUACAAUUAAUUGUAUUAAAAAUUGGAAAAUAGUACAAUGUAUAGUGUCAUAUUAAUGACUAUUGAGGGACAAAAUCGUACAAUGCAUAGGGUCAUAUUAAUGACUAUUGAGGGACAAAUCUUACACUAGUUACAAUUGAAAGUAUCGUAAUAUUACGAUUUAAUGAUAUUUAUCUUUACAUGUAAAUGAGAGGCCUUAUGUUUAAUUCUCAUCAAAUGCGAAGUUGAGCCACAUUAUUAUGACAAGCCCUUGUAAGGCUUAACCUACUCAUCUACUCUUUUAGUGUAAAUAUUAUCAUUUAUUCAAAAAAACAAAAUUACAUUCCUAUAUUACAUGCUACAAUUACGAAAAAUAUUCAAGAUUAAUUAAUUAUUUUCUAACAAUCAUUCAUUAAUUGAAGCGGAAAAUGUUUAAUUAUAUGAUAACAUGCUAGAAGUCAUAAGAAACCAACCGUAGGGCUCCCAUUUCCUUUGGCACAGAACCCCUCCCCAAGUAACCUGCUUUCGCCGUCAACUCCUUCCUCUCUGGUUAGGGUUGGCAGGUAACCCCCUUCUCUUCCUCCUUGUCCUUCUCCUCUCUAGCUCACUACCCCUAUUACACCCCACCCCUGUUUUUGUUUUAAAAAUUAUUUUGGGGUCUUAUUUUGUGUGCCCCCGGCCCCAAUCUCUCUUCAUCAUCUCUUUCUCUCUCUUUUCCCUAACUUUCUCCUCUUUACCUGUGCUCUCUCUUUGCAUUUCUCCAUUUGUCCGAGCACCACCCCUACACACCCAUAACUACAAACGACGACAACACCACCCUCUAAUCCAACUUUCUCUCCUUCUCACCACAGUGCAAACAUUUCAUCGAUGAGUUAUCGUUGUUUUCGAAGAAGGUAGGUCGAAACACCCUUCCAUCUUUCUCCCUAGUAGUCUAGAAGGAUUCAUGGUUGUUAUAAUGUGAUUUUGGUGAAGGUUUGGAUAUGAAAACACUUCAAGAUGGCCUUUCCCAGUUUCCGGAGGACACCCGUGGCUUCCAGGUGGUUUUUCGGCCAACUCCGGGCACGAUGACAAGAACCAAGGGUAUAUUUUCAUUCCUUACCUUUGGGGCUUCAAUUUGGUAUAUUAAAUCGCAUGCUUUGGUUAAGUUUUGAGCUCCAUUGGAGCUCAAGGAAUGUCCGGCCGAAUUCCGGCCAAAUGGGUUCGGCGACCCACAAUUGGAACUCAGGCCUGGCUUUCAAGCCCCAAAACCCCUUUGAACUAGGCCUUUGGGCCUAGGACCUUUCAGCCCAAACUCUCCAACCCAACCUAAACCUUUUAUUUUUAUUUUGUUUAUUUUGUUUUAAAACCCAAAGGAAUAGGCUCGGCCGGGCCUUCAAGCCUAGCCCAUUUGAGAACCCUAGUGAGAAAGGCCUUUGGGCCACUGAACCAGCCCAAGACCUGAGCUUUCAAGCCCAAACCUAAUAUAACCCAACCCUAAAACCCAUUUUAAAUUAGAAACCCGUAACCCAUUAACCCACUAUCCUAAGCCCAACCUACCUAAACCUAAACCUAACCCAAGUCCAAACCCUAAACCCUAACUGGCCCAAACCCUUUAUGGGGAAUAUCCACUAGGGAAUAUUUCGUCAGGGAAUAUUCUUUGUGUUGACUUUUACGAAAUUUAACCGAGACCUUACUUAGUGUAAUUCGACAUCUUGAAUUCAUUUCCGACGUUCGUUUUCCCAAAUUCAAUUGUUAUAAUAGAGUUUUAUUAAUUGGACCCUUUAUGUACAAUUAUUUGUGACGAUUCCAUGUUCGAUAGUUUGCGUGGCUCUUCGGCGGCUAAGUAUCUGUGAGUGGACCCCUUCUAAAAAUGAAUGUUUUAAUAGUAUAAAUGCAUACAAGAAAAUCAUGAUUUAAUGAUUAUGUUUUAUGAAACAUUUUAUGAGAUAACAUGCUUAUUGAGGCUAGUUUGAAUUAUUACUAUUUUUCCUAUAACCCGUGUUCUUUAUAGAAUAUUUGAUGGACGAUGAUAUGAUAUUUAGAACAUGUUUUGAACACCUCUUUAUAGUAUAGAUGAUGGAUGACUUUAUACUAUGAAGUUGCUUUUCAAAUAAAUGUAUGUUCAAUGGUUUUGUACUUACCUAGUGGUCCCAAUUCCGUUACGGGGUGAGGGAUAUAUUAUGUCCUGGACGACGGUUACGGUGUUGGCAUAGGGCCUGAAGAUGGUUUUCCUCUAGCAAUUAGCACAGAGACGGGGAGCUGGCUUGGGGCCUGGGGGUGAUUUUCCUCUGGCAAUUGGCAUAGAGACGAGGAGCUGGCAUGGGGCCUGGAGGGAUAUUGGACAUUCACUAGUGAUUAUGAUAUAUAUGAGUUAUGAUUUGAGACAUUGCACGACAUGCUAGGUUUCGGAAAACCUAUUUUUAUCAUGCUAUAUGAGUUUUCAUAAAACCUGGGGAUUAGUAUGUUGAUAACUUUUUUAUUUUAUAUAUAUAUAUAUAUAUCAACUUGGUCCACUCAUGUUUGUUUUGCGCCAUUUUCAGGACUUAGAAUCGAGGCAUACAAUCCCGGCGUCAAGGCACUUCCGCAUCAGCAUCUUCGAAUCCUCUCGGUGUAGGAUCCAUCCUUUGUUUCAUUCAAUUUUAUAUUAUUUCUUUUAAUCUUCUAAUUAGUUGUAUACUCUGAAUACGUUCCUUAAAUGCAUAUUCAUUAUUCUUUUAUAUUUAUAAGUCUUAUCUAUCUCUUGUUCUCAGCUUUUGCACUCAAUAAAUGGUUUUCGUCACCCUCGAGUGUCAGCCAGCACGUGCCUAUCCUGGUAUUUGGGGAAUAUCGGGAUCGGGGCGUGUCAACCCCUCCCUCGAAACCUCUUCCAUCCCUCCAAUCUGGUAUUCCCCCCAACUUACUUAUUCGCAACCCCUUUCUCUUCACUUCAAUAAGUUUCUUAGUUUUGUUCUAUUCCUUGUUUUUGAUAACCCUCUUAAUAUCUAGUUUCCUUGAGCUUGUGUCAACCUCCCUGAGCUUGUCACAAAUCUGGGCUUUUAUGCCCAUUUCUUUCUCCUUUGCUUCUCCUCGUUAUUAGUUCUUCACCACCGACCUUUGCUACUCGGCCCAUCGCUUGCCUCCCAUUGGCCACGUAUUUUGGUAUUUGGUGGUUGUUAAAGUGUUUUAGCACUAAUUGGUAAGAUUAUGGCGAGCGCUUUUUGCGCGGGUGGCUCACUCACCUCCAUUUUCAGUUCAUCCAGAUUGUUUGUGGGUUUUUUUAUUGGUGAUGGCGGCGGGUUGGCGAUGGUGGUGCAACUGUUGUGGCGGAGGCAACAAUCUUUCAGAUCUAAAGUUUUGUUUUUUGUGGGCUUGCUCUUUUUGAGCAUUUAUGUUGUAUUUUCUUUUAGGCUAUGUUUGUAUUUGAACUACCUUUGGACUUUCUAUUUCAUAUAAUAGCUUUUUCAACUAAUAAAAGUUUCUAAUUUGGCAAAAAAAAAAUCCGACUUAAAAGAAACAAAACUUAAAAAAAAGGAAACGGAUGCCUUUUUUAUUUAUGUUGCAGUGCUCAUAUUAGGCUGCUUACAGUCCUGACGCCCUAGUGCAGAAUUCAUGGGCAGUUCACAAGGGAGUGUACAACUACUUUUAUGACGUUCAAGAUUUCUUUAUUAUACUUAUUGUAUUUAUCAAAGGCACCAAUGUGUGGGUACUUCAGAUACCCCAAAUGCAAGAACCAUGAGAAACUCUGCUCUUCGCCGUUCAAAGCGAGUGUAAAAUCACCUGAACUCCAUGAUAUGGACGAACAGUAACAUAAUGCAAGGGCAAGUGGACGUAAGACGGGGAAAGGGUGAAGGAAUAGCGUUGAAGAAUCAUCGACAGAGCAAUCUUCGCUUCAGUUGUCGAGAAAUUCAAGCCCACACAAGUUCGAGGUCCCAGUCCAAAGGGUAUGAAUGCACCUACAUUAUUGUUAGUUGCUUUUAAAACCCCUUCUGAGAAUCUGUCUGGUUUGAAAAGGUGGACAUCUUUCCCCCAGAUUUGAGGAUCAUGGUGAAGUGCAAUGGUCGAGAUAACCAAUUCAAGAUUAGCAGGAACGAUGAGCUUUCCCAGUUUCACUUCCUUUUCAACUUUCCUUGUAAGGUAAACCGGAGGGGUAUAUAGCCUCAAACACUCAUUGAUGAUCAUGUUCAUCUGUAUAGAAAUGGAAAAUUGAUAACAUAAUCAAUUUUCAAACAUGUUGUAACAGAGCAAAGAAAAAAAAAAGAGUUCUUGAUAUUCUUACAGUUCUCAUUUUGGCAAUGCCGUCAUGAUUUGGAGUUUGUUUGCCAAAUAAUUGUAUGACCUCCUUCCUUGCUUCCUCUUGCCAAUCCGUAUUAAGUGCCAGAAGAAAGACGGUCCAACCAAGUAAAGUAUUAGUGGUUUCUUGUCCAGCAAAGUAAAACGUCUUGCACUCAUCAAUUAACUCAUCCACCGAAAUCCUCUGGUUGUCAUCGGCACUCUGACAAGCCUUCAAAAGUAAUCCAAGAAAAUCACUUCCAAAAUUGUCUUUUUCUUUGGUCCCUGCCUUGUUUUCUCUUUUCUUGACGAUCUCUAUUAUGGUGGCGUGUACUUCUUUCUCGAGUUUAUCUGAUUCGAUCUCAUCGCUGGUUUUGAAGAACUUACUGCAUUAAAUGAAAAGACUACCCAUGAGGACCGAAGUGAUUGUCAACAAAUCUUGUGGUGAAUAUUGAGUAGAUCACCGUUGCAUAGCAGAUGGGCAAACGAAAAAGAAUAAUAGGGAUUACCUGAUGCCAGGAACUCUGACCUUGAAAGCAUUUUUGAAUAGUAUGGAGCCUAACUUCAUCAACAUCUCAAAAAUGUUCUUUCCUUCUAUAUAGCUGCUGCCAAAUGCCGUUCUAGAAAUGACUUCCGAAGUGAACAAUCUAAACUCUUCAUACACCUCAAUCUCUUUUCCUUCAAAAAAUUUCCACCUUUCUAGCAUUGCCUCGGCACUAGCUACCAUUUCCGGAAUCAUACUCUAUUGAAACAAUACCAUCAUGAUAUUAGCAGAUUCACCUUCAGUUUAUUACACUAAAGUACAAGCAACCUUGAAGACUUACUUUUAAAGUCUCUCCAUGGAAGGCAUGGGUGGCCAGUUUCCGCAAUUUUCCCCAUUUUUCAGCUUCGGUUGUUGUCACUAGGCCGUCUCCCAAUAGCUUAUUCACAAAGUUUGGGGUAUCUGUUUUCGGAUAAGCUCUAUUUUUGUUAUUCAGUAUCUCUUUGCACAACUCGGGUUCCGUAAUGACCAACUGAGCCUUAGAACCAUGCCAUUGAAGAUAAUUCUUCCCUGUAAUUAGUAUGUAAACAAUGAUCAAAAUUUGUCACGGAAUUAAGAUUAAAAAACAAUAGUAGUCAACCUAAAAUCGCGAGAGUUCACUUGUCACCAUAUAUCUUGAUCCAUGAGUGCGUGUGAGGUUGGACAACAGAAAGUAUGUCGUGUGAUAAAAUCUGUGGCCUUCCCAUGACUUCCUUUCUCAUGUCAGAGAUUUCUUUGGUGUUUCCAUGGAUAAGUCGGUAAGGAGGGCCUCGGAUCCCCUGUGAAGCCAUCAACUUCCGAAUGCGAGUCGGAGUCCACCAUAUCUUGUGAAGGAUCUUGAUUAGCCCUAAGAUAAGAAACAGACACAGAAAGCUUGGGAAUAUGAUUACUAAACCUCCGAAAGAACCCAUUUUUUCGUAUUUCUUUUUGAGUUGGAGUCCGUCGUUCUGAAGUUUUUUCUGCUCUUUAUAUUGUAACACAAAUUAACAAGAUGCUGCUGAUGGUAUUUAUCUAGUGAGUGUCACUUACUUAUCUUGCUAGUUACUAAAAUCCAAGGGGCAAACAUCAUCAUCAAUACAUUGGCUUGAAACCUUAAGCUGCUAUUUGUCGACUUUCGAUAUGUCACUUUGGAAUUAUCUCCUGAAUUUGUCACCAAAUACGUUUACCGUACUAUUAAUUUGUUUCCCUACCCUCUCUUUCACCACAUUUUUCUAGUUUCCUUGAUGAGCUUUCGCAAGCCUAAAAUUUCUUCGUAAAAUUAGUGUCUGUGUCCUUGUCACAGACUGCAGCUGGCAUAACAAAUUAUGUCCAUCGUUUUCUACGACUUUUGGAUGGAUAUGGUUGUGACUUGUAAUAAGUUGGCUUUUCUAAAUUUUGAAAGACAUGAACCUUAAGCUGCCAUUUCUUGACUCCGCUGUGAAACUUCUAUAUCUACGGGACAAAAGUAGGUCGCUCAAUGUCAUGGGAAGUUAAAGGACCCUGCAUGUGAUUACAAGGAGUCGAACUUGGGGUGUUCGUCAGUUUUUAACUGAUGAGAUUCUGCGAAUUCACGUCCGAUCUAAACAUGGAUGUGCAUAAUAUCUAAAGAAUGAAUGGACAAAAUAAGAAAGAAAUGCAGAUAAAAUUUAUGAAAAAAAAAAGGGAAAAAGAGUGGGUUGGGUGGUGUUACUUGCUGCUUACACAGAAAAAAAAAAGGCUACAAGCCUUCAACUUUCCAUUGUAGCACCCUUCACAGAAACCUGAAACCUACCUUCCUUCCUAGCCCUGAGAACUGGGUCUCUCCAAAUUCUUCUUGUCAAAUUUUGUGGUGUCUUCGGAGCUGUUUAUUAGAUUUGGGCUUGUAUGGAUUUACACUUGGGCUUAGCAUCAGUUAGGCUUAGUUGCUGCUUUGGGUUGGGUGCAGAGUGAAGUCACCCAUAGGCAAGCACUCUUAACUAACUGAGUAUAUUUAGGGGAGGAAAUCGAACUGGGUGCAUAGGUAAGUACUCUUAGGGUGCGUUUGGUACGUGGGACGGGACGGGACGGAACGGGACAAGGCGUUCCGUCCCGCGUUUGGUGCGCCAAAAAUGGGUGGAACGGGCUGUUCCACGGGACAGAUUUUGAGUGUUUUUGCGUUCCACCUCCCCCCUGGAACGGGUUUGUUCCACGUCUGUGGAACACAAUGUUUUACCAUUUUAAGACAAAUAUAUCCCAUGUCUUUUUCAAAAAUUACACCUUCAUUCCGUCCCGUCCUGUCCCGUCCCGUCCUGUUCCGUUCCGUCCCGUCCCGUCCCGUCUGCGUACCAAACGCACCCUUAGCUAACUGAGUCACUUGAAAGUGAGAGGUCCUAAGUUCGAUUCUCGUCAAAGACAAGUUUAAACCAUAUUAUUACUAGCUAAUUGUGAAGCUAAGCUCACACUUCCCUCUUAGUGUAAAUAAUAUCGUUUGUUAAAAUUAAAAAAAAAAAAAAAAAAAAAAAAAAACACUAACUGAGUCACAAAUCUCUGUCCACCGUUUCUUAUGUUGUAAAAUGUGUCAUUUUAUAUAAAUAAAUGAAUCAAGCAAAUGUGUACAUAAAUCAUUGUUAUGUCAUUUGCCAUUUAUGGGCCCGUUUGAGUCUUUUUAUUUUUAUUUUUUAUGAAGCACUUGUGCUCAUAAGCGUUUUAUCUAGAAGUGUUUUUAUAAGAAAUGCAUUGAACUUUUUUAUUAAAAAUUUAAGUACAUUCGAAAAAAGAAAAAAAAAACAAUUGUGAAAACUUUAUAAAGAAGCAUAACAAAGUACUACUUGAGAAAAUGCUUCAAUGAUUUAAAAACAUUUAAGUUUUUCUGUCAAAUACAUUAAUGUUUUUAUUUAUCAGAUUGCACUACUAGUCCAUCCAAAGGCAAUCUUGAACAUAUUUUUUUUUUUAGAGGUAGUGCUAUCAACACAUUCAUUUUUACUUCUCACAUAAUCUUCUCAAAUUUCAGCCGUCAAAUCGAAUAAUUUGAACAAGAUCAUGACAAAAAAUUAACAAGGAAGUGAAGAAGAUAAAAAUGAGUGUGUGAAUAACACUAUUUUUUUUAUAAUUAUUGGUAAGAAAAAGGCAUUUCAAAGGAGGAGUCUUUGUAUUACGUGUUCAAGCUUCGUAUUAUGCAUUUCUUGUUGGGAAAUGGCAGACUUUAACUUUUAAUACUACCGUCCUUUAUUAUCCUUCAUUUUCAAGCUUUGACUUCAUGUUCCAACGUACUCUAACACUUCCGAUGCUUGAAUUAAUCUUCCCAGAAUCAAAUCUUUAAAUUAGUGCAUUAUAUAUAUGGCCAUGCACCCUUCAUGCAAGUCAUAAAAUCAACAAAAGGCAAAAGAAAAGUAAAAGCAGUUUGUACUAGAAAAUGGGAGGCAGCAAGGGCUCUGGAGGGAAUCAAAAUGCUGGGUCUGGGGGGGGUAACAAAUCCUCCGGUGGAGCAACUGGUGGCAGUGGCGGUGGCGGUGGCGGAGGAGCCAAAGCAGCGGGAGGGACGGGGGCUUCUAUGAAAGCGCCAGGAAGAGAUUAUACGAUCUCGAGAGACAGCUUUGAGAGUAACCCUGCUGCCUACUUCAAAGAUCUGCGCAAAUAAAAAAAUCUACUAUUUCUCACUAAUGGCUGAGACAUUAGGACUUAUAUAUGAUAAAUAAGGAGCAGUAGUAAUUAGUACUGUGCUUCUGUUGAACUGCUUAUCCAUAUGUAUUCUCCCUACCUAUCCUAAUGCAGUUACUAGUUACAUAUUAUGUUUAAGCUUUGUGUCUUUAAUUAAGUAUAGUUUACCAUUGAUGAUACACAGCGGUUACUCUAAAGUCUAAACACAUACCAAUGAGUUCGAUAGCUAGAAAAAGUUGAAAUGAUAACGGAUAGACACAAUUUCAUUAGUUGCACUGAAUAGCAAAUCCGAAAGGCAUCAAUUUCCCGGCAAUGCCAGCCUUCACAGUUCAAAGUGAAUGUAGCAUUACCUGAAUUCUAUGUUGUGGCCGCAGUGUCAAAUAAAGAAAGGGCAAGUGGACAUAACCUGGGGAAAGAGUGAAGGAGUAGCAUUGUAGAAUCAUCGACAGAGCAAUCUUUGCUUCGAUGGUUGCAAGGUUCAACUCCACACAGCUUUGAGGUCCCAGACGAAAGGGUAUGAAAGUGCUUAUGUUAUUGUUAGUAGCUUUAGCGAUCCCUUCUGCGAAUCUCUCCGGUUUGAAAAGUUGCUUGUCUUCUCCCCAAAUUCGAGCAUCGUGCUGAAAUGCUAGAUUUGAGAAACCAAUUCCACAUUAGGUGGCACAAUAACAUUCCCCUGUCUAGGCACACUGACAUUCCCCAGUAUAAUUUCCCUAUCAACUCUCCUUAAUAAGGAAUCAAGAGGGGGAUAUAACCUGUGAGACUUAUAGAAAAUCAUACUCGUCUGCAUGAAUAAAAAAGAAAAACAGAUUCCCAAAUUAGAAUCUCUAAUCUCAACUGAAAACAUGUUUCCAACACCCCCUUUCUUACUAUUUUCAGUUUGGAAAAGUUAUCAGGAUUUGGGGUUUGUUAGCCAAAUCAUUCCAUCACCCCCUUUCUUGAUUCCUCUUGCCAAUCCGUAUGGAGUGCCAGAAGAAACAGAGUCCAAGCAAACAAAGUAUUAAUGGUUUCUUGUCCAGCAAAGUAAAACGUCUUGCACUCAUCCACCGAAACCAUCUGGUUUUCAAUUUCAUCGUGAGUUCAAAAGUAAUCCGUGAAAAUCACUCCCGAAACUCUUGUUUUCUCCUGUCAUUGCCUUCUUUUCUCGUUUCUUGACAAUCUCUGUUAUGGAGGCAUGUACUUCUUUCUCUAGUUUGUCCAAUUCGAUCUCAUCGUUGGUUUUGAAAAGCUUACUGAUGCCAGGAACAGACUGGGAAAGAAUUUUUUAAUUUAUACUUUAAUCCCAUCUAAUAAUUUGUAUGUAACUUAGAGAUUUUUUUAUUUGAUUUUUGUUGUUUUCAUGUUGGCCACCCAUAUUUUGAAUCCUGGUUCCGCCCCUGACCAUAGCUUGUGAAAGAUGUUGAUGAGAAUUAAGACAAGAAGCACACACAGAAAGCUUUAAAAAAUGACUACUGGGCCUCCCAAAGAAGCCAUUUUUCGUGUGCUUCUCUUUGGCCAUCUCCCUUAAAAAAUACUCGUCUUUUUUUAUUCUUUUGUUUUCCGGUCGGCACAGAGGCAUCAUAUUUCAACUAAUGUAUAAUAUUCAACACGGUGCAAUAACAUUGAACCCCAAAAUCUAUCUAUGUUAAUGGAACUACCGUCACCUCUAGUUUGUAUUGAUUUUAGCCGUGCCCGGAAGUAGCAUAACCUUGUGCUGCCAUGUUAACUUAUCAAUUACGGUACAUAUUACGGCGUACGCCAAACAAAAAGAAAAACUUUGCUCGGAUUAUCCAAAAAAUUCUGACAAACGAAAGAGAACAAUAAUUGGAAAGAAAAAAAAAAAACUGCUUAUAGCUUAAGCCAUCAUAUAAUAGAAACGUGUAUGGCUGAAUAUUUGAAGGGUUUACAAUAUAUAGGCACACAUACCGUAUUUCAUAAGGAAACUAAUUAGAAAAGAUAAGGAAACUAAUUACAAAGGACUACUAUCAAUUACAAAUCCUAAUCUUACCAAAUAUUCUCCUAGAAUAUUUAUAAUAAAGACUGACGUCAACACAUAUCAUAAGGCUACAAUUUCUAGGUACUCCAUACUACCAACCAAGUGCAAGAUAUUUGGCAAUUCUGGUCUUCGGAGUUCAAAGUGAGUGUAGCAUUACCUGAAUUCCACGUUUCGGACGGACUGUAAGAUAAUGAAAGGGUAGGUGGACAUAACCCGGGGAAAGGGUGAAGGAGUAUCGCUGUAGAAUCAUUGACAAAGCAAUCUUUGCUUCUAUAUUUGUAAAAUUCAUGCCCACGCAGCUUCGAAGACCCAAUCCAAACGGUAUGAAAGCGCCUACAUUGUUGUCAGUUGCUUUAGCAACCCCUUCAGAGAAUCUCUCGGGUUUGAAAAGUUGCAGGUCUUCUCCCCAUAUUUGAGGAUCAUGGUGAAGUGCUAGAUUUGGGACAAUCAGUUCGAGAUUUGCGGGCACAAUGACUUUUCCAAGUUCAACUUCCCUUUCGGUUUUCCUUAUAAUAGUAGCAACAGGAGAAUAUAACCUUAGAGACUCAUUGAUCACCAUACUCAUCUGCAUGAAAAUGAAAAGUAUAUAACAAAUCAGAGUUUAAAACUUAACCGACAAGCUCAUUAUGAUUGAGUUCUCGGAUUUCUUACCGUUUUCAGUUUGGCAAUUCCAUCAGCAUUCGGAGUGUGUUUGCCAAAUAAAUCCACAACCUCCUUUCUCACUUCUUCUUGCCAAUCCGUGUGGAGCGCCAAAAGAAAGACAGUCCAAGCAAGCAAAGCAUUAGUGGUUUCUUGUGCAACAAGGUAAAACUCCUUGCAUAGUUCAAAUAAUUCAUCCGCCGAUAUCCUCUGGUCGUCAUUCGUAUCAUGAUAAGCCUUUAAAAGUAAUCCAAGAAAAUCACUCCCAAAGCUGCCUUCUCUUCUCUUCUCUUAACAAUCUCCAUUAUGGAGACGCGCAGUCCUUUCUCUAGCUUGUCUGCUUCGAUCUCAUCACUGGUUUUGAAAAACUUACUGCAACAUUAAAUGAAAGAAUAAAGUUUAGCUAUGUUUGGAGAUGUCAAAUUUUUAUUUUUUUAUUUUCUUUUGAACAAAAGGAGAUGUCAAAUUUUAAAAAUAAAAUUUAAAUUUGAUAUCUUAUGUGGCACUUUGAUAUCUUUUAAAGUUUUGUUUUCCACCCAAUAUGUUAAAUUUUAAACGUAAAAUAAAAUUUCAUAUUUAUUUCCUUUGCAUUGGUAAUGAAAGAAAAUGAAUUAAAGGGUAUAAAAUAUUUAAACAUUGCAUUGGUCAUGAAAGUAAUGAAAAGAAAUUAAAAGGCAAGACUUUUAACUAAUAAAAAAAAUUAAUAAAAAGCAUUUAAUAAUUAAUUAAUUUUUUUUUGAAGUUGCCGUCAAAUUUGGCAGCAAAUGAAAGAAAUACCAUUUCAUAUCAUGUCACAUCAGAUUUACCUUCUCGAUUAAAAAAAAUUGCUACUGCUUUUUCUUUUUUUUUUACCGUUAUUAUUUGUUAAGAUAUUUCGACAGAGAUGCUCUAAGAAAAAGAAGUAAUAGUCCACAACUCCACUGCUGCGCCAACAGAUAUGUGGAAAAAAUUACCAUGAUAGAGAAGUAUGAUUCUAUGCAUAACAAGCCGAAUGAGUCAGCUUCAGCUACAUAGUGAAAUCAAAUUGAGCAUGUUUCACAUCCCUUCUUGUAAUCAGAAUUUUUUUUUUCUUUUACAGGAAGUUACCUGAAUACGGGAACCCUGAUUGUGAGAGAAUUUUUGAACACUAAGACGCCUAACUUCGCCAGCGUCUCGAAAAUGGUCUUUCCUUCGAUAUAAUUGCUGCCGAAUGCUGUUCUGGAGAUCACUUCCGAACUGAACAACCUAAACUCUUGAAAAACCUCAAUCUCUUUUCCUUCAUAACUUUUCCACUUCUCCAGCAUUGUCUCAGUACUAGCUACCAUUGCUGGAGUCAUACUCUAGUAAAACAACACAAUCAUUCUGUUAGCAGAUUUACCUACAACUUGCAUGAAAGUGUUGGAAUUAUUAGAUCGACAGGUCCGGUAGCCCACUCUAACGAUACCGAUAAUAUCGUAUUUACCACCUGCCUCAUCCGUUAGUUAGGUAUGAGAUUUUAUCACAAAAGCUUCGGUAUUAUUUAGAGUCGAGUAAUCCUAUUUAAGGUCAUUAUUUUUUAUUUUCCGCGGGAUAGCCAACAUGCCACCUCAUGUGGAACCUCAUUUAGUGGUUCACACGUAGAGAUUCACACAUCGGUAAUUGAAACUCAGAGAUCGACUCCGAUGGAAUCUAAACUUGUUUUCAAUCUUUCCAAGAAGUGUUUCUUAAGAACUCAGAGGCUACUAUAUGUUAAGAGUCUAGGUUUGUUACCAAGCUCACACUUUGUGACAAGCCUUUUGGCUUGCACGAGCCCGUAUCUAGGGCUUUAAUAUCAUGUUGAAAUUUUUAAAUCGACGGGCCCGGAGGUCCCAUUCUAACGAUAUCUAUACUUGCCCUAACUUGGUAAUUAUCACCUAUCAAAUCCGUCAAAUGUGUAAUUUUAUCAUAAAAAAUCUCGAUAUUAGUUAGAGUAGGAUAAUCCUAUUUAAAGUCAUUAUUUUUUACUUCCGCGACCGAUGUAGGAUAGCUAAAAGAAAGCAGCUGUAACCGUAAAAACUUACUUUUAAGCUCUCUCCAUGGAAAGCAUGGGUAGCCAGCUUUCGCAAUUUCGCCCAAUUUUCAGGUUUAGUUGUUGUCAGAAGGCCAUCUCCGAAUAGCUUCUUGUCAAAGUAAGGGGUCUCUAUUUUCGGAUAAGCUCUAUCUUUGUUGUUCAAUAUCUCUUUGCAUAAUUCAGGGUCCGUAACGAUCAACUGAGCCUUAGAACCAUGCCAUUGAAGAUAAUUCUUACCUGUAAAUUAGCAUGCUAAAGAUGACCAAAUUUAUCUUGAUCGAAACUACGAUUUAAAAAAGUAGUUAACUAAUCAAGAUCAUUUGUUACCGUAUAUCUGAGUCCAAGAGUGAAUGUGAGGUUGAACUACAGAAAAUACGUCGUGUGAUAAAUUUUUCGGCCUGCUCAUUGCUUCCUUGAUCAUGUCGGUGAUUUCUUUCGUGUUUCCAUGGAUAAGUCUGUAAGGAGGGCCUGUGAUCCCCUGCAAAGCCAUCAGCUUCUGCAAUCGAGUCGGAGUCCACCAUAGCUUAUGAAAGAUCUUGAUGAGGAGUAAGACAAGGAACACACACAGAAAGCUUGGAAGAAUGACUAAUUGUCCUCCCAAAGCACUCAUCAUCUUUGUUAACUGGGUUUUCAAUCAGCAGACCAUAGUUUGUAAAGUGUUCUUGCUCUUUAAUCUGUACUGUUAACCAGAGCCGGCUUUUAAGGGCUGUGACAGGCAAGGAUGAAAAAAUCGAUAAUAUCGGCGAAAUAUCGCCGAUAUUAUCGUUUUUUUGAAGUUCCGAAAUUUUUUUAACUAUCCAAUCUAUUUUCGUCAAAAUAUCACGAUAUUAUCGAUAAUAUCGCGAUAUUUUCGAAAUUAUCGACAAUAUCGCGAUAUUUUAUUAAAAAAAUACUUAAAUAUGUUGAAAAAACUCAACACAUAAUUAACUUGAUCAUGGCCCAAAGGCCAAACAAGUUUUGGUUAUCUCAUUAGGGGAGUGUGAGUUUUAUAGGAAAAAUUCAUUGCUCACUUCCUUGCAUGGGCGAUGUGGGACUCGCCCAAUGGGGAAAAAAUCAAAAUUUCGGCCGAAAUUUUACACCCACUUUAAACGGCCAUAACUUUGUCAAAACUCAACGAAAUCAAGCAAGACAAAAACGAAAGUUGUAGCCCUCGAAGAGACGAAGAGAAUGGUACCUCACACUAUGUCUGAAUCGUAGUGGUUUGGCCGGAAAAUGCCUCGAAAGUCACUGAGGUGGCUGAGGUCGUCGGAAACUGGGUAAGAUUCAAAUGAGUAUAACUUUUUCAAUACGCAACGAAAUUGAGUGAAACAAAAAGAAAAGUUGUAGCCCUCGAAGAGACGAAGAGAAUGGUACCUCACACGAUGUCUGAAUCGUAGUGUUUUGGCCGGAAAAUUCCUCGAAAGUCACUGAGGUCGCUGAGGUCGUCGGAAACUGGGUAAGAUUCAAAUGAGUAUAACUUUUUUAAUACGCAACUAAAUUGAGUAAAACAAAAAGGAAAGUUGUAGCCCUCGAAGAGACGAAGAGAAUGGUACCUCACACGACGUCUGACUCGUUGUGGUUUGGCCGGAAAUUGCCUCGAAAUCUACUGAGGUCGCCGGAAACUGGGUAAGAUUCAAAUGAGUAUAACUUUUUCAAUACGCAAACGAAAUUGAGUGAAACAAAAAGGAAAGUUGUAGCCCUCGAAGAGACGAAGAGAUUGAUACCUUGCACGUCAGCCAAAAUUCAAUUGACACACUCCUAACUUCCAAAAUUCAAUACUUUUACUUUAUAUCAAGUUGAAAAAACAUAAUCGGCAUCCAAAUUAAAGUUUAAUCUUAUUCAAUGUAUUGAUUUUCAAUCGUUAAUUGAUAUACUAUAAUUUGGAACUUCAACGCCUAGACGCAUGCUUAUGUGUAAGAAAUUUAAAUUGUCAAAUUCGGCACAUUAUUCUUCAUCAUUUUAUUCACUUCCCUUUUUUUUUUUUAAUAUCCUAAAUAAAACCUCCAAAUAUUGUACUAAUUAAUUAUAUAUAAAUGAUUAUGGUGUGUUUAAACUUCUUUCAUUAAUUACUACAUAUUUUCUACACUCACAAUGUUUGUCAGCUCGCUAUAUAAUCAACUUAAAUCAGUUAAAUCCAUCAUGCAAUGCAUUUCCUUCCAAUUUUUUGUGAUAAACUAAUAGAUAAUUGACUAAAUAAACAUCCUACAAAGUUUCAUUAAAAAUUUCCAAGUUUUUCUUACAAUUUCCGUGGUUUCCAUGUAAUUUUUAUCGAUAUCGAUAUUAUCCCGAUAUUUCCAUCGAUAUUUCCGUGUUUUCGGACUACCGAUAUUUCCGAUAUUACCGAUAUUUUCUUCCUUGGUGACAGGUUACACUGCACAGGGUUCAAAAAUUUGGGGUCCCAAAAAAUAAUUUUUUAUUGAAUAUAGUAAUAUAUAAAAUAAUAUUAUAUAAAAAUAAUAUAUAAAAAUAUUAAUCAAACCAAAAAAAUAUAUAUAUAAAAAUCUAAUGGGACCAAAAGCCAUCAGAUACGUGCCCCGCAAAAAUAAUUUUUUGCUGAAUAUAAUAAUAUACAAAAUAAUAUUAUAUAAAAAUACUAAUCCAAUCAAGAAAUAUGUAUAUAAAAAUCUGAUGGCUGAUUCCGAACAGUGCCGCUGAGUCCCAUCACUGUUGCUUCCUACUUUUCUUUUCUCACGCUCAAAUCCCAUCGCUGCUCUCAUUUUUCUUCGGACAAGGAUUGUCCCUCUAAUUUUCCAUGCCCUUCUAUGCUUUUUUAUUUGUGUAGUCACUGUUAAGUCACGUUAAUAUUUUAUAUUACUAUUUAUUUUUAUUUUAUUAUCUUUAUAAAAAAUAAUAUAAAAUAUUAACGUGGCUUAACCGUGACCACAUAAAAUAGGAAGGCAUAAAAGGGCAUGAAAAAUUAAAGGGCAGAUAAUCAUUGUCCUUUUUCUUCUUUCACAAUUCACACCACAGUUCCAGUUCCAGACUCCAGUGUCAGAAUUCCCAUCACUCCCGCUGCAAUCUACUUUACUUCUCUCUUCCUAUUGUUCUCUUUUUCCACAAAUUAGUAAAUCCUAAUUUAUAAAUUCAUGAAAUUGAAGAGAAAUUUUCGAAUAUGAAGACAAUUCAAUUGAUCAUAAUGAUAUAGAUUUCGAUUAAAGUUAGAUAUUUACUAAUUUAAGUAUAUUGACUUGGAAUUUGAAGAUUUGGGUAUUUCUUAUUUAUAAUAUUUUUUUUUCUUUUGUACUUUUCAGGGCAAAAUCAAGAGGAGAGCAGUCACAAAAAAUCAAUAGACGCACACGUAUUGCAGACUAUCAGGUUUCAUUGUUCAUACUUACUAUAAUUUUAUUGUGAUAUUGUUUGAGAUAUAAAAGAUGACACCUACUAGAAAAUAUCAAUUUGGCUACUUGAAGCAUCAAAGAAAAAGAAAAAUUGAACAAUUGACUCAGUCUCAAAAAUGAGCUAUUAAUAGGUUAUUUUUGAAAGAAAAAGAAUCACAAAGUUUAUUUUGACAUUGUUUUUUAACAUCAAUACAUUGUUCAAAUUUUUUUAAGAUAUCUUAUAAGAAGGGCCCCUUUUAUGAAUUUUGCACAGAACUCCCGAAAUCUCAGACUGCUAACACAGAUUAAUUAACUUAAUCCCACUUUUGAUCCUUCUAGAUCACUUUGCAUUAUUGUGGAAAACUUGCUGGUCGCAAAUUAGUGGGUCCUUGGCGUCUUUUAAUUAAAGUCGUAGCCAUAUUAUUAAAUUUGAAAACUUUCUUAAUCCAACAUGAAAUGACGAUUUAAUCCAACGUUAUGGACUUCAUCUCGAGUCUUCUUAUAUCUGCAGCUGGCCACAACAAAUUCUUUACACCCUCUCUGUAUGAUUAGCUAUCUUGGAUGGAUAAGGGUGUAAUAUGAAAAAUGAUAAACCCAUGUCAUUAGCUUCUCAUAUAUUCUUAUUUAAUCAUAUAUGUUGUUUUUGUUUGAUUUAUUUAAUCGACCACCAGAAAUAAAAAUGGGUAUAUAUAGAUUUAAAAAGAGUGUGAAAAUCACUUAAUAGCAACGGAAAAUAUGUCGUGUGAUAAAUUUUUCGGCUUGCUCAUAGCUUCCUUGAUCAUGUCAAAUACUUCCUUCGUGUUUCCAUGAGUAUGUCUGUAAGGAGGGCCUUAUACUAGUUCAGCUGUAAAUAUAUGUACACCCAACCAUAUUCCAAACCUACCCUCCUUAUAACCCAAUCUAAUUUAUACCAUAUAUAUAUGAAAUUUUGUAAGUAAACCUACCUCACACCCACCCCCACCGUGUACGUGUGACCAUUGCAAUGAGAAAUAUUUAGACUUCUCUACCAAACCAAACCAAAUCAAACAAAGCGAAAGAUCUUCGACGGAUUAUUGAUUUGUUUUUUCAGAGUUGUUGGGAAGUCAGGCCACCUAAUUUGCUUUUUUAUAAUUUAGUUUACAGCUGAGCUUACUCAAUCAUUGCAAAGUGUUUUUGUACAUGAGAACAGCACCGGCUAUGUAUACCGGAUAGAGCAUCUGUUUCUUUGAUGCAAGAUAAGGGCAUAUAACAUAUGGCAAUCAAAAAUUAUAGAACUAGUAUAGUUAAAGACAAGAUCUACUGCAAAGAAAGACGCAUGGAUUUAUGUUUAUUGAUUUUUUACUAGAACAAUUUCUGUUGAGACUCUUAGUACUACAGAAGGAAGUAAUUCUUGAUGGGGUAGCCUUCUCCAAUGGAACUAAUUUCUGGAGCGUUGUUAGCCAAUACUUGAAUUCACACCAUCUGACGGUUCGUAUACUUAUUUGUUGAUUAAUGGAUUAUUCGUAUUUUGAUCAUAUCUUAAUCUAAACCGUUGAAUAUUAUAUAAACCAAAGGCUACUAAGAAGUGUAAACAUGUUUGUAAAUAUAUUUGUCUCUUGAUUAUAUUUCUAUAAUAUAUAUAUAUAUAUAUAAAUACAUACAUACAUACAUACAAAAAAAGAGAAUGGGACAAAAAUGCCUCCCAAACAAAAAAAAUUCACAAACAGCUCAAAAUAAUGCAUGAAAUAAUGUAGGGGUAAUUUCGUCAUAUAAACAGUAUUUUUUAAUAAUAAUAAUAAUUAUUAUUAUUUUUAUAUACUUGGAGAAAGUGGGAAGAGAGAAAAGAAUUAAAAAAAAAAUGAAAGAAUGAGUAAAAGUUGCUGGUGCCCAAGGGGAAAGGAAAAUAUAAAAAAAAAAGAGCAAAAUCAUGAAAGUUGUGCGAUGGUGUCAAAAGGAAAUGAAAGGAAAAUAUAAUAAAAAAUGAGUAAAAGUUUCAGUAUUUUCCUAUUUAACGUUUCAUUUUGUUUACAUUAGAUAGUGAUGAUGAUCGCGUUUUUUUUAUGUUCUAAUUUGACUUACAAAAAAAAGAAAAUAAUGAAAUAAAAAAUUAUUAAAGCAAUUCAUGCAUAUAAACAUAUUUAAAAUGUAUAAGUUACGCGUAACGCAAUAUAGCAUGUGCAUGAAAGCUAGUAUUUAUAUAUUUGUGCGUGUGUCACAUAUCACCCCAAUCCUCCACUGUAGCUCCUCUGCUCGAGUCUGCCCUUGCUACCAAUCACCAUCACAUGGUUACCCGUGUAAAGUCAGUAUCCAGUGUCCUAAAGAACGCUCCGAUGGUACUGUUCGCUAUCCUCUUCCUUCAAUUCUUAUUGCCAUGGUUUCUUUUUCUCCUAUGGAACCUACCUGCUAAACCCAGGCUGUACGUUCUCCUGAAGAGUGGGUAGCGUUGACUGAUGAUUAAUGAGUUUAAUGCGCUGUUAAAGAAUCAUAACUAGUCUCUGGCCCCUCCUCAUCCGUCCCAAAGCCCGGUUGGUUGUAAGUGGAAAUUCAAGAUUAAGCGACAUGCCAAUGGCACUAUUGAGCGUUAUAAGGCCCGAUUAAUUGCUAAAGUCUAUUAUCAGCAAUUUAAUUUUGACUAUAAUUAGACUAAGUCUAGUGGUUAAACCCACUACUACUUGUUUGGUACUGAGUCUUAUUGUUUCUCAAGGGUGGUCUCUUCUUCAACUUGAUGUUAAAAAAUACCUUCUUACAUGUGGGUUCUUGUGCAAGGAUGUCUACAUGUCUCAACCCCUAGGUUUUGCUGAUCCCUCUUUUCCUUUGCAUUUUUGUAACUUCAUAAGGCCAUCUAUGGUCUCAAACAGGCGCCUCGAGCUUGGUUUCACGGUUGAGUUCCUUUCUAUGGCGCCAUGGAUUUCAGCAAAGCCAGGCAGACCCUUCCUUAUUUAUUCUUUCAUUAAGGCAAGUGUGUUAUGUUUUGUUGCUAUAUGUGGAUGACAUAGUCCUUAUCGGCAAUCUUUCGCCAUUCAGCUGUUUAUCUCCAUUUUAAAUUCUGAAUUUGGGCUUAAGGAUCUUGGUCAUCUCCAUUAUUUCAUUGGUAUUGAGGUACAAUAUGCUUCCUCCGGAGUUCAACUAACGCAGACCAAGUAUGCUCUUAAUCUUCUAAAAAGCACCAACAUGCUUGACUGCAAGCCGGCUACUACACCUUUUACCUCCAGGUCACAACUUUUUAAUCAGGAUGGUACUCAUUUUUUUUAUCCCACUGAGUUUCAUCACCUUCUUGGGGCCUUACAUUAUCUCACUUUGACUCAUCCUGAUAUUGCGUUUAUGGUCAAUCAUAUUACUCAGUUUAUGGCUCGUCCUACUAUGAUUCAUUUGAUUGCUGCCAAACGUGUUCUUUACUACGUUAAGGGUUCGUUAGACUUGGGCUUUGUGUUUUGGCCUCAUUGUGGUCCACUUAUUCUUCAUGGCUAAUCUGGUGCCAAUUGGUUUGGUUAUCCCGAGACACAUCGGUUAACGUCUUGCUAUCUUCUUUUUCUUGGUCCUAAUCACAUCUUCUAGAGGUCUACAAAGCAGCCUACUGUCUCAUAUUCUAGUGCAGAGUCUGAGUAUCGUGCUCUUGCUCACACCUGAGCUGAAUCUCUUUGGGUCUCCUACUUGCUAGUGGUUUCUACUCCCAUUUAUCUUUUUGGUGAUAAUCUCAGUACCACCUACAUGGAAGCCAAUCCAGUAUUUCAUGCUCGCACAAAGCAUAUUGAAUUGGAUUACCAUUUUGUUCGUGAAUGUGUUACGUUUGGUGCACAUAAAGUAUAGUUUAUUUUAUCCUUAGAUCAACCUACGGAUGUACUGACCAAAGGUCUUUCUAAGUCGCGGUUUCUUCUACUCCGGUCCAAACUUGUCUCCUCUCAACCAUUUGCGGGAGGAUGUUAGAGAAGAAGUCUUGUCAAAGUCAACUGUAUCUCCUAAGAAUCAAGAAUGAAUAGUAUAAUUUGAUUUUGGUUGUAUUUCCUAUAUACGAUUCUUACUUAUACACCAAAAAUAUACUUGUAUAAAUAUAAGCCUUUGUGCAAUGAAUAAAAUCAUUAAUAAUAUAUUUAUUUUCCAUACGUGUGACCGUUGCAAUGAGAAAUAUUUAGACUUCUCUAACAAACCAAACUAAACGAAGGAUCUUCGACAGAUUAUCUUAUGAAGUGCUGCCAACUGAAAUGGAACAGCUUGCAAAGGUUCAAAUGAUAACUGAGCGCUAUAAUCAGUUUAUCCAUUGAACUGUCUAUAAGGUAGCAAGCACCAUCCAAAGGCAUCAAUGUCCAGCUACUCGACACUACGGAGUGCAAGAUUUAUGAGCAAUUCCGGCCUUCGCAGUUCAAAGUGGGUGUAGCAUUACCUGAACUCCAAGUUUUGGGUGAAUCGUCACAUAUUGAACAGGCAAGUGCACGUAACCUGGGGACAGUGUGAAGGAGUAUCGUUGUAGAAUCAUGGACAAAACAAUCUUUGCUUCAGUGUUUGCAAAGUUCAAUCCGACACAACUUCGAGGUCCAAUUCCAAAGGGUAUGAAAGCACCUACAUUAUUGUUAGUUGCUUUAGCAACCUCUUCUGAGAAUCUCUCCGGUUUGAAAAGAAGCGCGUCUUCUCCCCAGAUCUGAGGAUCACGGUGAAGUGCUAGAUUUGGGACAAACAACUCACAAUUAGCAGGAACAAUAAGCUUUCCAAGUUUAACUUCCCUUUUAACUUCCCUCACAAAACCAACAACAGGGGAAUAUAACCUUAGAGACUCGUUGAGGAUCAUACUCAUCUGCAUGAACCCGAAAAAUAGAUAACAGAUCAGGAUAUCCAAUCUUAAUUGAGAACAUAUUUCUGACAUUUAAGCAAGCAGUUGACUGAGUUGCUGACUUUCUUACCGUUUUCAGAUUGGCAAUGCCUGUAAACUAAGAGAAGAGAAUCACAGAUAGUAGUCUUAGAGAGAAGUCAGAGAAAGAGAUUUAUAGAGAGAGAAAGAUAUUUCUAUUUCUUUUCUUAAUCACCAAGCUAUUACACUAUAAGAGUAUAUAUACUACACCCUACUUACAUUUGCAUAUUCUUAACAACUAUAACUAACUCUCUUAAUCUGUUUACAAGUGUCACAAUCCUAUGUGUACAUUAUCUCUAACAUCCCCCCUCAAACUCAUGCAUGGGAGAAGAACCAAGCAUGAGAUUGGUACAAUGAGUCCGAAAGAGAUGAGCACUAAGACCUUUGGUAAGGAUAUCGGCAAACUGCUCUCCGGAAGAUACAAACUGCACAAGUAACUUCUUUUGAGCAAUCCGUUCACGAACAAAAUGAACAUCAAUUUCAAUAUGCUUGGUCCGUUGAUGUUGAACGGGAUUGAACGAAAGAGCAAUGGCGGACAGGUUAUCACAGAAAAGCACAGGAGCACAAGACAGAGGAAUGUGGAGAAAUGUAAGAAGUUGCUGAAUCCAAUCAAGUUCAGCAGCAGUGGAGGACAUGGCUCGAUAUUCGGCUUCAGUUGACGAACGAGAAACUGUUUGUUGUUUUCUUAGAAGACCACGAGAUGGGAUUGGAGCCCAAGAAAACAACGAACCCAGUUGUAGAGCGCCUGUCAUUCGGAUCACCAGCCCAGUCGGCAUCACUAAAAGCUUUGAGACCAACUUCACCAGCAGUAUAAGUAAUGCCAGAAGACAAGGUGCCUUUCAAAUAACGCAGAAUGCGUUUGACAGCAGUGAAGUGAGACACCAUAGGGUUUUGCAGAAAUUGAGAUACUUGAUGGACUGAGAAUGCAAUGUCAGGACGAGUGAAAGUGAGGUACUGCAGGGCACCAACGAUACUCCUGUAUGUACCAGGUUCUGAAAAUGGAACUCCAUCAUCCUUCAGUAAACGAUUAUAAGGUAAGCAUGGAGUGUCACAAGGUUUGCAAUCACGCAUUUCAGUCUUGUGUAACAAGUCUUGAAUGUACUUGGUUUGUGAUAAAAACAUCCCAGUUGCUGUGCAGGAUAUUUGAAUGCCCAAAAAAUAAUGAAGUGUGCCCAAAUCCUUGAUGUCAAACUCAGUAGUAAGGGACUGGAUGACAUGUUGUAUAGCAGCUGUAGCAUUCCCUGUUAAGAUAAUGUCAUCCACGUAAAGCAGUAAAAUCACUAUCUCAGAACCAACAUGCUUCACAAAGAGAGACGAAUCAGAAUAGGUGGAGAUGAACCCGAGAGAAGGAAGAAAAGCUGUGAAUCUCUCAUUCCAUGCCCGGGGGGCUUGCUUCAAUCCAUACAGAGAUUUAUGUAACUUGCAAACAAAAUGAGGAUGCACAGGGUCUGCAAAACCAGGAGGUUGUGCCAUGUAAACCUCCUCCUGCAGUAUGCCAUGCAAAAAUGCAUUCUUGACAUCAAGUUGCCGUAGAGACCAAUGAAACUGAGCAGCUAAGGCCAGGACAAGCCUUACUGUGGUAGGCUUAACCACUGGACUGAAUGUCUCCCCAUAGUCUAAUCCUUCCUCUUGACUGAAGCCCUUUGCAACUAAGCGAGCUUUAUGUCUUGCAAUAGAACCAUCCGAGUUCUUCUUUAUUUUAAAGAUCCAUUUACAGCCGACUAAGUUUUUCUGAGAAGGCAGAGAUACAAGAGACCAAGUACCUUGAGAGUGCAGGGCAGCAAUCUCUUCCUUCAUAGCAGCCAACCCACACAGAGGAUUUCAUAGCAGUCUUAUAAGAAACUGGCUCAAUGAGAGACAUAUCAACAUCUCCAGAUGGCGCUAAAGAACUGAAAAACACUUUGGGUUUGACUAUACCAUUUUUACUCCUGGUCUGCAUAGGAUGCAUAUUCAAUGGUGCAAUAGGUAACACCACUUGUAACCGAUCGGGGCUGAACUCAUGAUCCACAGGGAGAGAAGGAGUAGUACUUGAUGGAGCAGUAAUGGAGGAAUAAGAAGGUAAGGAGGAGAAUGGAGGUGAAGCAACCAUAUGUGGAGAAUGAACAGCAACACUAGAGUCAGGGGAUGGAGGGACAGGUGGAGAGGUUGAGGAAGAAACCGGAGGAAGAGGCACCACCAAAACAUUCUGAUGGUUAGGAACAGGUGUAAAAGAUGAAGGUGAAUAAGGGACAUGGGCCACACUAUUUUGUUUGGACAAUUGAAGAAGACUAAGAUAAGGAUAUUCAGUCUCAUUAAAGAUAACAUGUCUGGAGAUAAAGAACUUGGCUUUGGACACCUCAUAACAAAUAUAACCCUUAUAUUGGGAAGCAUACCCCAGAAAAACACACUUGGUGGUCUUAGCUUGAAGUUUGGAAGUGUUGUAGGGUCUAAGUAAAGGAUAGCAAGAACAACCAAAGACACGGAGGUGAGUAAUGAUAGGAUUUUGACCAUACAAAACUUGAAAAGGAGAUUGAUUCUGUAAAACUGGAGUUGGCAUCCUAUUGAUUAAGUAAAUUGCUGUUUGACAAGCAAAGGUCCAGAAUUGAGAAGGCAGUGUGGCAUGUUGUAACAAAGUGACAGUAGUUUCAAUGAUAUGCCUAUGUUUCCUCUCAGCUAAUCCAUUCUGUUCAGGUGUAUAGGGACAAGAUUUAUGAUGUACAAUACCUUUAGAUUUCAGAAAAGUGUAGAGCUUAGUACUAAUAUAUUCACCCCCCCCAUCAGUUUGUAGUAUUUUCACAGAAAGUAGAGAAUUGAGUGGAGACAAAUGCACAAAAGGUAACAAAAACAUCAGUGAAAUCAGAUUUAUUGGAUAAGGGAAACAACCAACAAAACCGAGUGCACUCAUCAAUGAGAGUAACAUAGUAUUUAUAGCCAUCAAUGGAUGUACAUGGUGCAGGACCCCAAAGGUCACUGUGAACAAUUUGAAAUGGUAUGACAGACUUGACAUGAGUGGAAGGAAAUGGUAACUGUGUGAAUUUGCCCUUGAGACAACUUUGACACAUAUGAGAGACAACAUCCUGAUUACAUGGAAUAUUUGCUUGUUUAAGAAGUAAAGAAACUACAUUAUUGGAUGGAUGUCCGAACCUAGUAUGCCAUAGGCUGGAACCAACAAGAUGUCCAAGAAAAGCAACAUGUGAAGAAUGAGAAGGUAGGAAGCUAGUAGAGAGUGAGUGGAUAUGAUAGAGUCCAUUACUGCACGGGCCCUUGUACAUGAUUCUCCCUGUGACCUUGUCCUGAAUCCAGAAGUAAAAUGCAUCAAAGAUUAGCCAGCAAUUGUUGUCCAAACACAACUUAUGAACUGACAAUAAAUUCUGUGUCAAUUUAGGAACAUAGAGAAUGGAAUUUAAUGUGAUAGGAUUUUUAGAAGUGUUAAGAAUAGAACUGCCAAUGUGAGAAACUCGCAAACCUUCACCAUUGGCAGUUUGAACAACUUCAUUGCUUGGAUAUAGAGAAGCUAAGGACAAAUUGUUAAGAUCAGCUGUCAUAUGUGUAGUAGCACCGGAAUCUGUCAACCAGACUUGUGGUGAUUGAGAAGGAGAUGCCACAGAUCCCAUAUGAGAAGAUGGUGAUAUGGGAGAAAAUACAGUAUUCAUAGCUUGCAGGGAAGAGGGGUGAGAGCCAUGCAACACCGGAGGCACAUUGUAAGAGUAUCCCUGCAUUGGAGUACCUGCCCGUUGAGAAUACUGAGGUCCCAUAUAGGAAGGCCCUUUUUCAUUGUAAAAACAAUACCAAGUUGUAUGAUUGAACUUGCCACAGAUUUGACACUGUUGGCGAUCAGAAGACUUAUUGUAACAAUAAGGAGCAGUGUGACCUUCAGCAUUACACAAUUGACAAGUCGGCAAUAGAGGUGCGGAGGGCGACGAACCAAGAACACCAGGAGUAGGUGUAGGGAAGACAUGGGUUUGUGUAUGAUACAUUGGCCGAGGAGUGUAGUAUCGCUGACCUCCAUUGAACUUGCCCUUCCCUUUGUUCUUGUGAACAUACGGCUUGAAACCUCCUGAAACACCACAUAGGAUUGACCCCCAGUAUGAUGAAAGGAAUGACCACCGCCAGAGUUAAAUGCCUGAUUAGAACCUUUGUGCACAGUGGAUGAGUUAUUAUUGACAACCAUCGCAGACAAAAAAGGAACAUGAGAAUGACUAUCAACAAUUUCUUCUUCAGCAAGGAGUUGAGUCCGAAACUCUUUCAUAGUCAUAACACUUUCUCGGCCUCGAACAACCGUGCGGAAUGUAUUAUACUCUGGAGGCAAACCAUUAAGAGCCAAAAUUAUAAUGUCUUCAUCAUCAAGAAACACACUAGCAGCAGACAAAUAAUCCCUUGCUUCUUUGAUCUUCUGUAAAUACCGAGUGACCGAAUCGGACCCCUUUUUAAUGGUUUGAAGAUUUGACUUCAUCUGAAAAAUACUUGUCUUGGAAACAGUAGAAAACUGUUCCUUAAGCCGAGUCCACAACUCCCUAGAACUAGCACUACCAAUUGCACAUGACAUAGCUACUGGGGACAAGGUGGCAGUAACAAGCUGCAUAAGUGCCCGAUCAUGUAAUUUCCAAACAGUAUAUUCAUCUGUUUCUAAACCAGAGGAGGAAGUAGCAGAAUUAACUCCAGAAUCACCAUAAUUAGGAGCAAACCGAGCAGGACAGGGUGUUGAACCAUCAACAAACCCCAUGAUUCCAUUACUUUCCAGUAACAAUUGCAUUUGGAAAUGCCAAUUAAGAUAAUUUGAAUCAUCAAGCUUAACAUUGAUAGAUGUUGAAAGAGUAGAAAUGAGAGCAGUAAUAGGCGACUGAAGGAGUUGUAAUUGAGAUGCAGACACCAUUUAUGCAGAAAGAAGAUAGAAAUCCAAGAGAGGAAAUAUCACAAACACCUGGUGUGCACACUCUGGAAACACCAAUGCAAGAAGAACAAGAAACACCAAGAACCUUAGAAAUCACAGAAGGAGAAGAAGAAUACCAGAAGGCGUCCAAGCAUACAGAAAUGAAGCGACGUCAAGGACGAGAAAGAAUCACAGAGUGAGAAGAUGAGCGGAAGCAGCCGAAGGAUCGAAGAAAACAGCAAGAGCGAAAAUGGCGAUUGAUACCAUGUAAACUAAGAAGAAGAGAAUCACAGAUAGUAGUCUUAGAGAGAAGUCAGAGAAAGAGAUUUAUAGAGAGAGAAAGAUAUUUCUAUUUCUUUUCUUAAUCACCAAGCUAUUACACUAUAAGAGUAUAUAUACUACACCCUACUUACAUUUGCAUAUUCUUAACAACUAUAACUAACUCUCUUAAUCUGUUUACAAGUGUCACAAUCCUAUGUGUACAUUAUCUCUAACAAUGCCGUCAGGAUUUGGAGUUUGUUUGCCGAAUAAGUCCAUGACCUCCUUUCUUGCUUCCUCUUGCCAAUCUGUAUGGUGCGCGAGAAGAAAGAUUGUCCAAGCAAGCAAAGUAUUAGUGGUUUCUUGUCCUGCAAUGUAAAACGACUUGCACUCGUCAACCAUAUCAUCCACCGAAAUUCUCUGGUUGUCAUUGGCAUCAUGGUGAGCCUCCAAAAGCAAUCCAAGAAAAUCACUCCCAAAGCUGUCUCGUCCUUUGGUCAAUGACUUUUUUUCUCUUUUCUUAAAAAUCUCUGCUAUGGAGGCAUGUAUUCCUUUCUCAAGUUUCUCUGCUUCAAUCUCAUCACUGCUUUUGAAAAACUUGCUGCAACAUUAAACCAAAAGACUAAAUGCAAGUACAAAGGUAAUCUUCCACAAAUCUUGUUGUGACUAGUUGACUACAAACAAUCAAAUUUGUUUCAUGUCCCCUUCUUGAGAAACAAGUUGCCUAAGCAAGUUUGUGGUCAAUUCAAGUUUUAUACGUGCACCGAGAUCUUUUGGUUUAUCAAUUAGUUCUCCAAUUCAAAAUUUUGUUAAACCAAAAAAAUGGUUACCUGAUGCCGGGAAGCCUGAUUAUGUAAACACUUUUGAAAAAUAAGAGGGUUAACUUCGUCAACAUCUCAAAAAUGUUUUGUCCUUCUAUAUAGCUGCUGCCAAAUGCAGUUUUAGAAAUCACUUCUGAUGUGAAUAACUUGAACUCUUCAAACACCUCAAUUUCUUUUCCUUCAUAACUUUUCCACCUUUCAAGGAUUGUCUCCGCACUCGCUACCAUUUCCGUAAACAUACUCUAGAAAAACAAUACCAUGAUUCUAUUAACAAAUUUAGCUUCAGUAGUCGUUGGAAGAAGAGUAAGUACCGGUAGCUGUAAAAACUUACUUUUAAGCUCUCUCCGUGGAACGCAUGGGUGCCGAGCUUCCGCAUUUUUUUCCAUUUUUCACCGUCAGCUGUUGUUAAAAGGCCAUCUCCUAACAGUUUCCUUAAAAAGCCGGUGGGCUCACUUUUCGGAUAAGCUCUAUCUUUGUUAUUCAGUAUCUCUCUGCACAACUCAAGUUCCGUUAUGACCAACUGAGGCUGAGAGCCUUGCCAUUGAAGAUAAUUAUUUCCUGUCGAUAAAGACGACCAAAAUUUACCUUAAAAUUAAAACUAACGGACCAUAGUUAACAUGAUCAGAGAUCGUUAGUUACCAUAUGUCCGAGUCCAAGAGUGCAUGUGAGGUUGAACUAUGGGAAAUAUGUCGUGUGAUAAAUUUUUCGGCUUGCUCAUAGCUUCCUUGAUCAUGUCGGAUAUUUCCUUGGUGUUUCCAUGAAUAAGUCUGUAAGGAGGGCCUUUGAUCCCCUGCAAAGCCAUCUGCUUCUGAAUGCGAUGCGGAGUCCACCAUAGCUUGUGAAGGAUCUUGAUGAUAACUAGGACCAAGAACACACACAGAAAGCUUGCAGAAAUGAUCACUACCCUUCCCAAAGUAGUCAUUUUUCGUAUAUUCUACUUUUAUAUAUCUUUGGCUAUGUCCAUGAACCUACUGAGUUUUCACCAGAAGUCCAUAUUUAUAAGGUUUUAGUUGCUGUUCAUUGUUAACACAGAUGAUAAAGAUGCCAGUUUUGUCCCAAGGUCCGAAUACUUACUACAAUCCAAAAGAAAAAUUGUCACCGAUGACAUUGCAAGAUUAUCAAAUUUGCUAAACUUUCUCUAUCACGGCCUUUUCUUUGCUACAAUCAAAAUAAUCUCCCAAUAAUGUGUUGACAAAUUGGUAGGGUUUAGUAGAGGGUGUAUAAAAUAAUGGUCCUUAGAGUUCAGUCCCGUCUAGGAUUUCCAACAACCACUAGCAUCUCUAAUUAAGAUGUUACUUGAGGGCUAAGGUUUAUGUCCCCUUCUGAUUAGGUGUCACAGCCCGUCCCGGAAUUACUAAUUCCGAGGACGUGAACUUACAAAAAUGCCCUUAAACGGGAUUAAGGUGCGUAAAUGUACGACAUUUGUGUUAUCUAGAGUUCCUAAACUAUGGUUAAUUAGAAUGUUAAUUAGUGUUAGGGACUAAAACUAGGUUGCAAUGUUGUGUUUGGGAUUUAGGUAGGGCCUCAUGCCCUGAUUCCCUCCCCAUUUUCCGUAUGCACACUCUCUCUCUUCCUCAAACUUCAUUCUCUCUCUCACCCUCUCUAACUCUCGGACAACCACCUAAACCACCUAAAAUCAACACCAACGCCGGAUUUAAGAAUACCAUUGCACUCCUGAGGACUUCACGAUCACGUAGGUAUCAGUUUAAGGUGAGUUUCAUUUCGAAAACCCUAGUUUCUAAAGACACCGUGAUUAUGUACUGUUCAUGAUCUUUGAAGUGGUUGUGUUUUAGGCCAAACUAAGAUCACAGCGAGUCUUAGGAAGUUCAAAGGAUGCUCGGAGUGUAACGUUUGGAAGUUUUGGACGUCGGGAUCGUUGAGUUCGACAUUUGGCCGAUUUUUGGAAUUUUUGGAAGGUAUGAUCCCGUGAUUUUUAGUGUUUAAAACCCUCCCAACGUGAUUGUACAUGUUAAAUGCUUCAAUUUGGUAUAAAAUUCGAGAAAAAUGGACGAAAAACGAGUGAGAAUAGUUAAAUAGAAAAAUUUCCCAGUUUUCCGGUGACCGGAGUCCGGCGAGAGUCCAUCGGAGAAGACAACGGCAUAUUCCGUUAUUUUUAACGGAAUAUGCUAACGCCGUUAGUUAACUUUAACGGAAAUCGUUAGUUUUUAACGGAAUAUACUAGGAUUUGACGGAAUAUUCCCUAACUGCCGUUACUGUGCCGUCAGCAUGCAUGUCACGUGGCCGCGCGUGGGGGCCGCGUAGGUCCGUGCCAUGUCAGGCGCGUGGGGGCGCGUGAGACCUCUAAAAUUAUUUUAAAAAUAUGGGGAUGAUCCUGAGGUUGUGUAGGUCACAGUGGUAUAUUCAUAUACCCAAUUUGAGCAAUAUAUGAGGAGUUAUUAGCUAAGAAUUAGGUUAUGCAUUAAAUAACGUUAAUUCGGUUAUUUCUCGUAUAGGCGAGGCUUGUACGAACGUUGGACACGACUAAGGGAGGCUCAGGGACCUACGACACGUCGAUGUAUUCUGUGAGUGGGCAGUUUUGUUUUCCGUAUACAUAUAUACUUACCGUUUUCCCAGAAAUUGAAAAUGCAUGAAAUUAUGCUUUAAAUGAAAAUGUAUAAAAGUAUAUGAGAUAUAUUAGUUGAAAUGCCAUGCAUAGAAGUAUGCGAAAAGUAUAUAGAAUUAUACGAAAAAUAUGAAUUGAGAUGCUAUGCAUAAAAGUAUAUGAAAAGUAUAUAGAAAUGUGAAUCGAAUUGCCAUGCAUGAAAUGAUAUGAAAAGCAUGAAUUGAGAUAUGAUGCAUAUGAAUGAAUGGUGCGGCGGACGCACAGGUGAGUAUCAGGUGAGUAUUUAAUUACUGUUAUGAUGAUGUUGAUGUAUAUUGAGCUCAAAUCCUGCACCAUAGUUUAGUGCUUAUAGUAUUCACCGCAUCGCACGCUCGCCUUGGAUCCAAGUAGAUGCUGGUCGCACAGUCCACGCGGAGUGGGUGCGACGGGCCAGUCGAAGAGUGUUAGUGAGAUUUCGACUGGUGGGUGACCUUAGAUUAUGUGCACAGAUGAUUGAUGAGAGAAGCACUAGAGCGUAACUUGUGUGCAGAAGGCCGUACAGGUCACAGAGGUGACUCCGGCAGAGUGAGAGUGAUAGAUUUUGAGCUCUAGGUUCAACCGUACAAGGCUAUUAGAGGGCCUCCGGUUGAUUACUUCUUGCACCUGAUAUAAUUACUGUUGAUGCAUUCAUACUUAACUGUUGAAUUCCGAUAUGGCAUGGCAUAUUUGUACUGAAAAAUGUGGAGUAAUGAAUUGAAGUAUUGAGAAUAUAUAUGUAUAAUUAUAUUUUACAUUUCUGGGAAAGUAUACAGGUUUUACAGAGAGGGGUUACAACGUUUUGAGAAAUGUUUGGAUUUGGAAAAGAUUGGUUUUACUGACCCACUCAAUUUUGUUUUUCGCCCCUCCAGGUUCUUGAUAGCAGAGUUUUGGUGGCCACGAGGAAUCCAACGGUAUUCUGACAGAAUGGACAAAAAUUAGGACUCACCUUCGGGUGUAUCAACUUAUAAAUUGUAUCUUAAAGCUUCCGUACUGUGCAAAUGGUUACGUCACUCUCACGUGACGGCCAGCAUGCCCUCCUUCGGGACGGGGUGUGUCAUUAGGUGUAACUUGUUUUUUCGUUAUCAAUAAAAUUACUCUCGUACAGUUGAGGUUUUCCAAAAAAAAAAAAAAAAAAAAAAAAAAAAAGAUGUUAAAUUUAGGUUGUCAAAUUUUAAUUGAGAGCUUCGAAGUUAGAUGCUAAAUUUUCUUUUUUUCAGAGGAUGUGUCAAAUUAUUUUUUAUCAUAUAUUGUGGGUCCUACUGUUAUAUAAAUUGUACAAAAUUGUGUAAAUUGUUUUGGGAACUUCAUGUGGUUGGUGUAUUGUGAGAGGCAUUUUAUUAAAUAAUUCAAAGAUAAUGGUAGUGAGACUAAAAUUUUAAGUUAAAUUUGUAAAUUAAAUGAUGUGUCACAAAUAAAAAUUAAAUAUAUUAAUUAACGUUUAAGUAAUAAUUUAAUCAUUAGCAAUCAUGUCAUUUAGUUAAAAAAAGUUAGUCUUCCUAAAAUUAUCCAUAAUUCAAAUGGAAGGAAUUUGACGUUUUGGGCUUUGCUAACAAAACAAACACCUGGGAUGGUUGGCGUCAAAUCCAAGUCAGAUAAAACUCCUCGGUUGGAAAAAAAUUGUUGUCCUUUUAUCCUAUGUCUUCUUUGAAGAUGGUCUAAUGUCACAUUAGGCACAAAAAGUACUUGGAUUUUAUACAAAAAGUUUCCACUCAUUUUUUUUUUAUUCUCGCAUUAUAUUCAUUUAAUAUGACUUUGCACUUGACUACAGAGUAAUAUAUGACUUUACCUUGUAUAAUGAUUUGGAGAGAAAUUGAGUUAAAUUUAAAAUAAAAAGUUACAACUUUUCAUGUGCAUUGGAGGAGAGAUUUUUCUAAGUUACCGAAACACGGUCAAUAUAGCUGUGUAAUAAUAUAUGUGGAACGAAAGUUUGUUUUUUAUCAAGUGUCCAUAUACUUGUAUUAUGAUGCAUAGUGUAUUAACUCGUGCUCCAGAUAUACUGAAAAUUCUCUCCUAAGAGCAUCUCCACCAAUUGGUGGAAGGCAAAGGCAAAGGCAACAAUGUUGCCCCUAUCCAAAAAAAAAACCUCUCUAGCAGUCCAAUAAACCAAAGGCAAGUGGUGGGCCAACCAUUGCUAGCCAAAUGCUCGGCCAUCUUAAGCCUGGCUUACUCCUUCGAGCAAGCUAAUGUCAUCACAACCUUUUUUUUUUUAAAUCAAGCGCGUGAACACACUCACCGAGAAGGGAGAGUCAGAGACAAAACCUGCAACUGUAGGCCCUACUGCGGCUAGAUGAUGUGGCUGAAUAUGGACCGGUGGAUUUCCAACGGUCAGAGGGUUUAGACUGUUGGAUUUCGAACAGUAAAAAAAAUUUAAAAAUUUUACUGUUGCACCACAUGACGCAAUUUGGUGCCUUUGAUUUUAAAUCAAUUUGAAAAACAACAGGCAUGAUUAAUCCAACAUUAAAAACUAUAAUAUAUAUAUAUAUAUAUAUAUGAUAUCAGAAAAAUUGAAAAAAAAAAUUAAAAAUUAGAAUUUUUUAGAUUGUUUCAAUUUCAUAGUUGGUUAUAUGAUUAUGGGAGUUUUUUGCUUUAUUUUUCAAUUAAUUAUGUUUGUUGCAAUGCUAUGUUUUUGCUUUAUAUGUGAAAUAAUUUAUUAGAAUUAAACAAUUAUUUUAUUUUCAAAGCAUACAAAAAUAAAAAUAAAUUUACUUGCCCUUACCCUUACCCUUUUUAAACGGGUGAUGUUACACAAGGACAAGUACUAUUCAAGAAGGCAACUUGCAUGCUUUUGCCUUCCACCAACUGGUGGAGAUGCUCUAAUAUGCCAUUCAAAUUCAAAACCUUAAUGAGCAUGCAUAGAGUCCCCGUAUACUAGGAAAUUGGAAAAGUCAAGUUUGAAUGAACAAACAAAUGCACAAUGCAGUGCAAUCAAUAUUAAUCUGGCAGUUUCCGGUGCUUGUAUUAAUCUUUUGCCCGACUCUUGAAAUUCCUGAAUUCAUUAGUGAAUCAAAAUAAUGCAUAUAUAAUAUGUAUGUCACAAAUUCAACUUAUAUGGAGUAUUUAGAACUAACAGAAAAUUUGCAUAAAUUCAAGCGCAAUAGCGUUUUAAGAUUCAAACAACCGACCGUGCUUGGUUGUUGUCUACUUUCUUGCAUUUACUAGAACGUGAUUUUUCUUUUUAGUUAUAAUUUCAGGCAACUUAAUAUUUGAACACAACUUUUUAAAAUAAACUGUAAAUAUAUGUACACCCUGUUCGCUCCCUAAAUCCGCCAUGGGCCUUGCGGGCAUACCGGGGAUUUGCUCACAUACGAGAUUGGUGGGUGCGGGCGUGCCACUACUAGAUGCCGCUAGUAUACGGGAUUUGAAUGAUUAAGGUUGCGCCUUUUGACUUCCAAUCAAGAGAUUGUGCCAUUUGAGUGGGAGUUGCUCAAAUCAAGGUUAUUUCUUUGCCUUAAAAAUAAGGACUUUACUUAUAUGGAGAGAUAGAACAAUAUGUAAAUGACAAGGUUGCUCGGAAAUGUAAAUGACAGAGGAAAGUGACUAAUAUUGCAGAUUGCUUGUAAUUUAAAUGACUGAAAAUGAGUUGUACAUGAAAACUAUAAAGGAGAUCGAUACUACAAGUGAGCAGUAGAGCUAAUAAACUAGACAAAAGAUGGCUUUUGUGAGGGUUGAUCCUGAAAAGGAUGAAGGUUUGGGGGCUGACUACAGCUUCGUGAAGGCAAAUCUGGUUUGAGCAGAGUUUGUGCUUGUAUUUGUUUGGUUGUUUGAGUGUCCAUAAUCCUUCUCCAUCUGCUUCUUUAUAUAGAGGUCUAGAAGAGCCUCCUUGCUGAGAUCUUUGUACUUGCCCGAAAGAAGCUUGGGCAACUUGCAUUUCAUUGCUUGGGCAGCUUGCAUUGCAUUUGCCAACUUGCAUGUAGAAACAAUAUUAAAAGAGAAACUUGUAUCUCCACCACAUGUUUUUAGCACAUGUCUUCCCACUUGUAAUAAACUAACAUUUAAAAGAACCAAGUUGACUCUUUCACAUGUUCCUUGUCUGAAAGCUCUCAUGGUGCAUUUUCAUCCACUUGCAUGAAAAAGCAUGCAUUUGUCUUGAUUAAACAAUUCUUUUGGCAAACCUCCACCACCAAAACAAAUGGGAGAAACAAUAUUAUAGUGCCAACCUAUCCCACUUGAUAGCUAAAUAUCUUCCAAGUUAGUCUUUUUGCUCAUUAAUCCUCCAAAUGCCAUAUUUUACCCAAAUUGCCCAAAUAAGUAAAAAUGGGUAUAUUUUAGGUGCAAACACACCCAACCAUAAUCCAAAACUACCCUCCUUAUAACCCAACUCACAGCCACCCCAACUCGUACGCAUGACCGUCGAAAUGAGAAAUGUUUAGACUUCCCUACCAAACCAAACAAACGAAAGAUCUUCGACAGAUUAUCUUAACAUGCUGCCAACUAAAAUGGAACAGCUUGAAAAGGUUCAAAUGAUAAUUGAGGGCUACAAUCAGUUUAUCAAUUGCACUGUUUACUGAAGGAAAUAUUUGUGAAAACAAGUUCAUUUGAGCAACAUCUAUGCAUGCUAUUAACAAUUAAAAGGCGGAAUCAUGCUUGUAUGCACUCAUAAACAAAACUUAACCCAUGAAAUUCAAAUCCUAGUAGUUAUGGUGAACCAAGACUCAACUCAAAACAAAGUGAGUUGCGAAACUUUAUACCUUUGAAACACCUCUUUGCUUAGCAAAGGUUAAUCACCCAUGUGAGGGUCUUCUUUCCUUUGUCACCUUGCUCCUUGGCUCUAUGGAUUUGGAUGGAGGAACUUUGCUUCUUGGCUCCAUGUCUUCUUGGAUAUGGAUGGAAGAAUUGGGUUCUCCAAAAGUCCCCAAAGUUGGAGACCUCUAAGUUUCGACACCAAUGAUGGUUAAGGAAGAAGAUGAGUAACCAUGGAAGAAUUAGAUGCUAGUAAAUUCCCCAUGGUGGCCGGCCUCCUAGAGAGAAAAAAGAAUAGCUUUUGUUCUCUCCAAUUUCCUCAAGAAAACCCUAAUGAAUAAAAUGCUAUAAAGUCACAUUUAUACCUACCUUCAUUGGAGUGGCAAACUUGUAAUAAGUUCAAAACCCACUCCCUCUCUAAGCAUGGCCGGCCUCCUUAUUUUAGUGGGUUAGUUGCCCAUUUUGUUUUAGUUGUCACACAACUUAAACCUUAUGUGCCUUGUGGACCAAAACCCAUUUGUGUCCCGAAACCCAAAACUAACUUAAGGCCUAAAAUGAACCUUUCAUUCUAGAUUAAUUAACUUUUAAUUAAUCCUUACCAUAUACUAUUAAACUAUUUAAUUGUCCUUACUUAUCUUCGUUAUAUCCUUCAAUCAUUACCUUACACAGUGUGCAAUCCAUUAGGUUCCUUUUAGCGAGGCAGUGGGCGAUUAGAACUCUUCAAAUCAAUUGUGAAUUGAAACUUACUUUCAAUUCUCCUUUUAGUGAUUAUACACCUUUAGGGCUUCUACAAACCAUGAGUGACACCUAGCAGUAUAUCAUGGAUACCCAAGCUAAUCAGAAAAGGUGGAGAACCUAUUUACUUUAAAAUUACAAUGCAAUACGGUCUUUCUUUAAUACAAUACUCUUGACCACAUUGUUUGGUUUGAUAGUUUAUUCAUGUUAACUAUCAAAUGUGAUUCAUUUACUUAUAUGAUUACCUUGAAUGUGAUUUGGAACGACUUCCUAAAUUACAUUCAUACUCUGACCAAAGAUUCUUAAUCAUAUCAUAUAGUAUUACUUUGUAUUAUCCCAACCAUGAGUUCUCAUGUGACAUGAGUAUGAGAACUUCUUAUUGAUCGCGUUUAGUGGACUCAUUUUCUAUUGAGCACCUAUCUACUUGUCUUGGUGUCAGUCACACCAAUGACUCGAGACCAAUCACUCUCCCUGAGAGAAAACAUAGCACGUACUAAUCUUAACGGACUGUCAAUGCCCAAUUGGCAAUCAUAUGAUCAAGAACAUUUAGGAUAUGUAUACGAAAGAGAAUGGUCUUAUGAAUCUAACUUCUUUAGAUCACAUUCUCCCAAUUACAUAUUCCUUUGACUUAUCAUUUAAGCAUAUAAUAUUUAUAUGAGACGGCUUUAAACAAUAAUAUUUGCUCUUUAUAUUAAACUAGAUUAGUUUAACAUGUGAAAUGUUAGUAAAGUAUAAUCAAAUUAUUGGCUUUAGGGCACAUUUCCAACAUUUACAAGGUAGCAAGCACAUCCGAACGACCAAAGGCAUCAACGUCCAGCUGCUCGAUACUACCGAGUGCAAGAUUUAUGAGCAAGUCCGGCCUUCGCAGUUCAAAGUGGGUGUAGCAUUAUCUGAACUCCAAGUUGUGGGUGAAUCGUCACAUAGGGAUAGGGCAAGUGCACGUAACCUGGAGACAGUGUGAAGGAGUAGCGUUGUAGAAUCAUGGACAGAACAAUCUUUACCUCAGUAUUUGCAAAGUUCAAUCCCAAACAACUUCGAGGUCCUAUUCCAAAGGGUAUGAAAGCGCCAACGUUAUUGUUAGUUGCUUUAGCAACCCCUUCCGCGAAUCUCUCUGGUUUGAAAAGAUGCGCGUCUUCUCCCAGAUUUGAGGAUCACGGUGAAGUGCUAGAUUUGGGACAAACAAUUCAAAAUUAGCAGGAACAAUGAGCUUUCCAAGUUUAACUUCCCUUUUAACUUUCCUCACAAAACCAACAACAGGGGAAUAUAACCUUAGAGACUCGUUGAAGAUCAUAUUGAUCUGCAUGAACCCGAAAAAUAGAUAAUAAAAUCAGGAUAUCCAAUCUUAAUUGAGAACAUAUUUCUGACAUUUAAACAAGCAAUUAACUGAGUUGUUGUCUUUCUUACCUUUUUCAGUUUGGCAAUGCCAUCAGGAUUUGGAGUUUGUUUGCCGAAUAAUUCCAUCACCUCCUUUCUUGCUUCCUCUUGCCAAUCUGUAUGGUGCGCGAGAAGAAAGAUUGUCCAAGCAAGCGAAGUAUUAGUGGUUUCUUGUCCUGCAAAGUAAAACGUCUUGCACUCGUCAACCAAAUCAUCCACCGAAAUCCUCUGGUUGUCAUUGGCAUCAUGGUGAGCAUUCAAAAGCAAUCCAAGAAAAUCACACCCAAAGCUGUCUCGUCCUUCGCCCAUUGACUUUUUUUCUCUUUUCUUAAUAAUCUGUGUUAUGGAGGCAUGUAUUCCUUUCUCAAGUUUCUCUGCUUCAAUCUCAUCACUGCUUUUGAAAAACUGGCUGCAAUAUUAAAUGGAAAGACUAAAUGCGAGCACAGAAAUAAUCUUCCAUAAACUUCUUGUGAAUUCAUGUCCCUUCUCGAGAAACAAGUUGCCUAGGGAAGUUUGUGUCAAUUCAAGUUUGUAUUUGUACUGGGAUCUUUUAUUUUGUCCGGAGAAGUGGAAUGGACAGAAAUUACAGGUCUAUCAAUGAGUUCCCCAAUUCAAGAUUUAGUUAAACGAAAAAAAAUGGUUACCUGAUGCCGGGAAGCCUGAUUGUGUAAAAACUUUUGAAAACUAAGGGGGUUAACUUCGUCAACAUCCCAAAAAUGUUUUGUCCUUCUAUAUAGCUGCUGCCAAAUGCAGUUCUAGAAAUCACUUCUGAUGUGAAUAACCUGAACUCUUCAAACACCUCAAUUUCUUUUCCUUCAUAACUUUUCCACCCUUCAAGCAUUGUCUCCGCACUCGCUACCAUUUCCGUAAACAUACUCUAGAAAAACAAUACCACGAUGCUAUUGACAAAUUUGGCUUCAGUAAUCUUUGCAAAAAGAGUAAGUACCGGUAGUUGUAAAAACUUACUUUUAAGCUCUCUCCGUGGAACGCAUGGGUGCCGAGCUUCCGCACUUUUUUCCAUUUUUCACCUUCAGCUGUUGUCACAAUGCCAUCUCCUAACAGUUUCCUUAAAAAGUCGGUGGGCUCACUUUUCGGAUAAGCUCUAUCUUUGUUAUUCAGUAUCUCUCUGCACAACUCAAGUUCCGUUAUGACCAACUGAGGCUGAGAGCCUUGCCAUUGAAGAUAAUUCUUUCCUGUCGAACAAGAUGACCACAAUUCACCUUAAAAUUAAGACUAACAUACCAUAAUUAACACGAGAUCGUUAGUUACCAUAUAUCUGAGUCCAAGUGUGCAUGUUAGGUUGAACUGUGGGGAAUAUGUCGUGUGAUAAAGUUUUCGGCUUGCUCAUAGCUUCCUUGAUCAUGUCGGAUAUUUCCUUGGUGUUUCCAUGAAUAAGUCUGUAAGGAGGGCCUUUGAUCCCCUGCAAAGCCAUCUGCUUCUGAAUGCGAUGCGGAGUCCACCAUAGCUUGUGAAGGAUCUUAAUGAGAACUAAGACAAAGAACACACACAGAAAGCUAGCAGAAAUGGUCACUACCCUUCCCAAAGUAGUCAUUUGUGUAUAUUAUACUUUUAUAUAUCUUUGGCUACAUAUAUGAACCUACUGAGUUCUAAUCAGGAGUCCAUAUUUAUAAGGUUUUAGUUGCUGUUCGUUGUUAACACAGAUGAACAAGGUGCCAGUUUUGUCCCAAGCUUCUUAUUACUCGUCCGAAUACUUCUUACAAUCCAAAGAGAUAUUGUCACCGAUGACAUUGUAAUGUUAUCAAGUUUGCUAAACUUUCUCUAUCACUGCCUUUUCUUUGCUACAAUCCAAACCAAACGAUCCAAUCUGAACCGUGGCCGCUCCUAAACUACUCAUCACACAAGGAGAACGAGAAUGAUAAAAAUAAGGGAAAAUUAGAUUCUCAUCCUUCUUUUUGCUACUUCAUUGAUUAAAAUCUUAUUCCUUUUCAAAUUUUGAUAAAGGUCAUUGGGUAUUAAUAACAUCAUUAAUUAUUUUAAUAAUAAAAUAUUUUUUUUAUUUCUAAAUACAUUCAUUUAAUGUUAAAAAUGUUACAAUUAGUAUAUUGUUGUGGUCUAUUUUAUCUGACAGAGGGACUAGGGCCGGCGGCAGAGAGAGAGAGAGGAGAGAGAUGUGUGUUUGUAGAAUUGUAGGGGAAUGUGUGUGUUGUUAUCCCUCCUACAUUGUGCCUUUAUUUAUAGUAGUAAAGGAAGAGAAGAUAUUCCUUCUCCUCCAAGUAAUACAAGUUGUAAUAGGAAAGGAUAACUAGAAUCAAAUCUUAUCUAGGAUUUACACAAUCAUACUUAAACUAGGAAUGUUUACAACACUCCCCCUUGAGUGGGUAAAUACUCAAGGUAGAUUCAGCAUCAUGCAGAAGUUGAGGAAGUCGACUCGUUGGCAUUGAUUCCAAGGAACAACGCUUAUUCUCAAUAAGGUAGGAACUUGCAUAAGUAGUAAGUCUCACUAAAAACCCUAAGGCUAUGGCAAAAACCCAAGUAGGGACAAAAUCCAUAGUCUAAGGAAAAAUGCGUGAGAAAUGCAAAGUCAAAAGAAACGUCUACAGGACGUCAUCAGGGAUAUGACCAGCCCAAGGUGGGUGCCUCGUUAAAACCUAGUUAGGUAGCAAAAACCCAGUGGGAAAAAUGCUCCUAAUCGUAGGGAAAAAGAGUACAUUAAGAUCAAGCAAGUAUCCAGAAGAUACUCCCCUUGAGUUUGACAUAAUUCCACAGAGAAAUAGCAAAGUUACAACUCAGAAAGUUUACGCAUACCAAUUCCAUGAACAAGCUUCUGAAACGUCGCCUUCGGUAGUGAUUUGGUGAAGAGGUCGGCCAGAUUGUCUUGUGAUCGGAUUUGCGUGACUUCAAUCUUCUGAUGCUCUUGUUGUUGAUGUGUAAAGAAGAACUUCGGCGCAAUAUGCUUGGUGUUGUCUCCUUUGAUGUAACCCUUCUUGAGCUGUUCGAUGCAAGCUGCGUUGUCUUCAAAAAUCGUCGUCGGGGCAUUAACGGCGGGAUGAAGAUCACAGGAGCUUCGAAUAUGGCCCACUACUGCUCUCAACCAAAAGCAUUCCCGAGUUGCUUCAUGUAAGGCGAGAAUUUCAGCAUGGUUAGACGAAGUGGCAACUAAGGUCUGUUUAGUUGACCUCCAAGAUAUUGCGGUGCCUCCAACGGUAAAGACAUAACCCGUUUGAGAACGCGCCUUGUGCGGAUCAGAUAAGUAUCCAGCGUCGGCAUAACCAACAAGGCGAGAAUCAACCCGAUGAGCAUAGGGUGCGGCAUCACUCGAGGAUUCGUAGGGAUAGAAUAAGCCCAAAUCCGUAGUACCCUUAAGGUAACGGAAGAUUUCUUUCACGCCAGUCCAAUGUCUGCGUGUUGGUGCAUUGCUGUAUCUUACCAAAAGAUUAACAGCGAAGGAGAUGUCGGGUCUAGUGCAUUGAGCUAAGUACAAUAAAGCGCCUAUCGCACUUAGAUAAGGAACUUCAGGCUCCAAAAUCUCUUCAUCAUCCUCCUUCGGACGGAAGGGAUCUCGCUUUGCAUCUAGCGUACGAACGACCAUAGGAGUACUCGAAGACUUCGCUUUAUCCUCAUUAAAACGGCGCAACACCUUCUGGGUGUAGUUCGAUUGAUGUACUAGGAUUCCAUCCGAACAAUGCUCUAUCUCGAGACCGAGACAGUAUCGAGUCUUACCUAGAUCUUUCAUCUCAAAUUCCGACUUCAGGUGCGAAGCAGUUCUCGCGAGCUCUUCAGGAGUUCCGAUGAGAUUCAUGUCAUCGACAUAUACUGUGCAACAAUCGCAAAUCCGGAAUGUGACUUCUUAAUGAACACACAAGGGCAUAGUUCGUUAUUCACAUAUCCCUGACUAGUCAAAUACUCACUUAAACGGUUAUACCACAUUCUUCCGGAUUGUUUCAAACCGUAUAGUGAACGCCUCAGCCGAAUUGAGAGCGUGUUCCGGGGUUUUGGAAAUAUUUGAACCAGUCAAUGUAAGUCCUUCGGGAACUUUCAUAUAAAUUUCCGUAUCUAGAUCCCCAUAGAGAUACGCGGUUACUACGUCCAUCAGCUGCAUAUCCAGUUUUUCGGAAACUACCAAACUGAUAAGGUAUCGAAAAGUAAUCACAUCCAUAACGGGUGAGUAAGUUUCGUCAUAGUCAAUCCCGGGGCGUUGUGAGAAACCUUGUGCUACAAGACGAGCUUUGUAACGCACAAUUUCGUUCUUCUCAUUACGCUUCCGAACGAAAACCCACUUGUAGCCAACGGGCUUCACAUGUGGAGGAGUAGGAACUACAGGUCCAAACACCUUACGUUUCACAAGUGAAUCAAGUUCGACUUGGAUUGCUUGUUUCCAGUUUGACCAAUCAGCUCUACGUCGACAUUCAUCAACGGAACGCGGUUCAAUGUCAUCGCUCAACAUGAUCUCAGUAGCUACUGCAAAUGCUAAUGCAUCGUCGACAAUCAUCUCAUUUCUACGCCACACAUCAUCUAAGCUAGCAUAAUAGACCGAAAUCUCACGAUUCUCGGGAGGAGGAUUCGUCUCUUCAAGGACGCUUCCAUAAUCUAGAAUUUCCUCAUGAGUUGGGUAAAAUGAGUAAGCGAUAGUCGGAUUCACGGUAGGCUCUUCAGGACCUUGUGCCGUGGUUUUCCUCUUCCGGGGGUGUGUGAAUCCUUUGAACCAAGGGGUCUGCCACGCUUUUGUGUAGGGGCAGAUGAUUGGCUAGCCGCUAAUGUACGUGGAUCACCAGAAUUGGCGUCCCGGGCUUCCAGGAGGGUAGUCCGUCGUACAUUUGGUACAUCAUCUUUGCAGGCGUAUUCGCAGCUGGAAUAUGUGAUCUUGUCACGCGCGCUAGAUCGGUGAAAGCAUCUGGCAUGCUCUGAGCUAUGCUCUGGAGAUCUAAUAUGCGCUGCACUUCAACUUCAGACUGAGCGGUGCGGGGAUCUAAAUGAGACAAAGUGGGAGUCGUCCACGAUAAUUCGCGUCGUUCAUUAGGAACGUUGACGUUCUUAUCUCCCCCUAACGACGGGAAGACUGUCUCAUAGAAGUGACAAUCCGCGAAACGAGCGGUAAACAGAUCGCCUGUCAAAGGUUCUAAGUAACGAAUAAUCGAAAGAGAAUCAUAUCCGACAUAGAUUCACAUCCUUCGCUGAGGCCCCAUUUUUGUACAUAAGGGCGGCGAGAUCGGCACAUAGACCGCACAACCAAAAACGCGCAGAUGCGAUAUGUCGGGUUCGCAUCCGGUGACCAACUGAAGGGCACUAAAUGGUUGUGUCGCAACAGGCCUCAGGCGGACCAACUUUGCUGCGUGCAAUAUUGCAUGGCCCCAAGCAGCGAUCGGGAGCUUGGUACGUAUGACCAACGAUCGAGCAAUCAUUUGUAAACGCUUAAUGAAAGUCUAUGCCAAGCCGUUCUGGGUGUGAACAUGGGGUACAUGAUGUUCAACUUCAACCCCAACCGACAUGCAAUAGUCAUCAAAAGUUUUAGAUGUGAAUUCUCCAGCAUUAUCCAAUCGAAUAGAUUUGAUCGGAUAAUCAGGGUGGUGAGCCCUGAGCUUGAUGAGCCAAAACAGUUUGGAGAAUGCAGCGUUCCUUGUGGACAACAAGCACACGUGUGACCAACGUGUAGAAGCGUCAACCAAAACCAUAAAAUAUCUAAAUGGUCCGCAGAGAGGUUGAAUCGGUCCACAAAUGUCCCCCUGAAUCCGUUGUAGAAAAAUGGGAGGAUUCGAACGAAUCUUGUCAUAAGAAGGCUUAGUAAUAAGCUUUCCCAUAGAACAUGUUUGACAUGCAAUUUCAUGGAUCGAACCUAAGCUUCGGGUUAGUGGAUGCCCGUGUGAAGUUUUGAGGAUACGGCGCAUCGCUAUUCGUCCAGGAUGUCCCAAACGAUCAUGCCAAAGUGUAAUUUCGUGCGCGGUCCCUGUGGUAGGGCCGGCCACAUAGUGGCAUUCUAUGGGGCGUAUGGUCGUAGUAUACAGACCACUCGGGUUACGCUCCAUCUUCUCUAGAAUACGCUUCUGGCCAUAUUCGUAGGAAGUUACGCACAGAAAUUCAACUUCGUUUUCUACGUGGGUUUCAGCGUGGUAAUUGUUAUCUCUAAUGUCCUUGAAACUUAGUAACGUUCUUCCGGAACGUGGAGAAUAGAGUGCCUCAGCAAUGGUCAAGAUUGUACCAUUGGACAACAUUAUACGUGCCUUACUGUAUCCUUCGAUCAGGUUGGAUGGGCCUGAGAGGGUUGUCAGAGGUGCAUUCUUAGGUACGAAGUUAGUGAAAUAGAUGCGUUCACGCAAAACAGUAUGCGUGGUUGCACUAUCUGCCAGACAACUAACUUUCCCACUAGUCAUACUUAGAAUGAAAAAUUAAUUUGAAUCGGUCACAUGCAUAAAAGUUUAUAAAAACAAGUAUUAAUUCAAAAUAAUUUCCUUUAUUCAAGGAAAAAACUUAAUAUCCAAAAUAAAUCGCCAACUAAUAAUCCAAAACAUAAAGGAAAAUUGUUCAAAAUCAACCAAAAACAAGGUGGGGUUCGGCCACAAGGUGGAAUUCGGCCCCAAUUGUCUUAUUUUAACUGAAAAAUAAGUCUAUGUCUAAGAUUCUAAUCUUCCAUAUGAGUGGUAUCCUCCUGAAAAUCAGAAACCUCCAUCUUUGUAGUCUCCGGUUCGUCCACUUGUAGGAAGUUUGAUUCAAACUUCGUACAACGAGAAUGAUAUGCAUCCACAACCUUCUUGGGAGCACGGCAAAUAAGGGACCAAUGGUCCUUGGAACCACAACGAUAGCACAUAUCGUCAUUCAUUGUGGCAGGUGCUUUGCCCUUAUUCUUGAAGUUCGGGGCCUUGGGAGCGAGGUUUGGGCGCUUCUGGGCUUUGUUUCCUCCCUUGGAUGGGCCUUGGCUCCGUUGACCUUGGUGAGAUGGCUUCUGGCCGCCCUUACCACGCCUCUUUUGGCGUUUUGGGUGCUGAUUAGUGCUAUAAUGUGCUUCAGGCACAGCAGUAGCCCCAGUAGGUCGAGCUUGAUGAUUCUUCAUCAACAGCUGGUUCUGCUUUUCAGCAAGAAGUAAAACAGAGAUCAAAUCCGAGAACUUAGUGAACUUCUGAGCUCUAUAUUGUUGCUGCAGGACAAUAUUAGAAGCAGAGAAGGUCAAGUAGGUCUUCUCCAGGAGAUCCUCUUCAGUCAAAGUUUCAUUGCAAAACUUGAGAAGUGAUCGGAUUCGACAAACUUCAGAAUUAUAUUCAUUCACAGACUUAAAGUCUUGGAAGCGCAAGUGCUGCCAGUCGUGUCUUGCUUCAGGCAAGAAUAUGUCCUUUUGGUGAUCGAAACGAUCAGCCAAAGCGACCCAUAAUGCACGUGGAUCUUCCUCAGCAAGGUACUCAGUUUGUAGAGCGUCAUGGAUAUGUCUUCGGAUGAAGAUCAUAGCAGUGGCUUUUUCAGCUUCGCCAACAGGUUUAUCUGUUGCUUCUUCAAUAGCAGGACGCAAGUUCUUUGCAGUGAGGUGGAGCUUCACAUCUUGAACCCACUUGAGGUAGUUCCUUCCAGAAACCUCCAAAGCGGUGAAGUCGAGUUUGUUCAAAUUCGACAUGUUCCUAUCACAAAAUAGAUGGACAAGAUGUGGUUAGUGUAAUGGAGAAAAAUCAAUCCAUUCACAUAGGAGUAGAACAUACAGGUUCUAAUAGACAUGUAUUGGUUUAAUUUUGCAUGAAAACUUCGGGUUUUCAUGGGUGAUAUGUUUAAGUGAAAACUUCGGGUUUUCAAACAAUGCAUGUGUAUAAGAAACUUCAGGUUUCAAAGUAAUUAUGAACUUCAGGUUCAUAUAUUCCUGCAGGCAAACACAAAUAUAUAUGCAAACAAAUAUGCAAAGAAUAUAUGCAGAAAUAUUGUAUAAUGAUAAGUGAAUUAAUUUAUUUUUGGUCUUCGGGGCCAAAUUAAAAUGUGGGUGAAAAUAUAAAAACCCAUAUUAUUUAAAAAAAAAUUAAAUAAUAAAAUCUCGGGGCCUAAAAAUAUAGGCCAAGAACCCUCGGGUGGGAUUACAGGCCCACGGGGUGAGAAGAGGGGAAUGGGCUGCUGUGUGCAGCCCUAAAAAUUUUUUUUUUUUUUUUUUUCUCGGGCCGUUCCAGGCGAGCCCAGAAUUUUUUUUUUUUUUUUUUUUUUUUAAUUAGAUGCAUAUAUAAUUCAAUGAAUCACAUAUUUACUUUGAUGCAUAUGCAAAUAAUAGUUUCAAUGCAUGUACAUAUGUAAGAUUCAAUUCAUGGCAAAUAUCAAAUUCACAUAAUUGUAGCAAUUGUGAUUAUGAAGCAUACACAAUUUAUGUAGAAUCUAAAAUACGUUAAACGUAAAGUUGGGUCAUGCAUCAUGGUGAAUGUUCAUGCUAUCAGGGCUUGCAAAAUAUCGAGUUAAAAACCGUUGUUUGGAAAGAACCUGAUUGCGUGAUGAUAUGGAUGAACUGGUUUGAUGCAGAAAAAAUCUCCAACGUCAGAUUCCUAAGCGCAGCGGUAGGAGCGUGCUGAUAACGUGUUGUGGUCUAUUUUAUCUGACAGAGGGACUAGGGCCGGCGGCAGAGAGAGAGAGGAGAGAGAUGUGUGUUUGUAGAAUUGUAGGGGAAUGUGUGUGUUGUUAUCCCUCCUACAUUGUGCCUUUAUUUAUAGUAGUAAAGGAAGAGAAGAUAUUCCUUCUCCUCCAAGUAAUACAAGUUGUAAUAGGAAAGGAUAACUAGAAUCAAAUCUUAUCUAGGAUUUACACAAUCAUACUUAAACUAUGAAUGUUUACAACAUAUAUUUAUAUUUAUGACUAAAUUUUUUUUCAUAUAUUUUUAGUUUUAGUUUGUACCCAUUUUUAAUUUGUAAUUCUUUUUUAACUUGUAGCAAUUUUAUUUUCACUUUUAAUUUGUACCCAUAUUUUUUAAAGUUUAUUUGUAUUUUUACCCAUAUAUAUUGUUUUUAUUUGUACUUUUUAUUUUGCUAAAUGUACCCAUUCAUGUAAAACUUUUUAAUCUUAAAAUGUACUCAUUCUUAAAUAUACCAAUUUGUUAUAUGUAAAAUUUACCCUCUUUUUUUUAUAUAUAAAAUCUAUUCAAUUUUUUUCUAAUCCAUUUUUAAACGUAUAUGGGUACAUUCUUGUUUCUUUGAUUUUAAAAUGUAUCCAUAUCAAGUUUAAUUGAAGAAAUUUACUAAUGUUAUUAAGCCUAAUAUCUUUCUUUUUUUUUUCUUUUCUUUUUUUUUUUUUUGUGAUUUAGAAGAAUGUACCCAUGUUUUGAUACAAUAAAUUUUUUGGUUAAUUUUGAUGAAUGUACCCAUGUUUAUACACACACACAAUAGUAUAUUUAUAUUUUAAUAUUUUUAAUCCCACAAAUUAUGGUUUUUUAAAUUUAAAAUCUAAUUUAUAUAAACAACUAAAAUUUCUAAUUUUUAAUUUAAAAAAAUAUAGUAACGUACAUAGAAAUAAAUUAUCACAUUAAUUUCAGGGACCUCGAUCAAAAAUUAAAAACCAACAAGAUUUUAAUCAAAGAAUAUUCAUAACUAAGGACCGCAUCCAAAGUUUCCCUAAAAAUAAUCUCCCAAAAAUGUGUGACAAAUAGGUAGGGAUUAUUAGAGGGUGUAUAAAAUGAUGGUCCUUAAACACAAACAUAGAGUUCAGUCCCGUCUAGGAUUUCGAAGAGCUAAAAGUGAUUUUUGAUUACUAAAAGGUCACUUCUAACUACAUUUGGCAUAACAAGCACUUGGAUUUUUUUUUUACAAAAAGUUUCAACUCAUUUGAAAUAAAAACACUUCUAGCAUAAGCUUUUUUUUUUUUUUUUUUUUUUUUUUUGCUUGCAUCAAAUGCAUUCAUUAUGACUUUGCAGUUGACUAGAGUCAUAUAUGAACUUUAACUUGUAUAAUCUUUUGGAUAGAAAUUGAGUUUAAAUUUAAAAUAGAAAGUUGCAACAUUUGAUGUGCAUUGAAGGAGGAGAGAUUUUUCUAAGUUACUUGAACAUGAUCAGUUCACCCGUGUCAUAAUAUACUUAAGGAGAAGGCUUUUACUUUUUCAAGUGUCCAUCUAAUUGUAUAAGACACAUGGUGUACCAAGUACACUAAAAAAUCUCUCCUACUAUGACAUCCUGUUUAUACCUAAUUUUGCAUUAUCAACAUGUGUAAUUGACGUCGUUGGAUGAAUUAAUAUUUUUCUAGACUUACUACUCAUCUCAAUUAUCGUAGUAAUUAUUGUAGAGAAAUAUAUGAGUUUGGAUGCAAGGAUAAAACUGAGAGGGCAGUGGAUUGAUACGUCGGAGGCAGCCAACAAAGGUGGUAGUCUGAUUAGACAAGGCAGGAAUUGUGGAAUCGGUUUGGCUGAUUUUUCUUAAGGAGUCCAUAUUUGUAAAGUUUUAGUUGCUGUUGUUAUUUAACACCGAUGAACAAGAUGCCACUUUUGUCCCAAGCUUCUUCGCUUACUACAACCCAAAGAGAAAUUAUCGCCAAUGACUUUGCAGUAAUAUCAAAUUUUCUAAACUUUCUCUAUCACUGCCUAUUCUUUACUACAAUCCAAACCAAACGAUCCAAUCCGGACCUUGGCAACUCCUAAUGGAAUAAUGCUCUGGAGAGAGACUGAGUUAAAUUUAAAAUAAAAAGUUACAAUUCUUCAUGUGCAUUUGAUGAGGAGAGAUUUUUCCAAGUUACCGGUACACAGGCAAUACAGCUGUGUCAUAAUAUAUGUGAAGCGAAUGUUUUUUUUUUUUUAAUACUUGUAUUAUGACACGUGGUCCGGUGACAUCCAAAAUUCUCUCAUAACAUGCCAUUCAAAUUAAAAGCCUUAUGAACAUGCAGAGAGUUCCCGUAUACUCGAAAAUUGGAAGAGUCGAAGUUUAAAUGAACCAGCAAACGCAGAGUGCAAUGCAAUCAAUAUUAAUCUGGCCGUUCCGGGUGCGUGUAUUAAUCUUUUGCUCGACUCUUGAAAUUCCUGAAUUCAUUAGUAAAUCAAAAUAAUACACUAUAUAACAAUCUGUAUGUUGCAGAUUCAACUUAUAUACAUAUAGAGUAAGGAGGGAAAUGAGAAAACUGUGGCAGGUUUGGCUGGAACUGUUGCAAUUUUAGCUCUCGCUGCGUACGGUCUAUAUGGAGUGUUUGGAUUGGGUUCCAGCCCAAGGAAGACGAUGAAGGCUCCCGAAAGAGAGUACCGAAUCUUCAGGGGUGAUUUCGAGGCUGACCCUUCUGCUUACUUCAGGGACCUGCGCAAGUAGCAAGUUGAAAAUUGGAACUGAAAGAGUACCUUAAAUAUGAAUACACAGUUGUUGGAGUUUUGGAGAGGUGGAGAGUUUUGCUUUUGUUUUGUUUAUGUUGUAUUUUCCCCUAUGAUCUAUGUUGAAUGUUAAACCUUGGAGUUGGGGUUGAUUAACAUUCUACGGUGAUACAAGGCCGCCAUACCUGCAAUCAGUGAGUGAGCGAGUGAAUUCCCGAAGCACCAACAUGAGUAAUUUAUUGCCCAAAAAAAGGCAACGAAAAACAUAUCAGAAAUGCUGCUAAUGUUGCCUUUAUUACCUUAACCUCGAAGGCAGAAGUCAUCAGAAGGUAAUACGCAACUGAAACAAGAAAAACCAAACUCAUCGCCUUCUCUUGUUGCCUUUGCCCUUUCCUAAUUGCCCAGACUUCAUAGCGUGUUCUUGCUCUUGUAGGAAAAGUCGUACUUUUCCAUAUUUCUCAGCUUUCUCUUCUUCCAUCAGCGCCUUAUCCCUUGCCUUCAUCUCGUAAAGGAAAGAAUUAUCCUUACGCAGUUCACGAAUAGCCUCUUUAGCUUCUUGCUUCAAAAGUUUCUUCAUCUUUCUUAGCUCGGCUCAUUCCCGGUCUGGAUCAUAGUCUCUGCCCUUAACAAAGCUGCACCAACAAAAUAUCAUUCAGUGGUUAAUCCAGCAAUACGUACAAGCGCUACCCAACAUAAUAACAUUAAGACAAUUGGGGACGGGUGGUAAAGAUAAAUUACUUCUCCUCAAAUUUCGGAUUGAGCAUUUUGAUAGCCACUGGCUUUUGCUUCCGCAACUGAAGUGGUUGCCGCAGAAUGUGAUGUUUAUCUGCUCGUCUUAAUCAGUUCAGCAACAUCUUUCAAUUUGUCUGUUAAUACUUGUGGUAUAUUAUCCUGUUCCGCCACUUCAAGCAACAAUACUGAAAUUGGCAAAAAGAUUUCAGGAAAAGAACUGAAUCCUUCAUAAACAAUGACAAACUCACGUAGAGUUUCAAUCACCGUCACCAGCACACUAGCCCUGAAAAUUAAAAGUUCAACUUUUAAAGACAGAAUACCAUAUGCAAACUUUACAGUAUUGAUAUACAAAAUUAGAAUUACAAAAGCAAUAAUCUGGUGGUGGCAAAAAUCAAGUUGGACCAAUUUUGAGGAUCAUUUAUCGACAGCAAAACUGAAGUCUGCAUAAACCCUAAACAACAUACGUCACGUGGGCACUUCUACAAUGUAUCAUUGAGUACUGUAACAAUUUCCUAACCUGAAAUCGUCAGAUCUGAAAAAAGAGGAGUCUUCCGGUAGGUCCAUUAUUGUGAGAAAAUUCAGAGGAUUGACCUGACCUACGGAUUCAUUUAUACAUAAGAGAGGCCUGAUUGCUUUUAAUUCCAUAAGAUGACAAAACUGCAAGAAAACAAAACGAGGAUUGUUACUUCGUCACAUAACUGUAAACUAAUUUCCUUCCAAGGACAAUGAAACCAUAAGGUGCCGCCUAAUGUAUAAAAAAUUACGUUACAAGGCAGUCAUACAUGAGAAUUUUGACUUGGCAUUGGCUUUCUGUCUUUAGCUGCCAUCAACAAUGUUGUGAGAAACAUGACUGCUUCAGGACAGAACUUCCGAGAUUGUUUGGUUAUCUACAGAAUGCAUUAAUUUUAAAAGAAAGAAAUGGGAAUUGAAACUGUUGGACAGAACAGUAAAUCGACCAAUUCAUAUAACUACAAAAUACAUACAGAGAGAAGCAUGGAGCACAAGAAAGAACCAACUGCAGUAUCACGACCAGACAUGAUAGGACUACGUGCCAGAUAUUCACACAUCAACAGUGUUGCUGGAGUCAUGACCACAUGACGAAAAUCAGAGCAUGGAAAUAUCAGGGACCAAAGCCUCAGAAGAAAUAUUGUCUUUGAAGAAGGCCAAUAACUCUGUUCUGUAAAAACAAAACAAUGACAAGAAGUCAGCACCUCAGCAAGAGGAAGCUUGUAACUAUGCUUCCGAACAAACAAAAAGCUAUAGAUUCCAUUAGGGAUUACCUGGGUUCUUAACGGUCUCACUAAAUUCCGUCCGCGCCCGUAAAAUUCUCUCACGAGCACAAAUUGCAGCGAAGUAUGGAGUCUCCAUACUCAUCUCAAUCAAUGGCUUAACCAGAAAAUUUAACAACUCCAUAUUCAACGGCUUUCUAUUUGCUAAUAUGGCAAAAUACUGCAGGAGUACACCAUAAAAUACCUGGAAAAAUGGCAGAAACACUCAUGAGUACUUAGCAAAUAUAAUGAAAACCGAAGAUGUAUAUCUUCACUGACUUUUUGCUUGGAUCAAGUCAAAUAUUAAACGACAGAACAGAAUUGUUCCACAUUUGACACAUAAUUUCAAUACUCGUUUCCAAAAACAUAGAAGCAACAAACAGUUUCAUACUUGCAUUUUCUUCCUGUUUUCUGCUGCAAGCUUGAUUGCAUUGCUUUUCCGGAUUCGAUUGAUAAUCAAGACAAUGUCAGCAUUAGAGAUUAUCCACCAAUGCACCAAACUCUUCAAAGCUUUUUGGAGCUUCGAUUAGGUACGGGAGGUCUGACUGAGUAGAAGGUCGUUUACCGUCCUGAGAUAUUUUCUUGGCAUCUAAAGAAUCGCCCUCUUUUUUACUGGCUUCAGAAGCAUCAAUUUUUUUCAUUUUUUUCAGCUUUCUUGGUUCCACCUCUUCUUCAUCAGCAUCAUCAUCCUCUUCAUGUGCUUCAGACCCAUCUUCUUUUUCUUCCUCCUCAUCCAAAUCCGUUCCAAGAUUAUCAUCAUCACUUUGUUCCCAGUCCUUCAUAAAUAGAUUCUUUUCACCCAGGUUAAUAUCUUUAUCAGAUCCUUCACUGUCAUCUUCAGGACUUUCUGAAUCCUCAGAAGCAUCGCCUUCUUCACUCUCAGAAUCGCUAGCAUCUUUUCUUUCUAGAAUCUCAUCAACCCAACCCUUUUUAAUCCGCGGCUCUUCAUCAAGAGAGAAGGAAUCGCCAAGAUCAUCUCCAGAUAUGGGUCUUGGCUUAUUAUGGUUAGAUGGUGUCUCAGCAUCUUCAUUGUCAUCGUCACUAUUGAUAUCAGUGGCAAGCAUCCUCUUCUGUCUCUCUUCCUGAAUUGUGAAACAAACUCGAAUGAGCAUUCAAUUCAUACUAAAAAAGUACAAAUGAGAUGCAACAUCCAAUUUCUCAAAGUUCUUUGUUCCACUAAAUAAAGGGCAUGUUUACUUAUCAAAAAUGGACAUCCAAGGUAUGGGUAUCAUUCCCAACAUAUCCUGCGUAUACUAACACACAAGGAAUGAAAAAAAAAUACGUCAACCAUGUAUGAAAUCAUCAAAGCGGGUAACCAGUAUCAUUCCCAUUCAUGACUUCUUCCUAUUAAACAUGCCCAAAAGGAAAUGGAAAGCCUAACAUUCAAAAAGUUGAAUAUAAUGCAUUUUCUUGUUACAUCCUCAAAACAUCAUGCCACUUGCAUCACACCAGAAUCAAAUUAAACAAAUUGUAUUAGAGAUGACACCAGUUACCAUAUAUAUAUUCAUAACAAACAAAGGAUAUAUCUUAGUGGCCAAAAGCAUAUAAACUGCACUUGCCAACAUUCUACUGCUAUUUACUAAUAAGGACUGCUAAUAUUGCAAAUAACUUCAAAAAUUUGCACUAUUCCUUGAUUAUGAGGAAGGAACUACAAUCAUGUAUAUACCAAUUUGGACAUAUAUUGGCACCAGAACAUUGAACUUGUUAGCAACAAUAAAAAUCCCCAACAUAAAGCAAAGACAAGUGCAUUGGCACAUCAAAUUAGCAUGCACGUGACAUGCGUGAAUGAAAAAACACUCAUAAAUUGUAACAAAAUAAGAUACCUCCAAAUGCUCAAGCUGCUCUCUCUCCUCUUGUGCUAUCUCUUCAGGUGUCUUUGUCCUGUCAGAGGGUUGAGCACGGCUUACCAUGACUAAGUUGCCAAAAGUUUUGAAAUAAGAACGGGAUUUUUCCUGUGAAAUUGUAAAUAUCAAGGAAUAAAAAAAACUCUUAUACUAAAGAAAAAAAAUUACAACCGUAACAAGUUAGAAACCAAUAAAGGACCUUCAUGAAAAUACCUGUUCAGAAAGCUCAUCCUUCUUCGAAUGCUCAUUUGGAAUGUUCUUGUCUGGUUCAGUAAUUUGUAACAGUUUAGAGGGCACAAUGGAUGUGAAGGAUUUGUCCAAUUCUUGCCUAAAAUCUUCAAGUUCUUCCUUAUCUUUUGCUCUUUCAGCCUAGAAUGGAUCAAAGGAAAAACGAAGGAAAUCGUAAAUAAAGAAGGAAAAAAGUUUCAAGGAACGCAUGUAAUCACUAUCACCAAACAAGUUAAUGCCAUAAAUGAUUAGAAACCCACCCUAUAAUAUUUGUCUUUUGCCAUAACCUCCUUCAUUACUUCCUUCUUGCUUUUAGGUCUCUGUAGUAUGAAAACAAUGAAACCAAUUACGAUCAUUUAUAAGGGGGGAGAGAGAGCAAGAUAAAAGAAUAGAUUAUAGUGGGAGAAACAAGAAACAGAAUUCCUUUAAAACUACAAUGAAUUUCUAAAUUCGAAGGGGAAUUAACUCUUAAAUAUCAUAUAAAGAGGCAAGCAGCAAAGCAAUCAAGAAAUGUCAAUUAAAAUCCUAAUACAAGUACAAUACCUAAAAUCUAAUAAAAACUUAUUUUACUGAUGUGCAUAUCUUAAACAAUCUUGAAUUUGAAUAUCACAGAGCAAAACUCAGAUAGCAGAAGGGCUCACAUUUUCCUCUCCUUCCAUUAGAUCACCAUCCAUUUGAUCUGUCAUGGCUAACCUUUCUACAGAGAACAAAGUAGGCACCAUUACUGCUAUUAGAAUAGUCCUAACAAUCAAUCACCAAAUCAUAGGGAGAUGCACGUGUUUCCAACAACAACAUAAAAUCACUAAAAAAAAAUUUGGUUAGCAUCAAAGAUCUGCUAUCGUUUUGUGGGUUUUUACUUUCCUUUACUCCAUAUGAGCAAGAGUUCCUUCGGAUACUUGUGAUAAAGCCUAGUCCAGAAAAUGAUAAUAAGUAGAAGCCAGAAUUGUCCAACUCAACCAUCAAGUCAACCACAUGUACUUCUAUCCAAACAUUACAGUUAAAAACCAUGGACAUGUCAAUAACCAAAUUUCAAAUGGUAAAUGGUAACUGAACCCUGAAUGAUGCAUUCAAAAUCUAAGUUGCACAAAUGAAAACUGAAACCCUACUGGAUAAACAAACAACACAGAUAGAAGUAUCUCUACACAUACUCUUAGUUUGAGUGGUUUCUGUGCCAUCGUCGUCAUCAUCAGGCAGCACAUCAUCCUCAAAAUCAUCCCUUUCAGAUAAUGCACCAAGACUUUGAAAUUCAAAGUCGUCUUCUUCUCCAUCUGAUAAGUUAUAUUUGCCUUUCUUGUUCGUCUUUAACUAUUCAUGAAAAUGAAGAGAAAAAAAGAAAGAAAAUGAGAAACAAAACACAUUAAUAAUAAAUUACCCAUGAUUCCAUAAAUUAAACUGAAUAUAGUUCUGAAAUAGAGUUUAUAGUUGCGUGGAAAGCUUGCCAAAAAGAAAGGAAAUUUAGAUAUCAUGUGUUAGAUAUGUACAUUUUAAUGAGAUACGCUUUGUGCGACAAACUACAACUGUUUACUAUUUCCCUAUAUUUUCCUGGUCACCAAACAGAAAACAAAGCUGACCCCAAACAAUGGGUAGAAAUUCAGAAAAUGAGCUUACUUGAUGCUCACGCUGCGCACGCUGAAUGGCCUUAUCGAACUCAUUGAGCUCGUCAUUAUGCUCCCCAAUUCGCUUAUCGACAAAGACCGAAGCUUUAUUGCUCUGCUCGUACUCCCUCAGCAGCGUGUUCUUCCUCUGAGCCACCAAAGCAUAAAUAAAGCAAUAAAAUUACAAAAUUUGAAGUAAAUUCAGAAAGGGAGUGACGCAAUUCAGUACCUUUUCAAUGGCGCGAGAGCGGGAGAGGCCAACUCGGCGCUCUUCGCCUUUGCGCUUUUUGCCGAGAAUGUCGAAUUUCCUCCGGGACCAAAUGGUCUCGAACGGGUUGGGUUUUAGGGGGGCCUGGUGCUUCAUGGCGACAGCGUUCGGGCCUAGCUUAUUCUUUUUCUUCUUCGCCGUCGCCGCCGCCUCAUGGUUGUGAUUGGCGUCAGCUCUGCCGAGUUUUGGUGAUUUGGUCUCGAAGGGGUUGGGUUUUGAAACGGACUUCUGGUGGUGCUUCUCCUUGUGUUUCGCCAUUGGAGAAUGGUGUGAGCAGGGAGGUGAUGCCGGUGGUUUAGGGUUUAAGCAUUCGAGGAAGAAGGCGGGGCUUAGGGUUUUGCGGGUGUUAGGUACUCAAGCCCAAGAGCCCAACCUAAAAUACUAGUCCAUAGGUGGGAGGACCCUUGCACUUAAGUACUACUACACAAUUUCUUAUGUAGCCGAUGUUGGAUCAUAACAUUACACCAUCUUUUGGAAGACCCGACGUCCACGGCGGCACCGGUCGCCAAGUCCCUUAGGAACCCAUACUCCCAAGGAGGCAUCACUCACCAAGUCUCGCAAUGUCGGGAACCUAGGCUCUGAUAUCAAUGUUAGGUACUCAAGCUUAAGAGCUCAACCCAAAAGACUAGUUCAAGUCGUGAGUAAGGGAAUCUGUCCCAAAGAUGCUUUGGUGUGAGGUUAGCUAGGCCUUUGCGAAUAAGGACCCUCUUUGGAUCCUCUUUGUGAGGAUCCCGGAGAUUUUCUAAUCACAUCUGUUCAUCGUACAUCAUACGGUCAGUUUUCAUCAGGUAUUGUUUAUAUUUAAUUUUAAAUAAAAAAUUUACAAUAAUUUCUGAUCGUAUGAUAUACGAUGAAUGAAUUUAAUUUGAGAAUUUCCGGAAUUAUCCGGAGAGAAUUCUCAUUCGGCCUUUUACAUAUAUUGGAGAUAAGACACUCGAUAAAAGGAGUCAAGGGAGGGACCUCAUUGUCUCUCCAAAGAAAUAAUAGACCAUUGACCUGAAUAAUUACAGUCACACUUUUUCCAUUCACAACCACCCUUUUAUUUACAAACAGAUGCAGAAACAAUCAUAAUUUUCAUGCAGUGAGAUUAGAUUAUCAUAUAUAUAUGCGCUUAUCUUGGACUCUUAAUUACUUAAUUAAGCCAAUAGCCAGAAAUCUUUCUGGCGCUUUGUAGUAAUCAAAUACCCUCCAACCUUCCUGCUUUUCCUUCUCACAGCAACUGCCAUGCAACUGGCAUUUUGUAUACAGUACUCCACCACACCGCCGCGACCGCCGCUGAUCCGGUUGCCGGUCCACAUCACCAGCAGACGCCAUGUAGUAUACCUCUUUUUCUGCCCCAGUACAAGCAAUCCCACUUCUUGUUUCUUUGCCUCUUCCAGUAUUUUUGGACCUUUCUCCUUAUUCCCUUCCACCACCACUGCAACCUCAAUUUCUACCUCUGGCCUCUUCAACCGACACAUGUUCCUCAAAGAGUGGACAAGUGCAUAAGCCCUUGGAGAUGGAGCUAUCUCCUUGCUGGUCUCCUCACCUGCAGCUGUAACAAAAUAAGUCAUAAAUCAUAAUUCUUUCAACAUAAGUGUUUCUUACAAAAUAAAUCUCAAAUCGGCCCUAAGUGAUAUAUAUUCAGUUUUUCUAUAACUUCACUCAAGAAAGUUAAAGUAGAGUUACACAAAAGAGAACUGCUAUUGGCUCUUUAAAAUAGUCACGCACUCCUUAUAAUAAAAAUAGAUGUAUAAAUAAACAAACGAAAGACAAGUACAAAAUGACUAUUGUAGAGUAAAAAACAUUAAUUCCCUAUGAAAACCGACAAAAUAAAAUGUACAACCUUGCUUUGAGUUUGCAGAUUUGGUGACAUGAAGCAGCACAAUUUUAUCCUGGCUCUGCACAGUGUGAGAGAGAGCCCAUUGGAUAGCUCCUUUGGCUUCAAGGCUGGAAUCAACCACAAUCAUGAUUUUCCUAGCAAUUACCAACGCAGCUUUUUUAGGCUUUUCAUCACCACCACCACCAGCUGCUUUCACUUUCUCUUCUUCUCCAACAUUCCCAGAAUCCUCAAAUUUUCCAUCACUACUUUUUGUAGCGACAUCUGAAGCAUCUGGCUUGAACUGUAUCGGUGGCGACCGAACCCUAACGGGUGGCCUAAUCCUGUUUAGACAGAAAUUAGGCAAUUUAGUGCCUAUUUUCCCCAUUUCCUGAUAUGAAACUCGAUAGACUUUGAGAUGCCUGUAAUUCUUAUAUAUAAAGUGGAGUACUGAAGCUGAACAAAUUUCUAGAUGUGGUGUGGGGGCCAUGGUGUUAAGUUAUUUCUGCUUUGCAUUUGCUUUAUUCGUUUUCUUUAUUUUUGCCGUCUAAUCAUGUUUGUUUCUUUUAUUUUUGCCCUUUGUGCGGUGCUAUUUCUGGUAACAAGCUUCUCAUGAAGCUGUAGGGCCAUGCAAGGCUAUCUGACAUGUUAGGAUAAUCAAUUUAUUUUUCAAAGCAAAAACAAAAAAUACUUGACAAAAAUAACAAUAUAUUGAUCACAUAUCCAAAUAAACAUCUAUACAUUAACUCAACUAUCGACGGUUUGGUGCCAAAUAACAUAUCAUUAUGAAUUACGUAUUUAUUAAAUAUAUAUAGAUGAUUAAACGAUGCAAUUUUCUGUAGUUAGCCAAAAAUUGUAAAACCUGUUAUUCAUCAUGAUUCAUACAUAUGUGUAUCUAUUGGAAUAGUUUAAAUGGAGUUCCCUAGAGAAUGAACUCUGGGAAUGUAGAGUAUAAAUUAGUAUGAUAAAAUAUGAUAAAGUCAUCAAAAUGAAGAAAGAUGUUAAAUAAAAAAAUAUUUAUUCCUCUUCUCCCAUUUUUUUUUCUUACUAUAUAGCACAUUUCAAUUUUACGAUUUUUUUAACAAAAAAGAAACGUCAAUCCGCAUUUGAGUUUGGAUUGGAAUUUUUAUUUUUGAUUCAAUUCAAUUGAACAGUCAACCAACCUAUUUUUUUUUCUGGUUAUAAGACCAAUAGCUCUAGCGGUUGACUCGCUUCUUUCAAAUUGUUUCUCAUUAUUAAGAAAAGGUAACGGAGAUAAAAUACAAGCUUGUUUUAUAGCAAUAGUAAUUAAUCGUUGUUGUUUUAAGGUCAAUCUAUUCACCCAUCAAGAUAAUAUUUUUCCUUGUUCGCUAAUAAAUCGACUAAUUAAACUCUCUCUCUCUCUCUCUCUCUCUCUCUCUCUCUCUCUCUCUCUCUCUCUCUCUCUCUCUCUCUCUCUCUCUCUCUCUCUCUCUCUCUCUCUCUCUCUACACACACACACAGGGAAAAACCAAAAAAGGUGAAGUUUCCAUAAUAUCCAAAUUGCCUUUUUCCAUUAAGAAUUUUAAAAAAAAAUCACAAAAAAAAAACUUCGGGUGGUCAAAAUAUAUUUAAUAACUAUAAUAAGUAAAAUAAAAAAUAGAUAAAUAAUAUAUAUAUAUAUAUAUAUUAUCAAAUAGAAAAACAAAUGAUAAAAUAAAAAGAGUCAAUUAUCACACAAGUACGUGUAGGCUUGGCAAAUGAGUCGUGUUUGUCGUGUUCGUGUCAUUUUCGUGUCAUACUUGUUGUCUUAACGGAUCGUGUCACGUCAAACCUGAUAUCUUAACGGUUCUUAACAGGUGACUCGCAACCUAAUUCGUUAAAGAGUCAUGAAGUUUUGUGUCGGGUUAAUGGGUCAGGCAAAAAAACUUCAAGCCAAAUGUCUUGGCAAAGGAUAUCUUAAUGGGUCUCUUAACGGAUGACUAGAUAACGACCCAAUUUGUUAUUGGGUUCCUAAUGGAUGACUCAAUAACGACCCGAAUCGUUAGCAUGUGGACCCCAGGGUCGGCCCUGAGAAUUUGGGGGCCCUAGGCGAGCCUUCGAAGUGGGGCCCUAAAAUUAUUUGAUCUUCGGUCCUUUGUAUAUUGAUUUGUAUAAAAAAAAUUUGCUAAUUAGAUAAAAAAGUUCUAUUUUCACAUCAAAUAUCAUUAAAAAUUAAUAUCAAAAGAAGAUAAAUAUACAAACAUUACACGAUUCACGUUUUUAGACACAAAUGUACUAAAUGUUUGCAUUCAAGAGUUUAAAAUUGAGAGUGAAGAAUAAUAAAACCUGAUGAUCACAAGAUAAAUAACAAUAAAACUUGAUUGACGAGUAUAAUAAAUUCAACGCCAAUUGUUUUUCUUGUGUUUUUUUCUUCUAAAAUCAACAUCACACUAACGAAUUGAAUAUUAAAGUAAUCCAUUGAAUAAAAAGUUAUUGAAAAGAAAAAUAUAAAAUUCAAAGUUUUGAUUACCUUAAAGUACAAUCUUUAAGACCAUAUGAUAGUUGGUUUAAACAUUCAAUAGAAAUGGAGAGAAUAGGAAGUUGGUUUAAACAUUCGAUAGAAAUUGAGAGAAUGAGAAGUUGAAAGAAAAAAGAUUGCAAAGAAACUUGAGUUUUAUAACUUUAUAUGCAUUUGGACAUAUGGAUUGGGAGUUUGACAGAUGGAUUAGCAGUAAAUUUGAAAAACAAGAAAAAUUAAGAAAAAACUAGUGACUGAAAGGCAGCUUCGUGUUUCAAACUCAACACCCCAAAGAAAAAUGAAGCCAACAUUUCCACUGCACUAACAAAUGAAUUAUGAUAUUUCUUACUUUUUUUUUUGUAUUUAUAUGUUAAGUGCAGGAUAUAAAAUUUUUUUGGGGGCCCUUCCAAAGUGGGGGCCCUAGGCGAGCGCCUACUUAGGCUACCCUUAGGGCCGGCCCUGGUGGACCCAAAACUUGUUAUUUUCAUGUUAUGUUAACGGAUCGUGUAAGAUAUUGCAAGAUCUACAUAUGCGUGUGGCAAGAGGCUAGCGAGUCAUAUAGUUCUAUACAUGCAUGUGAUUUAUAGUCGGCAGCAAAUAAAUAUGUGCCAACCACAAAGAAAUCCGACUGUAAUUUGUGAAUUUUUUAUGCUAAAGUAUGAAUUGCAGUUGAGCUUUUAUGCUCAAUGAUUUUUAAACCUUUUUUAAUGAGUGAAAAAUUAUUGGAUUUGUGUGUACAUUUUGAUUUCUCUGACAGUGAUAUGAUGAUUUUGGUUGCGUUUGAGCCACGCUAGUUGUUUAUGCAAAUACAGAAUGCGUAACUAAAAGCCCUUCUACAUAUAUAAAGUUAUAAUUUGCUUAUCUGGAUUUUCAAUCUUGCAUUAAUAAUUGCUCUAAGCGGAUGCCAGCACAAUUAGGAAUACAAAAAUGAAAAUUAAACCCCACAAAAGUUAUAUAAAUAAAAUCUCACCUAAUACAGUAGAUUCAUUGAACUGCAAUUCAAGUAAAUCGACUGGUAGGAUGAGAUUAUUAGACGGAAAAUACUUUCAUCCAUUCCAUGCAUGGUGUGCUGCGUGCACCACUUUCUCCAUUAAUUUGUUAUUAGCAUAUCGCAUAAACUUUAUAAUUAGAAUUGUACAAAUUUUUCUUGUGAACGGUUUAUUUUGUUAAAUAUUCUGUAACGAUAUUUAUCUACAAAAAAUCAAUUAAAUCAAUAUUAAUCAGAAGUAUUAGUUAUAGCGAGAUCAUACCCGGUGCAUAAUGAAUGUCGAAUUUAGACAUGAUGAAACAAGUUAAAGGUUGUGCUUGGAAACAAAUUUUGUUUGUUAAAGUGCUAAAUCUUUCGUUAAUUAGGAUGCUAAACUACUUUACACAAGAAAAGGAUGUGCCAACCUCCAUUUAGACUUCCAAUCUUAAAAAAGAGAAACAGUAGAUUUGUGAAAGAAAAAGGGAUUUCUGCAUGUCUUAUCAAAAGAAAGUGGCCAAACAUGAUAUAUAAUGUUGUUGCAGCUAAAGGCAAUUAAGCGAAUAAGGUUGACUUGUUACUUCAUUAAUUGAUUAAAUUUCAGUGAGGAUAACCAAUUACGUAGUAUUAUAAGUUCACUCAUAUCAUACUACAUAACAUUUUGUGAUAACAAUGUCACAAUUACACAAAAGUUACCCGUCAUUAGAGAUUCGGACACUGGAGAAGAUGUCAUCCUACCCUGUGCAUUUGGGCUUUCCUCAGUUGGUGGCAAGUAGCGCAUAUAUUAACAAGCUUCAAAGUAGGGUCGCAAAAGUAGUUGGUGUUCAGCCCCAACUAAAACCAGAAUAAAAGGGAAGGAAACUUGCAAAAGAAGAUUCGGUGUCAGCAAAGAUAGCCCACAAGAAUUAGGCCCCAUGAAAUAUUACCACUUUCGUAUUUUAGUAGGAUUAUUUUCCUUUCAAAUUCUUUUUCUGUAAUUUUCUUCUAUUUGAACGAUUAAGAUUAAAUCACAUUAACAUUUUAAGUUUACUCUUUAUAGAAGAAAAAAAGGAAAAGAAGAAAGUGAGAGAGGAAAGAAACGAAGAGAAGGGCAAAAGAUUUAGAAGAGAGUUUAGUAAAAAAAAGAAAAAAAAAAGAUUUAGAAGAUAGAGAAUUCUCUGUUACUUUUUUUUUGGGUCAAAGUUUUGGAUCUUGACCUUUUAAGUUGUAAUUAAGCAGAAAACCCUACAUUGUUCCAAAAAAAAAAAAAACUACAGAACUAGAGUUAGAAUUAUAAACAAACACGACUUUAGAAAUUCAGUUGACACAAAAUUCAGUGCCUUCAUAUCAUCUCUUAAAACCCUUUUUGCCGCUUCUUUGUCUUGUUUUCUGUUUGGUUAUCUGGAUUUUUUUAUUGCGGAGUGUGAGAGUUGAGGAUGCACUUUCCCCAUUGAAGUAUGCUGCCUCUCUACUGCCUUAUAGUCUUUAAACUCUUCAUCAAUACUAUAUUUCUUUUAAAUAAACUAUGUGAUUUUUUAAGAGCAAUUUAAUCUUUCAAUGGCGUUGCUUUUCUACUUUUAUGCCUCUUAAAUAUUUAAUGUUUGAUUUUGUAAUUUUUGUUGCAAUAAUCAUCACUCAUCAUCUUGACUUUUUUUUUUUUUUUUUUUUUGGUUGUUAUGGUCAAUGCAGGCUGGGGACUGCUUAAGCUGAGCAAAAAAACUGAAGGUGUGAGACAUGGGUUCGGCUUGUUCUUGCUUCCGGUCAAAAGAUCCUAUAGAAGAUAAUAACGGUGACAAUGCAAGUAAUGGUGAUGUUGGCUUCACUCAAAACUUGUACAACAAAGUAUGUUUUUCAGAUUUUGAUUAUCACUUUCCUAAGUUCGUUAAUUCUGUUUGCAACUUUUAGUUUUAUGACAUAAUCAAAAGUUCAAAGGUCAAUAGGUCUUAAGUUCAUCUGACACCUUCAUAUUUUUGUGUUUCUAUGGGUCUUAAGUUCAUCUGACACCUUCAUCUGACGCUCCGAUUAGAAGAUGCGACUAUGGGACAGAGGUUCAGGGCCGAAGGGGCAGAGGAAGAUCUAGGAAAACUUUGGAAGAGACCCUAAGAAAAGACUUAGAGUACUUGGAUCUAACGGAGGACAUGACACAGGACAGAACACAAUGGCGUUCUAAGAUUCAUAUAGCCGAUCCCACUCAGUGACUUGGAUUUUCCAAGUCUCCAACCGAGAAGUUUUCCUCACUCGGGAAAUUAAGGGAACACUAUCUCAACCUAUAUGCUCCACUCACAAAGCUUCAACAUACAAGCUUCAACAAAAGAAAAUUCAAAGAACUUAGCGAAGAAGGCUUUGGUGUAUUUAACACAAUACGUUGAAAUGAAGGAAAGCUUAUUUAUUGAUAUCCCCGAUAAGUUACAAAUAUGUACAUAUACUUGAGUCAAAAUAAACAAACAAGAUGGAGCCUUCACAAAGGUUGCUUAGGAGAAGUCUCAGCAGUCGGUAGAGCACCAGAAAGAGAAGGCACCGGAGGGGGAUCAUUCGGAGCCUCAGUAUUGGACAAAACCCUAGAAGGAGGAGGCAUCAGAGAUUGAUCAUUUGGAGCUUCAUUACGCGGUACAAGCCCCCAGAAGACGAAGGCAAUAAAUGCCUUUGGAACAAACCCACAAAUCUCUGAUGAUCAAGUAAAACCUGACCAUCAGAUUCCUUCAUCUGGUCAAGCUUCCUCUUCAUGUUUGUAGCAUAGUCAUGUGCGAGCCGGUGCAACUGUUUAUUCUCAUGCUUGAGCCCUCUAAUCUCCUGUUUGAGACUCAUCACUUCAGCCGCCAAUGAUUCAACUUGGCGGGUUCGAGCAAAUAGGCGUUGGGCCAUAUUAGACACAGAACCUGCACACUGAACAUUGAGAGCCAGAGAAUCCUUAACAGACAACUCAUCAGACCGUUUGGAAAGUAGUCUGUUAUCUUUGGGAGUGAGAAGGUUCCUGGCCACUACCGCAGCGGUCAUAUCAUUCUUCAUCACGGAAUCCCCAACGGUAAGAGGACCAGUAGGGGAGACGAAGGAUGGGCGCCAUAUGUUGUUUGGAAAAGGCGGGGCUGCCUCUUCAACAAGGUUCAAGUCAAAACGACGGUCGGAGGGGCCAGACAUUUUCAAAGGUGUUGAAGAGAGAAGAGGUCGGACAAAUCAAGAUCUUAGAAGUGCAAGAAUGGAGCUUCUACUGGGGGAUAUUCAAGUGUGUUUUGGAACUUAAUGUCAGCCCCUAUAAAAAUCUGCACUCGACGAAGCUUCAGAAAUCGAAGAGGCGCCUGCUCAUAAAUCGAAGAGGCGUUUGCUUUCUCAAAAGCUGGGCUGCUCAGAGAUUCUCAAAAGCUGGGCUGCUCAAAGACCACAAAGGCCGAUCUCAGAAAUCGAAGAGGCUUGCUUUCUCAAAAGCUGGGCUGCUCAGAGACCACGAGGGCCGAUUUCAGAAAUCGAAGAGGCACCUACUUUUCCAGCCUUGUUAGCACCUGUCACACGCACACUCAGCUUUGCGGAAAUUAUGGGCAUUCUGUCGAAGAUUUCUGGCGAAGUAGAAAGCACAUGAAUCGUACUGUUCAAUCACCCACUUCCCACACGCAACAGUAGCUCAUGGGUACCACAGAUAACUUUUCCAAAGUUCUCUGACAAAGUUGAGACACGUGAAGCUUGCAGCUCCCACUACACCGCUCUGACCAAGAAGGGUAAAAGAAUUGCAAAGAAACAACACUAACAAAGUUUAGACACAUAAAUUUUGAAGGUCUAGCUACCAUAUUAUUACCCACAAGGGUAAAGGAACAGUACCACUGCUGGAUAAUUGGAAAGUCUCAGUGUGUCAACCUCUGUGCUUCGUGGCAAGGUAGACUAGCAAACAUGCCCAACCUUUACUCACAUUCGAGAAAACACUCCUAACAAGAUUGCUUGCUCCAAAAUCGAAGAGGCACCGCCCUCCGAAUCUCGAGAGCCAGACUCCCAACAUGAUUACUUUCUCAAAAAUCGAAGAGAAGGUAAAGGAACAGUACCACUGCUGGAUAAUUGGAAAGUCCCUGUGUGUCAACCUUUGUGCUUCAUGGCAAGGUAGACUAGCAAACAUGCCCAACCUUUACUCUCAUUCGAGAAAACACUCCCAACAAGAUUGCUUGCUCCAAAAUCGAAGAGGCACCGUCCUCCGAAUCUCGAGAGCCAGACUCCCAACAUGAUUACUUUCUCAAAAAUCGAAGAGACACCGCUCUCCGAAUCUCUAGAGCCAGACCCCCAGCAGGAUUGUUUUCUCAAAAAUCGAAGAGGCAUCGUUCUCCGAAUCUCGAGAGCCAGACCCCCGACAGGUCUGUAAUCUUCACACGCAACAUCAGCUUUCCAGAUACCACAAACCACUUUUUCAAAGUGCUCUGACAGAGUUAAAACAUGUGAAGCUGGCAGCUCCCACUACCGUGCUAUAACCAAGCAGGGUAAAGGAAUAGCAUUAUUACUUGAUGUUAGGGAGACUCCUAUAUAUGUCGACUUCCAUCCCUAACGGACAGGCAGACCUGCAAAAAUGCUCAACCCUUUCUCUUAUCUGAGAGGGCACUCCCAACAAAGCCUUUCGAAAUAUUCAGCUUUUUUUCCCCCCGAUAAUACCUCUGUAAACAAGCUAUACUAGAGCAAGAAUAUCUCAUAUCAUCAGGGUUAAAAGCAAGAGUAUCCCAUAUCAUGCUUUUUCCCUGUCUUUUCCUUUGGCCUUGUUCUUACCUGCAAGACAAGGAGAAAGAGAGCAAUCAGUCAGCACUUGGAAUCAAGCUUUCAGCCAGGAACUGACUGCCUGGAACCCCUUACCUGAUUACUUACCUGGCAUUGCUCUCGAGUACUCAUCUUCAACAUCUUAUGCUUCCAGGGAAGAUACCACAUUUGCCUGAGGAACAGAUAGGGCAAGUGAGAAGGAUACAAGGAAGCAUGUGGAGACAAGCGUAACAGCACACGUGCCGAUACAUCCACUACUCUAUCAAAAGCAAAAGUAUCUCAUAUCAGCAGGGUCGAACGUACUCUAGAUUUGAUGGACUUGUUUUGACCCUCAAAUUCUUCAGUCGGCCUUAUACUCUGGAGGAAACCAGAAAACCCUCCAGCCCAGUUCAAGAAUAAGCCUGUGGAAAGUUACUUCUUCAAAAGCAAAAGUAUCCCAUAUCAUCUCUCCUCAUUUUUUCUUCUCUUUAUCCUUCAUGCUGCCUGCAAGAUAGGGAGAAUGUGAACAAUCAGCCGGAGCUCUGAUUGCUUACCUUGUCUGUCACCUCUUUCAGCAGAUCCCCCAGCUCGGCGACUUGGGGGACUCCUACUACAUGGUUUGUAUCUCGCUUGACCAAGCAUGAAACUACAAGUAAGCUUCAAGUGAAAUUGAUACAUUACCUUGUGCAUCUCCACCAGUUACAGAUACCACCACUGGAUGGAGGAAGAGUACUUCCAGAGAAGAUGCCACAUCUACCUAUGAGACAGAUAAGGCAAGUCAAGACGAUACCACACUCCGGUACUUAGAAGUUUCGUGGCUACGAGAUCAUUCUCCCACAAUUUUUCCUAAUGUCAUUUGUAUUAAAUCAUUCACUUGUACUCACUAAAGGAGAGCUUGAACCUAUGUACUUGUGUAAACCCUUCACAAUUAAUGAGAACUCCUCUAUUCCGUGGACGUAGCCAAUCUGGGUGAACCACGUACAUCUUGUGUUUGCUUUCCUAUCUCUAUCAAUUUAUAUACUUAUCCACAUUAAUGACCGGAGCAAUCUAGCGAAGAUCACAAAAAGUGACCGUUUUCGCUACCUAGGAUCUAUCUUGCAAGAGAACGGAGAAUUAGAUGGAGAUCUCAACCAUAUAAUACAAGCUGGAUGGAUGAAGUGUAAGAAUGCAUCCGGCGUGUUGUGUGACCGUCGUAGGCCACUGAAGCUCAAGGGAAAAUUUUAUAGGACGGCAAUAAGGCCAGCGAUGUUGUAUGGCACAGAAUGUUGGGCGGUGAAGCAUCAACGUACACAAAAUGGGUGUAGCGGAGAUGAGGAUGCUUCGUGAGAUGUAUGGGCACACGAGAAAGGAUAAGAUUGGGAAUUAGGAUAUCCGAGGUAAAGUAGGAGUAGCCAAAAUUGAAGAAAAUAUGAGAGAAAAUCGGUCCCGGUGGUUUGGACAUGUGCAAAGAAGGCCUACUGACGCUCCGGUUCGAAAAUGUGACUACGGGACAGAGGUUCGGGGCCGAAGGAGUAGAGGAAGACCUAGGAAAACUUUGGAAGAGACCCUAAGAAAAGACUUGAGUACUUGGAUCUAACGGAGGACAUGACACAAAUGAGCGCAAUGGCGUUUUAGGAUUCAUAUAGCCGACCCCACUUAGUGGGAAAAGGCUUUGUUGUUGUUGUUGUUGUAUGGGUCUUAUCUCAAUUGAAUCGAUUAAAUUGAAAUCUGAUGAUCAUCUAAUAUCGAUUUUUAGAUUGAGAAAUAUAGAGCAUCAAUCAGCAGUUGGAGAAGAGAUAAUUUAGUCAAUUCAUCUAAUGAGGUUGCCGACGCAUCUUCAAUACCCGAUGGGGCACCUCAGGUUGCACAAUCUGGCACUACUACUGUUGAAGUCCAAGUUGUCCAAGCCCCUCCACAAGAGGGACUAAAUGAAGGGUUAAUAUAUCAGAACCCUAAUGAGUCCUUAAAGAAGUCAUCAUCUGGAAAAGAAGCCACAGGGCUUAUGUAUAUCUAUGAUUUAUUAGAACGUGGCGAAGAAUGUCCCACAUGCCUGGAAGGUGAUCAUUAAUUUAGCGAAAUCUGUUUCCUUAUGCCAGAAUAUUAGUGGAUUAUAUGUGUUAUUCUUUUAUAAACUGACUUAAGGGUAUAAUUAUCUUAUGCUGAGGGUUCCUCUAUUUCUUGUAAUGACUGCAGAAUACACGACUGAAAAUCCAAAGAUAACAGUGGAGUGUUCUCACCAUUACCACCUUUCUUGUAUUUUUGAAUGGAUGGAGAGAAGCCCAACCUGCCCAAUUUGCAGCCGGGUAAUAUUCAAUUUCUUCCUUGCCUUUUUUAACUUGUAUAUAUGGAUAUAGCAAAUAUCACGUUUUCCGACAGGCACUUUCUGAAUUAGGGUUACUCUUAAGUUAACGUGCAAAUUGAGUUUAGACGCCAAUUUGUUUUCUAGCUGAUGAGGCAAAACUUGCAUAACAUUGGCACCGGCUGUACACAACUUUCUGCGAAUAUCACAUGACUAAAGGCAAGGCUAGUACACAGCUGGUGUAAUGGUAGAAUCUCUUCGCCAAUGACUGAUGACGUGAAGUUCAUCCUGAAAAUUAUUGGCCAAAACAUACCUGAAAUAUUUUGGAUUUUGUAACUUCUCCCAACUAAAUUUAAUCAAAUCGGCAAACUUUGUGUUGCAUCUGAUCGUUGUUAAUUAAAUUGAUUUUCUAGGUGAUGUUAUUUAGUGAAACGUCUUGAGACUCAACGCAAAUUGUUUGGCAUGCAAUGGUCAGUGAAGAGAUACCAAAACCAACAGAAAAGUAGAGCUUUUUCUGGUCACCAAAUCGAAAAGUCUGGUCACCGUUGUGUGCUAGAUUCUUGUAUUUUGAUAUGCUCCUUGAACUAAUUUCAAUUAUUCGAUUCCUUUUUUGCAAUUCUUUCUUCUUGAAAGAGUGAGGCUGCAAGUAUUCUAUAACUUUCCGGCUUAAAGUAUUUGUCCAAUUGAGCAGUGACUUAUUCUAUCAGUUACUGUGUCUCAUUUAUCUCUUUUUAAUUUUUUUCGUUUCUUGUGCAUAGUUACAUUGUAUCUUAAUCAAGUACUAAGCUGUAAACCCUAAUUGAAAAAGAAAAUUCCUCCAAAGUCACCUCAGUUACAGAUACCAAAAUCCUAAUUAAUUUAAUAAUUAAACUAACAUUAUAGAGAAAAAAUACAGUCAAAUAGAGUUUAGCUCACACAUUUACUCAAUAUUUUUCAGGUCUUUGGAAAUAUAAAUAGAAUUACAGGACAGUUUCAAAGUUCAGUUCCUCAUUGCCAUCGUCUGAUAAUCUUCCUUUCAAUAACUUACAUAUGGUACCAAAAUAUGGAUUGCUACAAAAGCAGUACGUUUAGGGUUGGUCCAAAAUUUACCAAGAAACCAGAAAUUUAAUACAGAGAUAGCACACAUAUAUAUAGUUUUGUUUUCUUUCCUUUUAAUUCUUCCUUUCUUUUUCUACCCAUUGAUGAUCAAGCAGCAAAGCAUCCGAGAUGGCAUGAAUAAAAUGGUUCCAGUGUAAGGUCCAGCUGGUUCCUCCUCACUUGAAGGAAUUCAUCUUGCUGCGUCCCCCUGCAUAUCAUAUCGUAUCAGACUAUGCAUUGCAUAUAAACAAGUUAAUUAGGGUCGUUGAUACCAAGUUAAUUAACUUCUUAACUGAUUCAUCACUAUUGUCAGUGUGGUCAAACAGAUUUUCUAUAAAACAAUAUUAACAUGCUAAGAGCAUCUCCUGAUGUGUAGCACAUAUACAUCUCUUAUUGGCCAGAAUGCUCUCCAAUUAUAAUUUUGAGGGGAUUUAAGUACGCAUCUUGACCUGAAGAUGAAAGUUUCAUCUGCUUUUUUUUUUUUUUUUUUUCUGUAAGUGAAAUUUACAUCUUCACAUUGGAGCAACAACUACAUUUAGAUUUCCCAAAAUUAUAUGAAAUGUAAAUGUGAUUUUUACAUCUCAAAGCUGCAUCUUUUCCAUUGAAAUUGCUCUAAUAAAACAAGACAAAUUAACAGGCCCUAGAAUUAAGAAUUUUAUGUGGGAAGAAUAAUCACCCAAUGUUAAGACAUGGAAGGGGCUGUGGAAGCAGGUCAAGGUCAUGGUUCUGCUGCUCCCAGUUUUGAACCUGGGGCUGAGCUGCAGCCUUCUCCUUCUCCUUUAUCUAUUUCCAAAAUUUAUAUGAAAAACAGAAAACCGAAAAGAAGAAUCAUCACAUAAAAAACCAUCCAAGUUAAAGGCAAAUAUAAACCCUAGACUACAACCCUAUUUGACUAUGUGAUAAAAUAGUAUAAGCAUAUUAUUACCUUCUUUGCUAGCAAGUUAUUUUGCUCCUGUAUCGCCUUUUCCUGCACGACACAAAAAGAUAAAAAACAAUUAAAUGAGCCACGUAAAAUAUAUGCCACACAGUACCAUUUCUCUUUCUCUCGCAGAGUCUAAACAUAUUCACAACGGAAAAAACAUGCUAUAGGUGCCCUAACCUUUCUCUGAAGCUCAGUGAUGGAUUCAUGCAUGAGUUGAUUCUGAAAGAAGUUAAGAGAAUACUUUAGCGUCAUCAAACUCAAAAUUAGUCUAGUGUAAGUACAAAUGCACCAUUAAGAGAAAGCGAUCCUCGUUAGCAAGCAUAAUAAGUAUUUACUUUUCUUAAUCGAAUUUGUUUAUGAGCGGUGUCAAGCUGUUGCUCCAAACUUUGGAUAUCCUUGAGAGUCAAGGAAUCCAGGUCUUCUCCCAAAUAGUGCCUAUGGUUUCUUUGCAAAACCUCAACUUUAGCCUUUAGUCUGGAAUAUUCAAAGGUCCAGUUACCCUGCGCAUCAAGAAAUUGUAUGAGUAAUUAUAACUCAAUCAAAAUAAGGCGUACCAGUUAAUUAGUAUUAGGAAUUUGAUGGCAUGGCAAACCUGCGACUCAAAAUCUGGUUCAACUAGCUGUCUUUCUGCGUAAGAGUAUCUUUCAUAGCGUUCAAGGAUUUGCUCCAUACUGUAAUAUCCAUGAUCAGCAAUAUCAAGCAUAUGAAAAAGUAGCAAUUAGCAUCUAGCUAGAAGAAUCAACUUGCUCCUCUAUCAAAAACCCCAUCUUAAUGAAUUGAUUGAUUAAUAAUAUGAUAGAAGUUCUGAAACACUUCCAAGGGAGUAUAUUCAUAUGAUUACGAAAAUUAGUCAUGAUCAUCAUCGCAUGAAAUAAUGUUGAUUAUUAUAUAAUGAAUGCCAGGCAAUACAAACUUUGGAGUUGCAACAGUCUUGCACUUUUUUAUUCUUGUUUGCGGUUUACCGUCGAGCAAGCAAGUCACGUUUCACCUCUAAGAGGUUCCAGUACUACUACAGAUCUGAAUGUGUGUGUGUAAAUAUGAUCAACUAGGAGACUGUUAAUAUAUAGCUAUAUAUUAUAUACAUAUGUUUACAAAGAGACUGUUACAUAUUGCACAAGUUAAGCUAUUUUAUGGUCUCCUAGCUUCAAAUAAUUGAGCUCCUGUUGAAGACUGUAUUAUUUAAAUAAACAUCUGAGAUUUAAUGCACCAGGAUUCACGUUUUCUGGGCUUCCUUUCAUUUCACUUCAUAUAUUCUUUAGUUAAAAACACAAUAUUCAAACUGUAUUAUGUGCGUCGUCUGGGUAUUAUAUAUCAUAUAUGGUAGUGGAAUAUUCUCCUGCGAGGAUUCUACUUGCUGCUGCUUCCACUCCUUGUUUGAUGUUUUUACUUUUGCUGACAAAAGAAAUUGUUCUGCUUACUCAUUACUAAGUUAACAAGGAUUAGAAUUAGUAAUGAUUAUAUCAAACCGCUCUCAGAAUUAGUAAUCAAGCCGGCAAGUUUAGUCUCAUCACAAUUGGUGGGUUCAAUUUAUUACGGAAAAAUAUAAAACAAGUACCGAUCAACAUGUUUCUUUUGUCAGAGGCAACCAUUAAUUAAGACCUUGAAACUCUAAUUAAUUUUGAGUUCUAAAAUUUAAACACUCAUUAAGUAAUUUGGCCAACAAAAGAAAAUGCACAAAAGAAGUACAUCUAGCUUUUUUGGUCAAUAGAAGUACAUCUAGCUAAUUUAAUAUUAUUUCCUACUGCUUUCAUCGAUCGAUCUUCUAAUUACCUUGCAGAAACCCACAUCUCAGUUAACCAGCAUCAGAUUAUUACAAAUUAACAACUCUAGUUACUUCAUCUAUAAUAAAUUAUAGUUAACAGAGUACCACUUUAGGACAACUCAGGGUUAACCAUUGACGAAAACAUAAAAUCACAUGCUUAUGGUACAACCUUAAUAACAAAUUUGUAGUGAAAGAAAACAAAACAAAAAUAUGCAAAAAAGAGGAAACAGCAUCUCCAACAGCUUAAUUAAAUAAAGCUUUUUGGUUACUUUGAAAAAAUAUAGAAAAACCGAACUAAAACGGGCUAGCUAUUUUAAUUCGGUAAACAAUAACUAGCAAGAUUUAGAAGAAGAGAUAAAGUUAAUUUUUUGUUAAACAUUAAAAACUAUAAAAUUGCAUUGUUUGUGGGCUUCAAGAGAAGAAAAAGGGAUUGGAGUCUAAAGUUUAGGAAAAAAUAAUAACAAAAUAUUUUAACUUUAGCUAAAGUAGCUAGUAUUGUUGGGAGUGGUGGCUAACCAAAUUAACAUUUGUGUCAUUUGGCUAGCUACAGUAACAAAAAUUUCGGUAGUAUUAUUGGAGAUGCUCUAUCAAAGCAAGGUAUAUGAAAUUUUUUAGCUAGGUUGAGCUCGAUUUCUUAGGCGGCGUUUCUAAAUCCAUUUACUUUCUUACAAAUACAAAUUUCUAGGUUUCUCGAAUAGAGAAGUUAGGUUUUUUCUUUGAUAGAAAUUUUAGCUAGGUUUCAGUAAAUAAAAUUUGAGAUGAGGAGUUAUAAUUAAUAAGAAAAUAGUAUACCAUGAAUCUGUGGCGUACUCAAGGAGCUUCCCCUUGUUGGAGAAGACAAUCAAAGCAACCUGAGCAUCACACAAGACAGAGAUCUCAUGAGCCUUCUUCAGCAGCCCAGUGCUUCUUUUGGAAAAAGUCACCUGCCUGUUGAUCUUGUUCUCUAUGCGCUUCAGCUGAACUCUACCUCUCCCCAUGAUUAAAUAUUUAUGGACUCUGAGUUACCACUCACUCUUUCAACUGCUUGUUCUUUGAUUUUCUUUCUCAAAAAAACCAAACAACCGAAACCCCCAGAAAAAGAAAGACAACCCAGAAAAUGAACUGGUAGGCUGUCGAUUUAUAUACAAAAAAGAAAGAAAUAUAGUUACGAUUUAAUGGGAAUAUUAAUUUAUGCAAAGUUUCUUCUUAUAGCCAAAUACGUGAAGGUGCCUGAGAAAGUAUAUGUGCUAAUAACCAGCUCUACAGACUUUUGAUUUGAUGAUAGAUUAAGCGGUUUUUGUGAAUACAAGUGGUUUUGGGAAAACCGGUGGGGUUUUAAAGGAUUUGUUGUCGACUUCUGAUUAGCCGAGGUGUACUAUGUAGUCGUUUUCUCUCUUUCCAACGGGGCCAGGAAAAGACACCUCGAUUUUAUCUUUCUUACAUACCGGUGUAGCUCACUAGGUACCGGCUUCCUGCCGGACUCAAGAGUCUCAGGUAUGCAUUGUACGAACCUUCAGCUUUACUGUUACUUUUUUUCUCGACUCGUAACCAGCUGACGUACGUAUGCACAGUGCCACUUUUUGUGUAGUGAAAAUGGACUAGGAUUCUCCCCUGCUAUUCGGUAUCCCACAUUCCAACAAUGUGUUCAUGAUCAAUUUGACAAGAAAGCAAUAUUUAGUUGUUUAUCACUAUCUCUUUGCGCUUUGUAUUAUUCAAUUACUAGAUGAAGGGCACAUAUUGUAUGAAGCGUACACAUUGCGGUUUUAGAGAUGCGUUUUUUCAAUUGAUGAGGAUAAGGACGUGUUAAUUUGGAAAGCUUCUACAUCUAGAGUCUUUUGUUUUUUGAUGGCUAUGAAAUUGUUCGUCAUUGAUUUUCUGUUAAGAGUUGGGCUUCCAUUGUUUAGUGUCAUUUCAUUACACCUCGCUACUCUAUUUUAGUUUGAAAGAUUCUUUCAAAAAGCUUCCAACGGAGGAUCAACUUUAGCGAUAGGGCAUUCCGCUGGUUCUAAUAUACCAACUAUGUUACAAAAAUUCUAAAUCUAUUAAGCAUUUAUUUUUUAGUUGUGAAUUUGCACAAUGGGCUUGGUGUUGGCAAGCUACCCAAUUUGGAGCUAUUCUUCCGCUUACGGGUUCUUUCUUAGAUUUCUCGCUUGCUUUUGUGUCAAAGCGAUUUUCUCCACUACUUUGCAAUGUCUGGCUAGCUUCAUGGUUUUUCUUGCUAAUGGCUAUUUGGAAAAUGCUUGAUAAAGUGAAGUUUGAAAGUAAGCCUUAUUCCUUCUCACGCCCUUGCCAUUCAUUUCGGUCUGGAUUAGGCAGGUUGGAGUUUUCACCCUGGUCAUGGACGAGGUAUUUUGGGUAAGCAACUUUUAGUCUCUCUUGCAAUCUCGGCUGAGUCUUGUAAAGCUCCAUCUAUAGUCCCUGUUCCUUGGCAUCCUUCACCAUUUUCUUGGUACUGAUGACCUUGCUAAAGGUAACCUGGGUCAUGUGGCUUUUGCUGGGCUUUUCCGAGAUUCUGGGGGUUAUUUUCUUGGUAGUUCUCCCUAAGCUUGGAGCAUCGUACUUCUUUUUAUGCAAAGCUUCAUGGUGUCAUCCUUACUGUGGAGUUGGCCCACGUAUAGGGUUAGCAAAAUUUAUGGCUUGAAAGUGACUCUUCUAGUGUGAGAUCUUGUUUUGCUUCUGGAUCUUUCAUUCCUCUUUGGUCGCUCCAGACACGUUGGAAAAAUUGUAUUUUCCAAUUGCAGAACAUGGUAUUUUGUUGCUCUUACACAUUUCGAGAAUGGAAUGCAGUUGCUGACAAAUUAGCCAAUUUAGAGCUUAUCUUGUCUUCACUUGUUUGACAUGCCGCUCCUUCUAUAGAUAUUUUUUCUCUUCUGCACUCAGAUUUUUUGGGCAUGCUAGCCUACAAGUUCGUCUCCCCUUCUUGAUGUGUGAUUUUCUUUUUUACCUAAUCUUUUUGGAUUUUCCUUUUCAUUUUGCAGCUUGUCUUGCAAAUUCUUACCUUUUAGCUUUAUAGAGGGGUUGGGCCUAUGUCCACCCACUAUUUUUCUUGUAUUUUCUUUUUCAAGAGAGGUAAGGUCUAUGUCCCCCUUCUUUUUCUUGUAUUUUCUUAUUCAAGAGAGGUAAGGUGUAUGUCCCUCCCUUUUUUUCUUGUAUUUUGUUUUUCUUGCUUUAUGAGGGAUAAGGUUUAUAUCUCCUGGACUAGAUGUAACUUUUUUUUUUAUGUCAAUAAAUUUCUCUUAUGCCAUCGAGGUUUUCCAAAAAUAAAUAAAUAAAUGUGUAAGUAUAAAUAAUAGAAAAUUUAAUAGAAAAAAAGUAAUUUUCACUUUACUAUUAUGAAGUUUUGAGGUUUUCAAAACUUUCAAACAUUAAGUUUUUUUCAUCGAGUAUCAUACCUAAGGUUAUGUUUUUCUCCCAGAUUCAUAUACUUUUGUUAGGUUGAAAGUUUGUAACUCCGCUAAAACGUAACGUAACUCUUACAUGGACGAUGACUGUGCAUUCACGUGUCACUUUAGAAGGAACAAGUUCGAUCCUAUCCAAAAGCCCAAAUCAAUCAAUUGAUUCAAAACUCAAAUCAACAACUAAUUAAUUGAUUCAAAUCUCAACCCAAACACCCAAAUCAAUCAAUUUUACAUCUUUGUCAUUUCCUAUGAUAGCAAUACUAGAGUGGAAUUGACUUUGGAGUUUUACCGAAUAAAAAAAAAACAAUUUCAAUUAAGUUUAAAGUUUAUUUUUUUAGCAAUCUCAAACAGAUUUUAAGAUGUGUUGUCUCUUUCUAACUGAGCAUCACUUAGUUUUCAGCAUUUAUCAUAUCUUAUUUUCUUACGUAAUUCAUCUAGCAUGACUAGAACUUUAUGUUUAUGAUCAAAACCAUUCAUAUUUUGAAUCACUCUAUAAACUCAUAUCUGCAAAACAUGAACUAAAAAUAAGGUCGUUUAGUCAAUGUAUUAUAGCACUCAUAAUGUUUUUACCAAUUCCAUUCAUUUAUCUUUAUAUAAUUCAAUGACUAAACGACCUUAUUUUUAAUUGAUUUUUUUGUAAAUGUGACUUUAUUGAGUGAUUUAGAGUAUGAACGGUUUGGAUCAUAAAUACGAAGUACUAUAAUCAACAACGAACAAUUUCGAGUAAAACUAAUACUCAUAUCUUUUGAAUAGUCAAGUAUUAUUCCCCUAUAAAAUGAAAAGGGUCCGCCGUUUAAGGCCAUGUCAUAUCCACCAACUAUAUGGAUGGCUUUUACAUCUUCGUCGUCCUCCACCUCAAAUUCUGAAACCUACCACGCUCGCAGCUGUCUCCCCAUCAAAUUUUACACAACCUUUUACAUCUCUUGGACACCCCAAUAGUGUGAGCUAUGCUCUUUCAUUUCAUCUUCUUCAUCUUCGUCCGCACAUAAGGUCAUACCAAUUUAGAUUUUUUUAUUACUUGGAAAUAAGUUUUAAAAAGAAGAUUUAGCCAUGUACCGUGUCCAUGAUCUUAUAGUAGUAGACAAGUUUGCAUAAUAUAUCAUUAGCACAUGUCCACACACAAAGUGUGUAUGAAUAUUUUUAUUUUGGUUUUUAAAAUGGAAUGAGAGAGUAAGAGACCUAGAGAGAACGUGGGAGUGAGGACAGAGGGGGUUUAUUUUUAUUUUUUAUUUUUUAAUAUUAGAGAUGUUAAAACCACAUGUGGGUGAUGUGUCAUAAAAAAAAUAACAAACUUUGUGUUCUUGUAAUUACUAAAUUGCCCAUAAUUUUUAUUUCUGGUCAAUUUUAAUUAGAGGGUUAGACUGAUAAUUUCCCAGAAUUUUAGUUGACAACUAGAUUUUUAUUAAUAUGUAGUUUGGAUUGAAUAAGCAAAGAAGUCAUGGCACGUGGCAACGAUUAGAUGUAGUGCGUUUGCUCAUUUGGUAAUACAAAGGAAUUUCCAAGGCACAACAAUCUUGAUGAAUUAGGGUAAGUGUUCAACUGUGUGAUCGGCCUCACAAAAAUCACACACAAGCAUUUCAUACCUGAUGAAUUAGGGUAAAAGGAAAAGUGAAACGACAAAAGGAAAUUUUUAGGGCACAUGCUUUCCUGAUGAAUUCUAAUGAAUUAGGGCAAGUGUUUAAUUGUGUGAUCUGUCUCACGAACAUCAUACAAGCGUUUUAUACUACUCACUGGUAAAGUUAAAAUCCAAAUGAAAUAUUUUAGGGCACAACAAUCGUGAUGAAUUCUUGGGCAUUAGUCUCAUGAAUGAAUGAACCCUUCUAUAACAUUAAAAGAUACUAGGCAGCAAAUUAUUAACGUUCUUAUUCUUUUGGACAGUGAAACAACACAUGUGGUCACCACUACUCUUUGAUUGGUUACCAUGCAUGAUUCGAAAUUCAGAGCAUCCAACCGGGGAAGAAUCCCGUACCAUUUUGUGCUGAGGACGUUGCUACAUUCGCCUCAUCAUUUGUUACUACUGGAGUACUGUUGCAGUAAUAGUUAAUGGAUACUUUAGAUGACAGCUUCAAAAAUUAAGGCAACUUAAUUCAUUAAUUAACGUUGCAGAAAAAUUCAUGCGCUUGACAGAAUCCCUAUAAGAUAUAUGGUUAUACCCGAUCUGCAAUGCAUUGUUGUAUUGCAAAUGCUCAGGGAAUCCUUCUAAUUGAGCAGCCUGGUGAUUGCCAUUCCAUGAUCGUUGAUGGCCAGCAGUAAUUUCUUCCAACUGCAAAACACGAAAAUUUAGACCCAAUUAAAUUGACCAAAUUAUUUAUCUGAAAAACGUAUUAAAUGGAAUAACUAACAAGAUUCAAGAAUCCAUGUGAAGAAACAAUUAGAUGACAAUGUACGGUUGUUAAAAGGAAGGCCUCCAUCGUUUGUUGUUAGCACUGGAUUGAAAUGAACAACUUACUAUACUCAAGGCACGUUGAAGGAAGGAAUGAAAAGAUAGUGUCCAACUUAAAGAUAGAAUAUGACUCGUGAAGAAAACUUUUAUAUUUCAAUCCCCCGAAUGGUAGGAUUAGAAAAGAUAUAUGUCAUUCAUAUUUAAUCCCCUUCUGAACCCCGGCCCUUAGAAUAAAAAAUCAUUCAUCUUUAACUACUUUCAAUAUCCCUUGAAUUUUAUGUUACCCAAUUCAUUUCAAUCCUAAGCACCAAACAAGCCCAAUAGUGUUUUGCAUUACUAUAGUUAUACAAUUAAGGAUAGGAAACCUAUAUGAUGAGGACUAAUUGAUUUGGCCUUGAAAUAUUGUAAUCAUUUAAUGAAUAAGUAAUUAAGAUGUAUUAUACGACAUGAUGAAUUUCCAUUGCAUAGAAAACAGAAAUGAAUAAUGGUCAAACAGCUGAGAAUACAGCAGGAAUUUAGUAUUACGUACGUACCUUCCUUCUCAGUCCAGUGUUUGCUUCCAGUAGCAUUUCUUCCUGCACAGUUAAUUCUUGAAAGAUUCAGUAACUUACAUACAUACAUUUAUAUUAUGUAUAUAUAUGGGAAGUGUUAUUGGCACUCCAAAAAUCUCAUUAUACACUCCUCUCACAAGUGUAUUUUCUUUCCAAAUAUAGAAAGUCUGGAGUAUAGAAUGAGAUUUUUGGAGUGCUAAUAACAAUUCCCAUAUAUAUAUAUAUAUAUAUAUAUAUAUAUUAUGUUGUUUGCAAAAUACUUACUUUCCUUUGAAGCUCAGAAAUCUGAACAUGCAUAAAUUGGGUCUGCGAACAAAUGAAAUGUAAAUCGACAUUCUCUGUUAAAAUUUCGUUUAAAUAACUCGCCAACUUUUUCAAGCUUAUGGAACAAAUUAUGAAUACCUUCGUUGACCUGAUUUUCUUCAUCGACACAUCUAGUUGAUUCUCAAGCUGCUGAAGCUCCUUCGUGCCUAAAUGAACCAAAUCUUCCCCAAGAAGAUGUCUAAAAACAUGCCAAGUAAAAUUUUUCAUGAGCAAUAUUCCAAUUGUGUCGACUCUUUGCAUUUUUCAUGCGAUCAUUGAACAAACUUUGAUAUGUGUAUGUAUAUAUAUGAUCGAUAUACGUAUACCUCUGCGUGCGUUGUAGGGCCUCUACUUUCGUUUUUAGCUUCAAGUAUUCUUGGUAUCUGCUCUGCUUGUGAACAUGCAUGGCACAAAUUCAGCUUAUGUCAAAAGUCCAUAGGGCAGAAUUUUGUGGAAGAAAUUCCAUUACCAACAUACAACUUAACCCAACCCCUCGAAUUGGUCCCUAACAACAGAUUGAGAAUAAUUGUAACACCGUGUGGCAGUGUUCUAAAUGUACUGAAAAUUUUCUCCUAGCAACAGAUUGAGAAUUUAAGAAAACGGAUAAUAUGGGUUGCUUUACCCAACUUAUGUAAUGCAGGUAAUUGAUGUUAUGCAUCUUAAAGCUAAUUACAAAUGACAAACUGUCGGUAACCUGUUCGUCCUCAGCAGAUUGACUUGCUCCCAGUUCUCCAUAAGUGCAUCUUUGAUGCCUCUCAAGCGUCUUCGCUAUGCUGAAAUGAAACAAAGCAACAAUUGUAGGACAGUGAUCAGAAUGCAAAUUCAAAAGAGAAAAGAGCGCAUGCAUUUUGCACUGAUUCAAAUGCCAGUAAAGUAAGAGCCAAAAGGCAUGCCACAAAAUCUGGGAGCUAGAUAUAAUUGAUUAUACAGUUCCAAAUUUUUUAAUCACAAGUGAUAUUACUACUAUAAACUAUAAAAAUAAUAGGAAAAUAUUUAAACUCGAAACACAGUGAGUCAAAAGGCAUAUCCACCAAUACAAUCCACCCUUUACAAAUUUAUGGUUCCAAACUUAAGAACGAAUCAAAGGGAUAAAGCUAAGCAACAUUAUAUAUAUAUAUAGGGAUAGGAUCGGACGACACAAUUUGGCACACUUUAUUGUGGUUUUCAUUCUGUAACUUUUUUCAAGGAUCUGAACGGUUUGUAUUUCAAUUCAUCAUUGCAAAAAAAAAAAAAAAAAAAGACAAAUCCAACAUCAUUAAGAGACAUUCUUUGUAACGAAAAAAAUGGACAAAUACGAUUCUACAAAUAAACACUAAAAUGACUACCACUUAAUCAAAUGGUCAUAUGAUUUCAUAUUUGAGUGAUUUUGACAUAGAUAAUCCUUGAGGGACAAACUAAAAUAUAGACGGUAAGAUUGUUGAAGUACAUUAUGGAGUGACCCUAAGAAAGUGUGUCAAAAAAUGUGUCCCCAAUCUUGACCCAUACACACACACACACACAUAAACGAUCUCUAAAUGUACCAAAUAAAUGAACGGUUUACCAUGUAUAUGUUGUUUAGUACUCACAUUGUCAAUUUGUUCCAUACAUUUGGAUGCAUAACUGAUUUCCAAUUCAAAAGAUUUUAUGUAUGGAUGUUCUUCAAAUGGAGCUUAAGAAAUUAAACAAUAUCAAUUAUUAAAUUUAUACGGUGAAGAUAGAUUAUUCGCAAAAUGUAAGAUAUGUGUAGGAAUGCAUGUAUUGGUGCAAGGUGCGUCUACACCUAUAUAUUUAUUCGUUUGAGUUAUGCUUUGGUGAAGGGAUUUAUAAGUACCAAGGGAUUUAGGCUAAAUAUAGCUAGAAAAGUGGACUGCGAAGUAUUUGAUGAAGGCUUUCGGAAUUUUUUACAUGAUCACUACAAAGACAUAAAUAAUGGAUUUGCAAAUGACCCUUCUUAAUGCAUUGUAUCCACUCAUUUAAAUCCCACAAUCUAGUUUUUUAUAGUGCAUUUCUAACUAUAAUUAGCCUAAAUUCCUAAUCCUUGUCUAACUAUAGCCUUCAGGUCUUAGACCAUCUCCAACCCUGACCUAAAACCUAAAAAUAUUUAGCCCAGAAAAUUUAGGUUUUAGCCCAGAAACAGCUUUUCUACUCCAACCCUUUUGACCUAAAAUUUGAGCCCCAGAUUAUCAAAAAAUGAAUUAAGGCUAUUUUUUUAAAAAAAAAAUUAUGUAGACUAUCCUAAAUUAAUUUUAUGAACAUUUUAACCUAAAAAUAUUUAAAUUCCGAUAAAUUUUGAAAAAUCACUAAAUCAAUACAUGAAAAUCAUGAUAAACCACAUAAACUUAAAAAAAAAAAAAGACAAUUAAUAAACCACAUAAAUUUUAAGAUUAUUCUAGCCAUUGGAUUUAAAUUUGGACCGUUAGAUCUUUUUUUUUACCGUUAGAUUUGAUUAUAUUCGAUUUAAACCGUUGGAUUCAAUAAAUAUAUAAAUAUAAAACAAAAAAAAAUUGAAUGUGGACCAUUGGAUUAACCAACGGUCCAAUUACCACCACCACCCGAUGAAGAAAAGUAGUUGUUGGCUACAGGACAAGACCCACUUUUCACUCUCAUCCGUGGGUCCCAGCAGCUUUUGUGGGCUAAAUUUGUGACCUAUAUUUGCCUUCAUUUUAAGUUUUAGGUUUUGGGUUGGAGUGGAUUUGGGGGGGGGGGGAAAAAGGGGAAAAUUUAGGUUAUAGGUCAGGGUUGGAGAUGGUCUUAGGAGUCGCCAGCAUUUGCCUUUGUCCACCAAUUAACAGUGGUACUAAGAGUAGUGUUUCCAUAUAUAUAUUGAGGUGAACAAUUUUAAUGGAUUAUAUUUAGCAAUGGAGGAUUUCAGGGAAUAAAGGAGUACAAAUAACAUAUAUUUGAGCAAUAAAGAGAAAGUUUGAUCAAGGAUUGCAAUAAAAACUCAUGAAGGACAAACAAAAAGCUUUCUUAUAACCAUAGGGUACACCAAGACUCAACCUUAAGUUAUUAUGUUUUUGCAUUGGUAAUGGUUGAGUUAACGGGAUAUAUUCAAUAUGACAUCCUUUGGAAUAUGCUUUUUGCAAAUGAUAUAGUGUUGAUAGAUGAAACACAUUAGGGAGUAAAUGUGAAGCUUAACAUUUGGUGUGAAGUGUAGGAAUCCAAAGGUCUUCGCCAAAUUAAGUAGGUCAAAGACAAAGUAUAUGGAAUGCAAGUUCAGUGGGAAUAGGGUCCAAAUGAGAUAGGGCUGAGGAUUGGAGAUCAGGAAGUACCAAAGAGUGAACACUUUCAUUAUCUUGGAUUUAUCUUGCAAAAGAAUGGAAAGUUGGAUGGAGAUUUCAACCAUAGAAUACAAGCUAGAUGGAUGAAGUAGAAGAGUGCACCAGGUAUGUUGUGCGACUGUCGUAGGCUACUAAACCUCAAAAAUUUAUUUAUAGGACGAUAAUAAGGUUAAUAAUACUUUACGACAUGGAAUGUUGAGCGGUCAAGCAUCAACAUGUGCAAAAAUGAGUGUAGCUGACAUGAGAAUGCUUCGUUGGAUGUGCGAGCAAACAAGAAAUGACAAGAUUAAGAACGAGGAUAUUAGAGGUAUAGUAAGAGUGGCCACAAUUGAAGAUAAGAUGAGAGAAAUUGGCAAAGGUGAUUUGGACAUGUGAAACGAAGACCUACAAAUGUUUCGAUUAGAAAUGCGAUUAUGAGAUAAAGGCUCAGGCAAAAGGGGUAGAAGAAGACCUAGGAAGACUUGAAAAUAGACUUUAACAAAAUACAUGGAGUACUUGGAGCUAAUGGAAGACUUAGCGCAAAACCGAGCACAGUGGCAUUCGAAGAUUCAUACAACCAAUCUCACUUAAUGCAAUAAGACUUUGUUUGUUGUUGUUUGUAUAUUGUAAAUAGUUGGACACUCACCGCGAAGUAACCAAUUUGCUAACCAUAUUAUGUGGCCAGUAGGAUUAUAACAAUUGUUCUUUUAAUAUUCUCCCAAACCAUUGUAAUCCUCAUAAUCAAACACCAAUUCUCAAUUGUGAUUAUCCCUUACCUAUGCCAUGGCAGAGCUGGCCGCCUCAUCCUUUCCUCCAACCUCUACUAUUUUGACCUUAUCGACAUCCCCUCUCCAACCUCUCGGUCCCCCCCCCCCCCCCACACACUUUCAAAUCCCUCAUAUUAUUUUUUGUGGAAGACAUAGGAGCACCACCUCUGCACAUGCCCACUCCUUGUUGCCAUGGUCGCAUCGGGAAAGAAGAGGAUGGAUUGGGAGCGGGGUUGAUGAGGUAGGUUGGAGGAAGAGAGGUGGGUGGGAUUGACGGAGAAGAGAGGGAGGAGGAGGAGACGUGGAUGUGGUCGACGGAGGAGAGGAGUAGACGGGGGUGAGAUAUCGACUACCGACAACGACAAAGGUAGGCAAAGCUUGGUGAGGGAGAAAGAAGGAUGUUUGGAUACUAGAAUAUUGAAUGUUUGACAACCAAUUUUAGUUAAGUUUAAAUAAAACACGAGUCACUAUUUGAUUGUUCCACAUAGGAUGGUUAGUAUAAAGGAUCCUGACUGGUGAGGACCCAAGUAUCGUCCAUUACCGCUAAGUACUAUAACCUUGAUUCUGAGCACUUGCAGCUUACAUCCUUAUUAAAGGGCUAUGUUUCUUGAACCAAAAAGAGGGCUACGUUCCUAUUUUCUAACUCUCCAAUCGCUCGUCAAUUCUAUAAAACAUACCGUUAAACAAUUUGAAUUGAUCAUAUCAAUCCUAUCAUACGUUUAGUUUAGCACCUUCUAAGGUACCGAUUUAAAGAUAUGAUAACACAUCUAACGUAUAUUUGUAUUACAAAUUUGCAAGCCUUUCCCCUAUGAUUGUAUGACUUAAAGCUAAAAUCUCAUGAAAAAUGAACUCAUCUGAAAUUCGACAAUGAAAUGAAUAGAAGCAAACAAUUCCUCUAUUAUAAGUCACCCUUUUACCUCCCCAAAUAGGACUUGGAUUCUCUGCCCUCCCAUUUCGGUGCCCUCCCCGUACCCUCCUGUUUUGUGUGGUCACGGUUAAUCCAUGCUAACAUUUUAUAUUGUUUUUUAUAAAAAUAAUAAGACAAAAAAAAAAUAGUAAUAUAAAAUAUUGACGUGGCUUAACCGUGACCACACAAACAGGAGGGCACGAGGAGGGCACCGAAUUGGGAGGGCAGAGAAUCCAAGUCCCCCCAAAUAUGCAUCCAAAUCCCCUAAAAUUUAAUUACGUAGCAAAUUUUUGUUAGUAUUAAAAAGUGCUUAAAAAUCACUGGACUCCAAAUAAGAACAGACGAACAGAAUCCCACAAAAAUUCCUAUAAAAAUAGGAUAGGAUAAAGGACAAGCAUUUUAACAAAUAUUUUUAUACUUUUUAUAAGCUCUUGGAUCUAACACUUCUAAGUAAAAAUUAAUUAAGAUGACUACUAAGACGUGGCAAAGACACGAAAACAAAAAUAAACUUCAAAUGAAAUAUUUAGAUAAAUUUGUGAAAUAGAUCCAGCCUCAUCUUCCUCCUUUACCGUUUAGAUCUGCAACUCUCUAACAACAACAAAAAUGUCUGCAAUAUUGAAGAAAUUCAUCUUUGGCCUUUGAUGCAGUGAAUACUUCUUAACAUGGCUAUAUAAUACUGUUAACAGGGGCUAACAAGAAAUCCAAACAAUAAUACAUCCCUUCCAAAAAUUUCUUUUAACUGGAUCUGACUAAAAUUUGUCAUAUAUAUUGUAGAUAUUCAGAAAAUAGAGAUAUAUAUAUAAAGGGUGCGUACAUACCUAGGGCCGCUGCAGAACUCAUAGAGCUUUCCGCUGGUGGAGAAGACGAUGAGAGCAACCUCAGCAUCACAGAGAACUGAGAGUUCGUACGCCUUCUUUAGCAGCCCAUUCCUUCUUUUUGCAAAUGUUACCUGUCGAUUUAUCUUAUUCUCGAUCCUCUUCAACUCCACCUUCCCUCUUCCCAUUCCUCUUUUUAACUUAUUAUAUUAUAAAAAUAUAUUUCAGUGAUUGCAUACAUAUCAAAUUAUUAUAUUAUGUUACUAGGUUUUGUUUUCCCUUUUUGAUAUUCGUGUUCUCUAGGGUAUGCUAAGUUAGGCUUUUGAGAGAGAGAGAGAGAGAGAGAGAGAACUUAUGGGGAACUUUUGUUACCUCCUUGUUGGGUGUCUUUUUAAGUUUUCUUUUGAAGAUGAAGUAGACCAUUCACAAUUUUCACAGUUUAUUACGUAAAAAAGUGACAGCAAUGUCGACUCCAUCGUAGACAUUUUCAACUUAGUUUUUACGUGUCGAUGAGAGAAUGUCUUGGGAAAGCUAACUCCAGCUUCACUCACAAAAACUUACUUACCUAACCAAGUCUUAUAAUUUAAUUCGAGUCACUUCUUAACCUCUUGAAAUUUAAUUUGUGUCUCACUAAUUGCUAUGCCUUUAUCAUCAAAGUCCGUCAACAAAUUCAUUAAAAUUGUAAUUAUGUGGCCCAACUGAAACUGAUUGUUGUUCAGCGUGUCACUAAAUUUUUUUUGUUCAUAGUGUUUUUUUCUUCUUCUUAUUUUGAAUAAAAAUUCGACUUGUUAGUAAUUUUUCAGCCUCAGGGUAGUUAAGCAGCGGGUCUUAUUUGUACCACAAAAACAGUUUUGAUGGGUUUAUUUAUGGAUUUUAAUGGUUGGAGAAAAAGUGAGAUAUUAGUUGGGUUGAAGUCUUGUAAACAAUAAUUGGCAAAAUUUAAGUUUCUAGGACUAAGUUUCAAGAAGUGAUUAAAUAAACCUACUUGGAUGCCCACCGUAUUGGAAUAUGUAUGGCUCACGGUAGUUAUUUUCAUUGCCGCAAUUGGCCCCUUGGAUGCCCACCGUAUUGGAAUAUGUAUGGCUCAAAAAGUCACACAUUUCACCAUCAAUACUUGAAAUUCAUAACUUGAUAACUAAAUUUAAAAUCAAAUUACUUUCUCUGUGAGAAAUUAUUUCACUUAAAUAAAAUAGAAAGAAAAGGCUUCUCAAACCCUACUUUAUUUAGAUCAGUCUAUGAUUUUCUGAAACCAAGUGCUAUGGCUCAAAUUCAUAGUCAAUCUUAUUGCCAAUUUUAAUAGGAAUAGUUGACAUUUGAACCCAAUUUUUUUUAAUUAUUUUUGUAUCCGUAAUAGUGCGAAAAGGACUCCAAGGUAUCCAAGAAUAGCGGCUUUGAGUUUCUCGACCCUUUGCCCUAGCUAAGAUUACAAAUGAGGCUUAGGGUCAUUGGAUAUAUUUAGUAGGGAUAAUAUGAGGGAAACCAAAUUUUUAAACCAAAUGAUGUGCUAUCAAUAAGAAACAAGCAUGUUAAUCGACACAUAGUUAAUAAUCCAAUUAUCUACAACCACAUCAUUUAGUUUUCAAAUUUGAUUUAAACAAUAGCAAUACCCAUAUAACACUUUCUUAAAAGAAAUGAGCUAAAGUGAGACACAGCUUAUGAGUACGUACAUAGUGUAAAGUAACUAAACAAAAUGCAAGAAAUAAGUGAAAUUUCGUAUAUUAUACUAUAGACUAGGGGUGGGCACGGGUCAGGCCGGGCCGGGAAUUACAUUUUCUAAUAUAGGAACCGGAACUAACCCGGCCUAUUUCAAACGGACCGGUUCGGGCCAGGUCCACGGGUCCUUUGUUUUUUUUUCCGUUUAUUUAUAAAUAAAAUAAAAUAAAAAACUCAAAUUUGCACAUAUUCAUUCCCAGCACAGAUUCACUCCCUAGAUUUUGCACAAAAGAAGACUAGUACUUUCUUCCAAUGAGCAGAGUAGCCUCACUUCUCUGGUUCACUAGCCUAUAGCCAGAAAAACCAAAUGGUUCUGCAAUUAAUAUAUCGUAGGAAAAAGGGAAAUGUAUAGCCUUAUGGUAAAAUUCCUUUGUUUUUAUUCCUAGUUAAAUUGCAAUAGCUUUAAGGGGCAUUCGUAGGGAUGGGCAACGGUUAUGGCGGACGGGUAACCGCAGUUACUUACCCAUAACCGUUUAAGUUUUUACCCGCAUAACCGUUUACCCAUUGGGUAUUUACAUAAACGGCUAUACCCAUACCCAUAACCGUUUAUAAACGGUUAACCCUACCCAUAACCGCAUACCCAUUUAACCAUAACCGAGUACCCGUUUAUGCAUUUUUAACCCGUUUACUCUUUUUUUUUUUCAUCCAUCUACCUAUUUUUUUAACAACCUGAAAAUUAAAAAGAAAUUUGUCAUAAUUUUAUUUUUCUAACAAUUAAAUACCGUUAUAAAUACAUUUAACAUGAAUUUUUGUAUUAACGGCAAUAUCAUUUAUGAAUAUAUGCGAUGUCUCCCAAUUAUUUGACUGUCAAUCUAUUACAAGAAUCAUGCAUGGUUGUAGGUUAAUUAAUAUUCUUGUAUACAUACAUAUAUAUAUAUAUGUGUGUGUAUGUAUGUAAGUACGCAUCAGUCUGCUAAUAAGCUGAUUUGAUAAAAAUUUGAAACAUAUGUUCAUCGAUCGAAGCCAUUUAAUUGAUUUCUAAUUUUUGGGUCAAAUACUUAAUGAAAACAUGAGGCCAAUUAAAUAUAUAUAUAUAUAUAUAUAUAUAUAUAUAUAUAUAUAUAUAUAUAUAUAGGUACGCAUCAGCCAACAAUAACAUGUUUCUAAAAGCUCAAGGUAAUCAUUAUCUUGAAUUGGCCAAAGCUCCAAAAGACUCCAGAACAAAACUGUUGAACACUCUAAUGUUUUAGCACAUUCAAUCACAUAUAUUAAAUAUUGGCCCGUUCUAUCAACUAUGUUUUUCUCUCAAGUGAGGCAUAUAUAUAUUAUGGCCCUUUAUAACCAAAUAUGUUUCGGGAUAAUAAACUUAGCUAGAAACUAAUUUUUUUUUUUAGUUUUACAUAUAUUAAAAAAAUGGUUGAAUGGGUACCCGUUUAUAACCGCGGGUAAAACCCAUAACCGUCCAUUUAAAUUUCACGGGUAAACGGUUAUACCCAUAACCAUUUAUUUAUUUAAACGGUUACCCAUAACCGUAACCGUCAAAUUUAAAUGGGCGGAUAACCACGGUUACCCAUAACCAAUGGGUAUUUGCCCAUCCCUAGGCACUUGUGCCCUAAAAAAAACGGAUACAAUUGAGGCAAGCUUAAAUAUGGUUAUGGUGUCAAUUUACAAAAUAGUGAAAUGAAGAAGGCUGCAUGCUUGUUCUAGAAAUGUGCAUCAGUGACUGCGAUUAGAUGAGGGAGCAACACUUUCAAAUACCAAUUUCAAAGGAUAAUACAAUUGAGGCAACCCCAUUUCCACAUGCAUCGAAAAAGAAUACGAGAAUCCUAAUUUCAAAAGCAUAAUACAGAAAUCUGAGGCACCUAUGCAUUUCCACUUUCAUUUAACACUUCCAAAUACCAAUAUUAAAGUUAAAUAACAAAAUCCCAAACAACAGGAAUUGCAAAGCCGAAAUAACAACAGAAGUAAUAAUAUUUCAGUACAUAAAAUGGAGAUUUGAGUUUGUGGGAUAUGAAAUUUAUGUUUAAGACAAUAAACCCAGAAUUUAUUUGGAGUAUGAAUAUGCAAUUUGAAAUUAAUUAGAGGGACCCUAAUCAAAAUUUAAAACUUGAUUAAACACUAAGAAUUUGCUUCUGAAUCGCACGAAUAGUUCAAACCUUUUACCUGAGAAUGAAUAGGCUAGCUGCUACGACGAGAGAGAGAGAGAUUGCAAAUUCAAAAUUGGGGCUUUGGUAGUCGGCCAAGUAAAAGAAUCUAGGCUGGUAGCAUCGUAACAGUGUCCUUAACGGCAAUGAUGGGGUGAUGGUGGUCGCGACAAUGGGGGUGUUAUCGAAGAUGAGAGAAUCGAGGUUCUGGGACCUGGGUUCUCUGGGUCCUGGGAUGUCGUUGAGAAUGAUGGCUAGAUGGGUAGUGCCGUUGUGUUGGUCACGGCGGAGGUGAUGGGCUGGGUUCUCUAGGAUGUCGUAUAAGUCGAGGGAGUUGAGGAGGGAGUGGUGGAUGGUGGUGGAGAUGUGAGACUUGAGAGUGAGACUAAUUAUGGAAACCUGGAUGACUUGGGUACCCUAGAAACUAACGAUUCAGAUUGGAUGGUAGGUUAUCAUUCAAUUUGGACCGUUCAUUAUAAUUAGAAACGGAUCGGUUCGGGGACCCAUUUUUCCUGGGUUUAGGACUCGGCCACCCUGUAAAUGAUACGGGCUCGCCCCACCCUGCCCCGUUUAUUUUCUCACACAUUUGGAACAGGCCCGUACCCGCCUUGAACCUACAUUACCCGCCCCGACCUGCGAUUCCUCUACUCGUUUGCCCACCCCUGCUAUAAACAAUGUUCUAAAAAUCGGCCUAGGUAGCUGCCUAGGCGCUGGGCGGAGGUGUGCUGAUGCGAUUAGGUCUGAAUCGUUAAGAAAAAUCGGGGAGCUGUUAGGCGCCCGCCUAGGCGCUCUUAGGCGGCCUAGGCAGUCUAGGCGGAGUGAAAUGGUUUCCUGGGAAGAAAUUUCAAACAGAAACCCAAAAUCGCAAACUCAAAUUUGAACUUGAAAUUAACAUGCAAAGCAUGGGUUAAGCUACCUAAGUUUCGAACGAGACUAAGUCGAGCUCAUGUGACCCCAAGUUUCAACGGGUCCCUCGCCGGAGCUCCACGCCAGAAGCUCAAUUUUCAAAGGUUGUAGCUCAAUUCCAUUAUAGCAACUCUCACCGAGAACCCCUGCUUGGAUUCUCCUACUUUCCAUCACAGAAUUUAACAUGUAGAGGUAUCAUAAGGAUCCCCAAGUUGCGCAAGUCUUGCAUUUGGUGGUUUGGGGGUCUCAAUUUAAUUGGAUUUUUUGGUGAUGAUGCAUGGGGCUCUCUUUGGCUACGAUGGUUUAGAAAGAAGGCAGAGAGUUCGAAAUGAGAGAGAGAGCGAGCUGUAAUCUAAGAGGAAAAGAUGAUUUCGACAGAAGGCAGAGAGUUCGAAAAGAGAGAGAGAGAGAGAACCGGUUUUCAAAAACAAAAAUGAUGGUGAUGUGUGAGUGUAAGAAUUGGUGGUUGAGUGUGUAGGUUUAGAGAGAGAGUGAGAGAGUGACGUGAGGGAGGUGAGAGAGAGAGAUGGGACCGGUUGAUGGGGAAUGAUGCAUGCUCUGACCGGUUUUGGUGCUCCAAAGUUCAAAGUAGGACACUAAUAAAAUCAUAAAUAAAAGAGAGAGGAUUUCAGGGAUGAUACCAAUGGGCGUUGUUUCGUUAAGUGAUAACUAGCAUGGCUUCCUAGUAGUUUUAUAAUUAACCAUCAAACCCACUACGUCAGAUUUUUACUUUUAUUUUUUUAAAAUUAGAUAUAAUCAUUCAAAAUGUCUUAAGUUAUAUGGUAUAUAUGCUUAAUAUGUUUUUAAAUUUUAGACUUUGUUGGAUACUCUUUUUGUAUUUUAUCAUUCUUUUAUUAUCUUAUCAAUGGAUUUCAUACAAGUAUAAUUUUUUUAUGUGUCAAUAUGCAUUUUUUUACAAGAUAUACAAUAAAUUAACCUAAAUCCGCCUAGGCGCCCGCCUAGAUCUCGCCUAGUCGGCUAGGCACUAGGCGCUAACUCGCCGCUCGACUAGCACCUAACGGUUUUUAGAACCUUGGCUAUAGACAAAAAUAAUCCUAAUUAAGGGCUCAUUUGGAAGUAGUUUUAAAAUGAUUGAAAGCUCUUGGUUUUAGGUUCCAAAAACGCUUUUAACUGCUUGUUGAAAGAAGCCCUGGAUAUGUGCUUCUUGCAGGAAGCACUUCAAGUGUUUUUUAAGAUUCACUUGGAUUUUUAAUAAAUAUUGGUUUCAAAAACAAUUUUCACCAAAAACGUUUUCAGUCAUUUUAAAAAUAUUUCAAAACGAGCCAUGACUUUAAUUAUGUUUCACUGUAUUUCUAGAAGAUUAAAAACUAAAGCACUUGAUCUCCACGAGGUGAAAUUAAUCCAAUAUUGUAAUUCGCCGAAUAUUGAGUUUGGUCUAUUAUCUUGUGAUGUAUUUAUUGACCAUGGUUAUGGUGGAUUCUAAAAUGCUACUUAGUGAUAUAUCAAUGGUUAAUUUGCAGUUCAACAAAAAGCCGCAGGUGUUGUUUUCAAAGGGGGUCCAUUGAAACGACGCACGUCAUCACACGGAGUUAUGGACUGGCCUUUUCCUACCAGGCCCAAGAAAAGACACAAUGACUGAUGGUAACAGGAGUAAAUAGACCACCUCAACACGUGUCAGACUCUGAAACCCAAAAGUACACAAUUUUGAAGAAUUCAUGGUCGUAGUACUGAAGGAUUGAAAUUUGCCAACAGGAUUCUCUUCAAAUCUUUUGGUGAGGAUUAUGGGGAUUCGUAAAUCGUAUCCGUUCAUUAUACAUUAUGCGGUCAAUUUUUAUCAGGUACUAUUUGUAUUUAAUUUUAAAUAAAAAUAUUUAAAAUGAUUUAUAACCGAAUAAUGUACGAUAAACAGAUAUAAUUCACAAAAUUCAAGCGAGGAUUCGGAUUCUGAAAUUUGAACUAAAUUCGGCCCCACAAACGUUCACAAUUUUUAAGUGUUGUAAGCUCAUAAGAGAGGCCGGCCCAAAGGGCCAAAAACAUUUGGAAGACCUAAUAAAUGCAAUUGGGCUGAACCCAUUUAUCCCAUGUCAGCCCAAUGUCUGUCUCCAAUCAAUAGAAUUUGAGUCAAUAAUAAAAGGUUUAUUCAAUCACAAAUGGUCCUUUAUUAUUGUAAAAACAUAAUUUUGGUCCUUUAUGUUUUAAAUCAAUCAAUUUCGACUGUCUACGUUCUAAAAACUAAAAAGACGUGAUUCAUGGGAAGAAAUAGAAAUCACAAGGAUAUCCGAUAAUUUGUUAUAAAAACUGUUAUUAACAUUCUAAAAUUUUCUCCUUAGUAAAAAAGAAAACAAAUAUGAGUGGAGUAUGACUACUUUAUAUUGCUAAUACUGUUGUAAACAUUCCUAGUUUAAGUAUGAUUGUGUAAAUCCUAGAUAAGAUUUGAUUCUAGUUAUCCUUUCCUAUUACAACUUGUAUUACUUGGAGAAGAAGGAAUAUCUUCUCUCCCUUUACUACUAUAAAUAAAGGCACAAUGUAGGAGGGAUAACAAUACACACAUUCCCCUACAAUUCUACAAACACACAUCUCUCUCCUCUCUCUCUCUGCCGCCGGCCCUAGUCCCUCUGUCAGAUAAAAUAGACCACAACACGUUAUCAGCACGCUCCUACCGCUGCGCUUAGGAAUCUGACGUUGGAAAUUUUUUCUGCAUCAAACCAGUUCAUCCAUAUCAUCACGCAAUCAGGUUCUUUCCAAACAACGGUUUUUAACUCGAUAUUUUGCAAGCCCUGAUAGCAUGAACAUUCACCAUGAUGCAUGACCCAACUUUACGUUUAACGUAUUUUAGAUUCUACAUAAAUUGUGUAUGCUUCAUAAUCAAAAUUGCUACAAUUAUGUGAAUUUGAUAUUUGUCAUGAAUUGAAUCCUACAUAUGUACAUGCAUUGAAACUAUUAUUUGCAUAUGCAUCAACGUAAAUAUGUGAUUCAUUAAAAUUAUACAUGCAUAUAAUAUAAUUGAAUACAAAAAAAAAAAAAUAAAUAAAAUAAAAAAUUUAGGGCUGCACACAGCAGCCCAUUCCCCUCUUCUCACCCCGUGGGCCUGUAAUCCCACCCGAGGGUUCUUGGCUUAUAUUUUUAGGCCCCGAGAUUUUAUUAUUUAAUUUUUUUUAAAUAAUAUGGGUUUUUUUAUAUUUUCACCCACAUUUUAAUUUGGCCCCGAAGACCAAAAAUAAAUUAAUUCACUUAUCAUUAUACAAUAUUUCUGCAUAUAUUCUUUGCAUAUUUGUUUGCAUAUAUAUUUGUGUUUGCCUGCAGGAAUAUAUGAACCUGAAGUUCAUAAUUACUUUGAAACCCGAAGUUUCUUAUACACAUGCCUUGUUAGAAAACCCGAAGUUUUCACUUAAAUAUAUCACCCAUGAAAACCCGAAGUUUUUCAUGCAAAAUUAAACCAAUACAUGUCUAUUAGAACCUGUAUGUUCUACUCCUAUGUGAAUGGAUUGAUUUUUCUCCAUUACACUAACCACAUCAUCUUGUCCAUCUAUUUUGAUAGGACCAUGUCGAAUUUGAACAAACUCGACUUCACCGCUUUGGAGGUUUCUGGAAGGAACUACCUCAAGUGGGUUCAAGAUGUGAAGCUCCACCUCACUGCAAAGAACUUGCGUCCUGCUAUUGAAGAAGCAACAGAUAAACCUGUUAGCGAGGCUGAAAAGCCACUGCUAUGAUCUUCAUCCGAAGACAUAUCCAUGACGCUCUACAAACUGAGUACCUUGCUGAGGAGGAUCCACGUGCAUUAUGGGUCGCUUUGGCUGAUCGUUUCGAUCACCAAAAGGACAUAUUUCUUGCCUGAAGCAAGACACGACUGGCAGCACUUGCGCUUCCAAGACUUUAAGUCUGUGAAUGAAUAUAAUUCUGAAGUUUUUGUCGAAUCCGAUCACUUCUCAAGUUUUGCAAUGAAACUUUGACUGAAGAGGAUCUCCUGGAGAAGACCUACUCGACCUUCUCUGCUUCUAAUAUUGUCCUGCAGCAACAAUAUAGAGCUCAGAAGUUCACUAAGUUCUCGGAUUUGAUCUCUGUUUUACUUCUUGCUGAAAAGCAGAACCAGCUGUUGAUGAAGAAUCAUCAAGCUCGACCUACUGGGGCUACUGCUGUGCCUGAAGCACAUUAUAGCACUAAUCAGCACCCAAAACGCCAAAAGAGGCGUGGUAAGGGCGGCCAGAAGCCAUCCCACCAAGGUCAACAGAGCCAAGGCCUAUCCAAGGGAGGAAACAAAGCCCAGAAUCGCCCAAACCUCGCUCCCAAGGCCCCGAACUUCAAGAAUAAGGGCAAAGCACCUGCCACAAUAAAUGACGAUAUGUGCUAUCGUUGUGGUUCCAAGGACCAUUGGUCCCGUAUUUGCCGUGCUCCCAAGAAGGUUGUGGAUGCAUAUCAUUCUCGUCGUACGAAGUUUGAAUCAAACUUCCUGCAAGUGGACGAACCGGAGACUACAAAGAUGGAGGUUUCUGAUUUUUCAGGAGGAUACCACUCCUAUGGAAGAUUAGAAUCUUAGACAUAGACUUAUUUUUCAGUUAAAAUAAGACAAUUGGGGCCGAAUUCCACCUAGUGGCCGAACCCCACCUUGUUUUUUGGUUGAUUUUGAACAAUUUUCCUUUAUGUUUUGGAUUAUUAGUUGGCGAUUUAUUUUGGAUAUUAAGUUUUUUCCUUGAAUAAAUGAAAUUAUUUUGAAUUGAUACUUGUUUUUAUAAACUUUUAUGCAUGUGACCGAUUCAAAUUAAUUUUUCAUUCUAGGUAUGACUAGUGGGAAAGUUAGUUGUCUGGCAGAUAGUGCAACCACGCAUACUGUUUUGCGUGAAAGCAUCUAUUUCACUAACUUCAUACCUAAGAAUGCACCUCUGACAGCCCUCUCAGGCCCAUCCAACCUGAUCGAAGGAUACGGUAAGGCACGUAUAAUGUUGUCCAAUGGUACAAUCUUGACCAUUGCUGAGGCACUCUAUUCUCCACGUUCCGGAAGAACGUUACUAAGUUUCAAGGACAUUAGAGAUAACAAUUACCACGCUGAAACCCACGUAGAAAACGGAGUUGAAUUUCUGUGCGUAACUUCCUACGAAUAUGGCCAGAAGCGUAUUCUAGAGAAGAUGGAGCGUAAUCCGAGUGUUCUGUAUACUACGACCAUACGCCCCAUAGAAUGCCACUAUGUGGCCGGCCCUACCACAGGGACCGUGCACGAAAUUACACUUUGGCAUGAUCGUUUGGGACAUCCUGGACGAAUAGCGAUGCGCCGUAUCCUCAAAACUUCACACGGGCAUCCACUAACCCGAAGCUUAGGUUCGAUCCAUGAAAUUGCAUGUCAAACAUGUUCUAUGGGAAAGCUUAUUACUAAGCCUUCUUAUGACAAGAUUCGUUCGAAUCCUCCCAUUUUUCUACAACGGAUUCAGGGGACAUUUGUGGACCGAUUCAACCUCCCUGCGGACCAUUUAGAUAUUUUUAUGGUUUUGGUUGACGCUUCUACACGUUGGUCACACGUGUGCUUGUUGUCCACAAGGAACGCUGCAUUCUCCAAACUGUUGGCUCAGGUUAUCAAGCUCAGGGCUCACCACCCUGAUUAUCCGAUCAAAUCUAUUCGAUUGGAUAAUGCUGGAGAAUUCACAUCUAAAAACUUUUGAUGAUGACUAUUGCAUGUCGGUUGGGGUUGAAGUUGAACAUCAUGUACCCCAUGUUCACACCCAGAACGGCCUGGCAGAGGCUUUCAUUAAGCGUUUACAAAUGAUUGCUCGAUCGUUGGUCAUACGUACCAAGCUCCCGAUCGCUGCUUGGGGCCAUGCAAUAUUGCACGCAGCAAAGUUGGUCCGCCUGAGGCCUGUUGCGACACAACCAUUUAGUGCCCUUCAGUUGGUCACCGGAUGCGAACCCGACAUAUCGCAUCUGCGCGUUUUUGGUUGUGCGGUCUAUGUGCCGAUCUCGCCGCCCUUACGUACAAAAUGGGGCCUCAGCGAAGGAUGGGAAUCUAUGUCGGAUAUGAUUCUCCUUCGAUUAUUCGUUACUUAGAACCUUUGACAGGCGAUCUGUUUACCGCUCGUUUCGCGGAUUGUCACUUCUAUGAGACAGUCUUCCCUUCGUUAGGGGGAGAUAAGAACGUCAACGUUCCUAAUGAACGACGCGAAUUAUCGUGGACGACUCCCACUUUGUUCUCAUUUAGAUCCCCGCACCGCUCAGUCUGAAGCUGAAGUGCAGCGCAUAUUAGAUCUCCAGAGCAUAGCUCAGAGCAUGCCAGAUGCUUUCACCGAUCUAGCGCGCGUGACAAGAUCACAUAUUCCAGCUGCGAAUACGCCUGCAAAGAUGGAUGUACCAAAUGUACGACGGACUACCCUCCUGGAAGCCCGGGACGCCAAUUCUGGUGAUCCACGUACAUUAGCGGCUAGCCAAUCAUCUGCCCCUACACAAAAGCGUGGCAGACCCCUUGGUUCAAAGGAUUCACACCCCCGGAAGAGGAAAACCACGGCACAAGGUCCUGAAGAGCCUACCGUGAAUCUGACUAUCGCUUACUCAUUUUACCCAACUCAUGAGGAAAUUCUAGAUUAUGGAAGCGUCCUUGAAGAGACGAAUCCUCCUCCCGAGAAUCGUGAGAUUUCGGUCUAUUAUGCUAGCUUAGAUGAUGUGUGGCGUAGAAAUGAGAUGAUUGUCGACGAUGCAUUAGCAUUUGCAGUAGCUACUGAGAUCAUGUUGAGCGAUGACAUUGAACCGCGUUCCGUUGAUGAAUGUCGACGUAGAGCUGAUUGGUCAAACUGGAAACAAGCAAUCCAAGUCGAACUUGAUUCACUUGCGAAACGUAAGGUGUUUGGACCUGUAGUUCCUACUCCUCCACAUGUGAAGCCCGUUGGCUACAAGUGGGUUUUCGUUCGGAAGCGUAAUGAGAAGAACGAAAUUGUGCGUUACAAAGCUCGUCUUGUAGCACAAGGUUUCUCACAACGCCCCGGGAUUUAGGGGUGGGUUCAAAUAACCGAAAACCGAAAAAAACCGAAAACCAAACCGAACCGAGGCCGAAAAAAACCGAACCGAAAAAAAACCGAACCGAAACUGCCAAACCGAACCGAACCGAACCUGGCUGGUUCGGUUUCGGUUUUUAAGGUUCGGAAACCGAACCAAACCGAACCGAACCGAACAGAUAUAUAUAUUUAAUUUUUUUUUCAAUAUUAUAAAUAAUUUAGUGAUACAAUCAUAACAAGACAUAACCAGGUACCAAGUUGGUUUGCUUGAAACUCUUCAAGUCCCUGCGCAUGGGUUCGAAUCCUCAUGCCUCCAGGGUUUCAAAAAAGUUUUUUAGUUUUUUUGAACAAUCAACAAACCUUUUAAGUUUUAACCCUAGCCGCACCUUUUAUUUUUUUCAUUCCUCUCUUCUCUCUCUCAUUCCCUGCCUCCAGUCCAGUGUAACCUAGCCCAGUAACCUUCUCGCGCAGCCGAGCCUCAUCUCUCUCACUCUCUCUGUCUCUCUGUGAAGAGCUUCAUCGAAGCCAAGCGCAAGGAACGCGAGGCUCGCGAGAAGGACGAGUAGUACUGGUGCGAGGUGAAGGGCAGCAAAUCCCCCGUGGCCAAGAAGCGCGAGGAAGGAUUUGGGGGUCACCGACUCCCUGGGAUGGCUGCAACGAGAAUGCUUCAUCAGCAAAUCCCCCGCGGCCAAGAAGCGCGAGGAAGAAGCCGAGAAGCUGGCGGAGGCUGCCACGCGGAAGUCCGAGGCCCGCCGAUUGGCGGAUCUGGAGGAGAAGGAUCUCCCUAUCCUCUCUCUUCUCUCUCUCGCUCUUCUUCCGCAUAAGAUCUCUCUCGCUCUCUCCGCCGUCGACCUCCCGCCUCACAUUGACUGAGGUAAUAUUCAUCUGCUCUGCUCAUUUGGUAUUUCGUCGAGCUCCGUGGUUUUGCUCAAUUGGGUUGUUUUCGAUUUUUUUUGUUUAUGGAUAUUUUUCGAUAUUGUUUUUGCAUGAUUCGAUUUGGGUUCUGUGUGUUGCGGUGUUUGAUUCAGAAAGGUUGCUCAUUUACUUGUGAUGCUGUUUGGGUGUGCUGGAAUGUGUAGAUCUUUGUAGUUUCUCACUGCUUGCUGUAGAUCUGAUUGGAAUCGGUUUUUAAUUGCGAAUUUGGAUCUUAUGAUUUGAGAUUUGCAUUCUGUGGGUUGUAGAAAUGGGAUUGUUUAGCUGAAUUUUGAAGAAAUCAUCUUUCAUUUGCUUUAAAAACUGUGGAUCUGCAAAAAUUGUAAUGAGUUUUUCGUCGAUUAAACUUAUAGAUCUUGCGUUUACCUAUCUCACACUUAGCUACAAUUCUCUGUUUUAGUUUCAUGAAUCAGUAUUAUACUUUAAAAUCGAAAAGGUUUUGACUUUUGGGCCUAUUGUUCGAUAUGGUUGUCGGUAGGAGACGCACUGAUGGCUAGGCCCUUGUUUCCGUGGUUAAUCUUUGCGUUCAUUUAUGUUUUUCCUUCACCAUGGAUCACCAAUUUGUCUCCCUAGAUUUGGAUAUCAUACUGCACUCUGAAUGGGAUAUAUGACACCUGUGAGUACAUCGAAUACAUUGUUACAAUGAAUGUCAUAAUAGUGUACUUUUAGUCUUUUACUAUCAUGAAUGUUUGGCACGGACGGGAACUACUUUAGUUUCCCACACAUUUAGUAAAAAUUUGGUAGUAUGUUAGCUACGCUAAAUGCUUAUCCCAGCAUAUAAUUUGAUUUAGCGAUUGACAUCAAAUUUAUAUUGGAAUGCUCCAUUGACACCUUUCCGUGUUUUGAAAUUUAUAGAUCCAAGAUGUGGAAGGGGUAGAACUAUGUGGAACCCUGAAAAAUGUUGUGGCCAUAGCAGCAGGUUUUGUGGAUGGGUUGGAGAUGGGAAAUAACACAAAGGUAAGCUCAAAAAUUUUGGUAAAAGUUGAACCCACAUCUCAUCUGCUUUUUCUAUGUCAUUGUGACUGCUUAUUUUGAAUGACCAGGCUGCAAUUAUGAGAAUCGGUCUAAGAGAGAAGAAGGCAUUUUCCAAGAUGUUAUUUUCAUCAAUCGGUAUUGUUUUCUUCGCUAGUAACUAUGUACUAUAGUUGCUGGAAAUUUCAAUUAUGCCAAGUAUGUGUGCCAAAAAUAUAAUCUGAAAUUUCAAUUAUGCCAAGUAUGUGUGCCAAUUAUGUCAUGUUCUUAUUUUUAUUUGUAUGUAGAAAUGGCAAGGGGAAGCUCAAAGAAAGGUGCUAUGUUGCCUCCCUAGGCCGCCUAUGCGUUGAGCUUGAGCUUGAAGACUUGGAAGAUUUUAUUUGUGCAAGACAUGAAGUGAUGAAACCUUGAAGGUUUAUUUGACUUGUGUGAUGUUUAAAUUUGGACUUUUUGAAGACUUAAACUUUGAUGUUUAAUUUGGACUUUUUGAAGACUUAAACUUGAUUGAUGAUUAAUUCUAUUUAUAGUUGGACUUUAAGUUUUAUGAGACUUUUAGUUUUAUGAGACUUUAUACGUAGAGAUGGAAACAUGUCAUAUUUUCUUUUCCUAUAUUAUGUUGUGCUUGUUUUGCAUUUUUUGGAGGAAAAAAAAAAAAACCGAAAAAAAACCGAAACCGAACCGAAAAAAAAACCGAACCGAAAAAAACCGAAAAAAAUUUGGGCCGAACCGAACCGAACCGAAAUUUCGGUUUGGUUUCGGUUUUGGCAAAAAACCGAACCGAUAAGAACCGAACCCAGCCCUACCGGGAUUGACUAUGACGAAACUUACUCACCCGUUAUGGAUGUGAUUACUUUUCGAUACCUUAUCAGUUUGGUAGUUUCCGAAAAACUGGAUAUGCAGCUGAUGGACGUAGUAACCGCGUAUCUCUAUGGGGAUCUUGAUACGGAAAUUUAUAUGAAAGUUCCCGAAGGACUUACAUUGACUGGUUCAAAUAUUUCCAAACCCCGGAACACGCUCUCAAUUCGGCUGAGGCGUUCACUAUACGGUUUGAAACAAUUCGGAAGAAUGUGGUAUAACCGUUUAAGUGAGUAUUUGACUAGUCAGGGAUAUGUGAAUAACGAACUAUGCCCUUGUGUGUUCAUUAAGAAGUCACAUUCCGGAUUUGCGAUUUGUUGCAGUAUAUGUCGAUGACAUGAAUCUCAUCGGAACUCCUGAAGAGCUCGCGAGAACUGCUUCGCACCUGAAGUCGGAAUUUGAGAUGAAAGAUCUAGGUAAGACUCGAUACUGUCUCGGUCUCGAGAUAGAGCAUUGUUCGGAUGGAAUCCUAGUACAUCAAUCGAACUACACCCAGAAGGUGUUGCGCCGUUUUAAUGAGGAUAAAGCGAAGCCUUCGAGUACUCCUAUGGUCGUUCGUACGCUAGAUGCAAAGCGAGAUCCCUUCCGUCCGAAAGAGGAUGAUGAAGAGAUUUUGGAGCCUGAAGUUCCUUAUCUAAGUGCGAUAGGCGCUUUAUUGUACUUAGCUCAAUGCACUAGACCCGACAUCUCCUUCGCUGUUAAUCUUUUGGCAAGAUACAGCAAUGCACCAACACGCAGACAUUGGACUGGCGUGAAAGACAUCUUCCGUUACCUUAAGGGUACUACGGAUUUGGGCUUAUUCUAUCCCUACGAAUCCUCGAGUGAUGCCGCACCCUAUGCUCAUCGGGUUGAUUCUCGCCUUGUUGGUUAUGCCGACGCUGGAUACUUAUCUGAUCCGCACAAGGCGCGUUCUCAAACGGGUUAUGUCUUUACCGUUGGAGGCACCGCAAUAUCUUGGAGGUCAACUAAACAGACCUUAGUUGCCACUUCGUCUAACCAUGCUGAAAUUCUCGCCUUACAUGAAGCAACUCGGGAAUGCUUUUGGUUGAGAGCAGUAGUGGGCCAUAUUCGAAGCUCCUGUGAUCUUCAUUCCGCCGUUAAUGCCCCGACGACGAUUUUUGAAGACAACGCAGCUUGCAUCGAACAGCUCAAGAAGGGUUACAUCAAAGGAGACAACACCAAGCAUAUUGCGCCGAAGUUCUUCUUUACACAUCAACAACAAGAGCAUCAGAAGAUUGAAGUCACGCAAAUCCAAUCACAAGACAAUUUGGCCGACCUCUUCACCAAAUCACUACCGAAGGCGACGUUUCAGAAGCUUGUUCAUGGAAUUGGUAUGCGUAACUUUCUGAGUUGUAACUUUGCUAUUUCUCUGUGGAAUUAUGUCAAACUCAGGGGGAGUAUCUUCUAGAUACUUGCUUGAUCUUAAUGUACUCUUUUUUCCCUACGAUUAGGAGCAUUUUUCCCACUGGGUUUUUGCUACCUAACUAGGUUUUAACGAGGCACCCACCUUGGGCUGGUCAUAUCCCUGAUGACGUCCUGUAGACGUUUCUUUUGACUUUGCAUUUCUCACGCAUUUUUCCUUAGACUAUGGAUUUUGUCCCUACUUGGGUUUUUGCCAUAGCCUUAGGGUUUUUAGUGAGACUUACUACUUAUGCAAGUUCCUACCUUAUUGAGAAUAAGCGUUGUUCCUUGGAAUCAGUGCCAACGAGUCGACUUCCUCAACUUCUGCAUGAUGCUGAAUCUACCUUGAGUAUUUACACACUCAAGGGGGAGUGUUGUAAACAUUCCUAGUUUAAGUAUGAUUGUGUAAAUCCUAGAUAAGAUUUGAUUCUAGUUAUCAUUUCCUAUUACAACUUGUAUUACUUGGAGAAGAAGGAAUAUCUUCUCUCCCUUUACUACUAUAAAUAAAGGCACAAUGUAGGAGGGAUAACAAUACACACAUUCCCCUACAAUUCUACAAACACACAUCUCUCUCCUCUCUCUCUCUGCCGCCGGCCCUAGUCCCUCUGUCAGAUAAAAUAGACCACAACAAAUACAAAUUUUUUCCGUCUAUCAUACACCUAAUUUUCUCACUUUUAGUGGAAUUUAUCACAUCUUUAGUCAACAUUUUUUUAUUAAAAUGAUUUAAAACGAAAGAGUUCGACCUCAGAACAUUAGAUGAAGAUAUGAAUAUUCUUAACAAGUUAAACUAUAAGUUCUCUGCAUUUUUUAUCAUCGAUAAAUAAUAUUAACUUGUGCGGACCAAAAAUGGAAAAUUGGAACUUCAAGUGUAUCUAUAAUGCCUAAAUGUAUGGCCAACACUAUUUUAAGUCAUUCGAAAUUAAACGAUAACACAAGAGGACAUUAAAUGCUUCUCUAAGUCAUAUUGCUCAAAACAAGCUAGGAGACACGUACGACGUCUUUGUUGGGAAUAGUAAGCAAUUUUGUUUUUCAAAGUGACAUAUUGGAGCAAUGUCUUUUCAAGAGACAAGGGUUCGAAUUUGGAUAACAUAAUGCAGAUACUUUUAGGUGGUAGAGCACUAUGUAUGUAGCUAGUUUGGCCACGUUUUGAUUUUAGCAUGGCUUAUAUAUCUUUCUUUAAGAUCUCUUGAAUAAUUUCAUUUGAGCGAUAUUUUUGCAAAUAUUUUAAUGGUUCAAAUAAUUUAUAUAUAAUUUUUUAAACAUAUGAUAUUUUGUCUACGCUAAGGAAGAAAAAUGGGCUAAGCCUUACAAUGAGCUAAUCAAUAAUAAUUUGGUUUGAAUUUACCUUUAGUAAUAAUCAAACCUUAAGAGCUCUCACUUAUAAGUGAAAAAAAAAUCACCAGAUGUAAAAAUUAGCCGACCAUACUAAGCAGCCGACCAACUUAUAUUUUAGUUUACCAUUCACUAAUUAUCCUUGUAAAAAAUUAGAUAAAUUCAAAAUCAUUAAGACAUUCAAUUAUAGUGAAUAUAAUGAGAAUACGGUUUUCAAAGAAACGCUAAAUGUCUUCGAUUAAUCUAACAAUUACAUAGUUUCAAAUUUGGGUGACUGUUCGUACAAAUUAAUCAUCAAGAGAACAUAAAAAAUAUACAAUUAGAUCGUUGAAGUACAUUGUAGAGUGAGCCUUAAAAAAUCUCUCAGUUGCAGCUCUAUAUGUGUGCACUUAGGUACCGUUUGGUACGCAGACGGGACGGAACAGGACAGGACGGGACGAGACGGAACAGAUGAUGUAAAUGUUGAAAAAGAUAAGGAGAAAUUUUGUCAUAAAAUGUUAUAAAUUUGUGUUCCACGGAUGUGGAACGGGUCGUUCCAGGGGGGAGAGGUGGAACGAAAAAUCAGCCAAAUUUCGUCCCAUGGGACAACCCGUUCCACAGUUUUUAGGCGCACCAAACGAGGGACGAAACGGCUCGUCCCGUUCCGUCCCGUCCCGUCCCACGUACCAAACGGUACCUUAGUUCUUGUAGUUCAAAUGUUCAGACAAAGUUAUUAAAAAUAAAAGAAAAUAUUAUAAAGGAUUGUUUCACAUAUAGUUCAUAAAAAUUCAUGCAGUUGGGUUCCAUGCACUUCCAACAAUUCUUAUCUUAUCUAAUUUUUUUCUCUUUUCUAACAAUACUUUUGGGUAAUUGCGUAAAGCCCAGGUUGAUUGAGAUUUUGAGAGGAGAAUAUUGCUUGCCAGCAAUGAGACUUGUGGACACUGUGGCGGUAUGGCCUAUGGGGUGAGAAUGGGGGACAUUUUAGGGUUCUGUCCCAUACUGUCUAAGCAACUUAACGCAAGGUUUUGUUUAGUGGGGACUUCAAUUGGGCCUUUGUUCCCCUAUAAUCUUAAGACUCUAAACCUUGUUAAUCGGUAUUUUAUCUUAAGAAAGCCUUAAUUUUUGCAUUAGCUUUGAAUUUUGAGGUUUUUCCACCAUAUUGUGUAUGAGAUAUGAUCCCGUGUUUGAAUUUUGAGGUUCUUUUACUAUAGAUUGUCAGAAUUCAGCCGUGUAAAUCUAAUAAUCCAUUGCACCGGUGCAUCAUAACAAUUUUGUGACUUUUGAUCAAUGUGCAAGACUGCAAGUCACAGACACCAUAUGAAAUGAAGGUAAGUUUUAGAAUGCAUGGUGCACAAUAAAGAAAGCUACAAAACAUGCUGAGAUGAAUCUAUCAGAGAUUAUGCAGGAUUGGCUAAGAGAGAAUACAGACGGAAAAUUGUGAGUCACGACAAGCAUAUUGUCUCCUCUCUCUGACCCAUUAGGCAGUACUGCAUAAUUCGGAUCCUAACAGUCGGCCUAACACGCCAUAUUUUUGUUGGCUAGACCAAUCAAAUUUGAGUUUUUGUUGGUGUGGGACAAUAACGCAUUUCAGAUAAGAGGCAAAUAUAAGUUACAAGUCCUCCUGGAAAAUGCGAUUGAGCUGAUUGCUGGCAAAUGCAGAAAUUGAGCUUAUCUGGUAGUGGAAAAUGGGGGUAGAUUUAUCAUGCAUGGCGAGAUAAGUGAAUUCAUUGGUAUUGUGCAUAUUUGGUCGUAAACAUGCGCGUGUGCUCACACCCACACGCACACUGCCGGAAUGCCCCAAACACCAAGGAAUGGGAGAGACUACAUUUUUUUAUUUCAGUGGGCGGGCCAAAUCAAUUGACUACACCAAGGAGUUCCAAAAGAGAAAAGUAAAAGAUGAAAGCUGUGCUGCAUGUCUGCUUCUUUAGCAUUAAAAUUUAAAGGGCCUCUCCCACAAUACUCCUUUUUGAUAAGAGAUUAUCCCUUCUUUUUUCCCUGGUGGGGCUUGGACAAUAGAGAUUUUUCAAUGAGUUGAAAAUACGGACCGGUACAUCAAGUAUAUUAAUAUAAUUAGUUAUAGAUUUUUUGUUAAGUUUCUAAUCAAUUGUGGAUUAUUACACGUAAUAUAUCGAACCGUCUUCCUAACACAUUGAAAAAUUCUACUUCUUUGAAUACUUCCCUUCAUUUUCCAUAGAAAUCCGAAGAAAAGUUUGUCUAGCCAUUUUAAGUUACAAGGUGAUCCACUGAGAUGAUUACAUAUGUGCCAGAAAUUAGACUAAGAUCACAUCACCCCUAGUGCAUUGGAUUGUAAUUGUGCAUGCAUGCUUUCUAGGAAGAGUAGUGGUAGUUCACACAUGUGAUUUAUAAGAAGAGUAUUAUAACGGUUAUUCACGCAUCAAUGCAUGUGCACAUGCGUGAUUAACUGUGCAUAAUAUUUUUCUUGUCGUUACAAGUUUCAGGCUGGUCAACCAACAAAUCUGUAGUUGAUUACUGACACUGUUUAGUAUAGUUUUCUAAACCAACUUCCAUUAGUGUUCAAAUUCCAAUCCUUGUAACUACUUUCUCUGAAUGUAAAACCAAGACUUUAAAUGAGAGGAGGCAGCAAGAUAUUACUGGGCCAUAGAAAAAUCUAAGCCAGUAAAAAAUUACUUGGCCAACAAUAAACUUUCAUUUUAUUUUAUAUUAAAGAGUGACUUCCAAGCACAGAAAAGUUUGGUAGCAUCUACCAAAUUCUCCAAACCUGUAAUGAUAUGCACAAAAUAGUCAGCAAAACACUAAACACUACAUGCCUAUAGCCCCCAUAGGCCAUAGGCAACACCCCACUUGAGAGCCAAUUCCACAUCUCCUCAUCCUAAAGAUUAGAAGCCCUAGAAUCCAAGGAAACACAUAUCCUUUGCCCUUUCCCACCAUCCCCAGCACAAACUCCUCUGGUUUUAAUUAACUCAGUGCUGACUCAUUACAAGGAUAAAUGUGAAAGCUUUUUCCUUCCUUCGUAGUAAAUGCCCCACUCAAAGAGAAUGACUUGUUAUACCAUUGGAAACAUAUUUGACAUUUCAGAUCAAUAAUAUGAUAUCAUGUGUUUUAAGUUUCUCACAUCAUAUCGCAUUAUUAAUUUGAAAGAUAGCAUCAUUUCAACGUCUUCGUUUCGUAAUAGUCUUUCUCCUUUGAAAAACCUCCAAAACACACAAUCAUAUAGAGUUGAAAUGCAUACUUAUAUAGACUAAAAAGCACAUGAGUUGAUUAUUUUAAAGCCAGCUUCCCCACUACUAGCAAUCAUUUCAAACCCAUAAGUCUCUCCACAAUCUCACAAAACCCUCCUUUUAUCUCACAACUCUUCCCUCCCCUUUAAUACCGUCAACACCAGUCACAAAUUCAAACAAGCUUUACCUGCACACCAAAAAAAAAACCCCACAUAUUCUUAUUACACAAAUUCAAUUUGAAAAUUUCACAGACCUCAAACAUGUCCAUGAUUAGUACAGGGGUGCUUUCAGCAGACCCCGGAGCUGAUAAGAUACACAAGAAAUUGUUCCACCACAGGAACGACUCCGGCGAGCUCGAUGUUUUUGAAGCUGCAAGGUACUUCUCAGGAUACAAUGAAGCUCCCAGCAGCCAUAAAAACAACAAGACAUCGGCAUUUUCGCAGAGGAUGAUGAAAGAAGACAGAUCGUCAUGGAGAGGAGGCAGAAUCAGCCUUGACAUGCCUAUCAGACACAUGCUCCAUCAUCCUCAGCAAAACCCUAAUCACCAUAACCAAGUGGCGAUGGAAAAGCAAAGCAACAUCAAAGACAAGAAGUACAAGCAACCAAGCUCUCCAGGCGGGAGGCUGGCCAGCUUCCUGAAUUCUCUAUUCAACCAAUCGGCGUCCAAGAAGAAGAAGUCGAAAUCCAGCGCCACACAGUCCAUGAAAGAUGAGGAGGAGAGCCCGGGUGGGAGAAGGAAGAGGAGGAGCAGCAUUAGUCAUUUUCGAAGCUCUAGCACCACGGAUGCCAAGUCCGUGUAUUCCUCAUCCAGUUCAGGAUUUCGAACACCUCCACCUUAUAGCCAUGCUCAAAUGGUAGCCUCCAAUAGCUACAAAGAUUUGAGAAGCUAUUCGGAUAAUCACGAGCAGCAAUAUCAACAGCAGCAGCAGCAGCAAACGGUUUCCUUAUCAAAGUACAAUACGAACUUCGAUGAGAAAAGAUCAUCAAACAAAGAACUGACUUGGUUGGAUCAUGAGAAGUUCAAAUUAUCGGAGAAGUAUAAGAUUAGUUCCGACCAGGACCACAAGGGUUUGCUCAGGAGGCUCAGUGAGGUUGUUGAUGACGAGCGGGAAGAUGAAGGUGCAGAGAGUGAUUCGAGCUCUGAUCUUUUCGAGCUGCAGAAUUAUGACUUGGGUUAUUACUCGAGCGGCCUUCCUGUGUACGAAACUACAAAUGUAGACAACAUCAAGAUCAGAUCAGUAACACCAAUUUCCAAUGCCUCAUCCUAAAACCUACAUUUGUGUUGGAUUAUGCAUAUGUGGUUGAGAAAGGAAUUAAAAUUUCCUACAUUUGUCUUUUUAAGUUCUCUUAUCUUAAACUUCCAUUGGCCUUUUUUCUAUGUAUGUACAGUUGAGAAUGUUUGUUUUCUGCUUUUACUUUGCUUUUGGAGAUAUAUAUGUAUAUGUUAAGAUUUUUAGUAUACUUGUAUCUUAUAUUUCUUGAUUUUUUAAAGAUUCUUAUAUUUCUUGAUUUUUUAACAGUUAGAUGUUAAAAGUUAAUGCUUUACUUAAACUGAUUCUGCUUUACUGAAACUGAUUAUGUGUAAAAGGGCUAACUGUUGCCUUUAUCAGUCGACCCAUUCUCUUUAUCAGUCGACCCAUUUACUUCAGUCGGCUUAUGUAUUGAGCCAUAUAUAUAUCAUAAAUAUCUAAAUGAAAAUAUAGAUCUCUGUUUUUACAAAAAGCAUCAGCCCUCUGUUUCCAAAGCUCUCUGCACUCUGUUUCUUUGAUUUUCAAUCUUUAUCAUUUUAUUCAAGUUUUAUUAAUGAUGAAAGAUUGUCUAAAUACCAACAUGGUAUCAGAGCCAAUCUGAUCAAAGAGUGGGGCGUUUUUUUUUAUCAAAAAGGGGGGAAAUUCUAAUUAAGUGAAACCCUAGAAUCAAAAUUUUUCAAAUUCAUGGCUGGUUCAAGUAGCAGUGGUGAGAUUCGAACUCCUAUCUUCAGUGGAGUAAACUACGACUUCUGGAGGACAAAUUUGAGAACAAUUUUUGUAUCUCAUGAUUUGUGGAGCUUGAUUGAAGAUGGCUAUGUUGUACCUCCAAGCACUGUGGUUUUGACAGAGACUCAAACAAGGGAGUUGAAGGUAAACAUCAAGAGAGAUGCAAAAGCUCUUGGGGUCAUCCAAAAUGCUAUCUCAGAUGAAAUUUUUCCGAGAAUCUCAAAUGAGACAAGUGCCAAAUCAGCUUGGGAUGUGCUGGAGAAAGUCUACAGAGGUUCUACUAAGGUAAGGGCUGUCAAACUCCAAUCUUUGAGAAGAGAUUUUGAGUAUAUAAGAAUGAAAGAUGAUGAAUUGCUAGAUGAUUACCUGAGUAGAUUGUCUGAGAUUAUUAAUCAAAUGAAAAGCUAUGGUGAAAUCUUGUCUGAUGAGAGAAUAGUUCAGAAGUAUCUAAUUAGCUUGCCAAGAAAGUAUAUGACAACAUAGUUUCAAUCAUAGAGGAGAGACUAAGGAUUUGUCAACUUUGAGUGUUGAAGAAUUGAUUGGUUCUCUCAAAGGUUUUGCUCAGAGAUUAUCUAGGCAUGACAACAAUGAUGUAGAAAAUGCUUUCCAAACACUUACAGUGAAUCCAAAAACUCAAGCUAGUUCAAGUCAAAGCAAAGCCAACUCCAACAAGAAUUGGAAAGGCAAAAACAAAGCGUGGGAAGGAAAGGGUAAUUUUGAAGAGAAGAAAAAGGUUGAGAAGAGUUUGUAUGUUUCAAAGUGCAAAAUUUGUGACAAAGCUCAUUCCAGUGAAUGUUGGUUCAAAGGAAAAGUGAAAUGCCACAAGUGUAGCAAAUUGGGGCAUAUGCAAAAGGAUUGUACCUACAAAGAUAAUCAGCUAGCUCACUACACCAAAGCAGAAGAUGAAGAGACCAAUAUGUUUUAUGUUGGUCAUGAUACAACCGUCCAAGAAGAAGCUAAAGUUUGGUUUGUGGACAGCGGCUGUAGCAAUCAUAUGACGGCGAAUAAGAACAUUCUCCAUAAUGUUGACACUACAAACCUAACCCGAGUGAAGAUGGGAAAUGGGCAGCUAGUCGAUACAUUGGGAAGAGGUACUAUUGCCGUGCAUACGAAGAAUGGAAAGAUGUUCAUCAAGGAUGUCAUGUUAGUUCCUGAUUUAAAGCAAAAUUUGCUAAGUCUUGGACAACUCAUUGAGCAUGGCUACUACUUAUAUUUUGGAGACAAUACUUGCAAGAUAUAUGAUAGGAGGAAUCGUCAACAACUCGUGGCUAAGAUUGAGAUGAGGAAGAGUAGAAGUUUUCCACUCACAAUUGAGUAUGCAACUCAAUCUGCAUUCAAGAUGGAAGUGCAAGAAGAUUCAAAGCUAUGGCAUAAAAGGCUUGGCCACUUGAAUUUUCAAAGUCUCAAGAAGCUACAAGAAAAAGAAAUGGUGCAUGGGUUGCCGAGUAUCCAAGAAAAUGAAGAAAUCUGUGAAGGGUGUGCACUUGGAAAGCAUCAUAGAGAUUCAUUUCCACAUGGUAAAGCUUGGAGAGCAAAAGUUCCAUUGGAAUUGAUUCAUACAGAUGUUUGCGGACCCAUGAAGACCUCUACUCAAGUGGGAAACAAGUAUCUUCGUGGAUGAUUAUUCCAGAAUGACUUGGGUAUACUUUCUAAGACAGAAAUCAGAAGUGUUCUCAAUCUUCAAGAAGUUUCAAGCUAAGCUAUGGUUGAGCGACAAUCUGGGUAUCUAAUCAAAGUUCUUAGAAGUGACAGAGGAGGAGAGAGUAUACAUCCACAGAAUUUUGAUAAGUUUUGUCAAGAUAUUGGCUUGGAAAGACAACUUACUGUCAGCUACACUCCACAACAAAAUGGAGUAGCUGAGAGAAAAAACAGAACCAUAGUCGAAAUGGCUAAGGCAAUGUUACAUGACAAGGGAAUACCUCAAUAUUUGUGGGGUGAGGCAGUUAAUACAGCGGUCUACUUGAUGAAUAGGCAUCCAACAGUGGCAGUUGAAGAUAAGACACCAUUUGAGGCAUGGAGUGGCAGAAAGCCUUCUGUGAAUCAUUUGAGAGUGUUUGGGUCAAUCUGCUUUGCUUAUGUUCCGAAAGAACUAAGACAAAAACUUGAUGAGUCAAGUGAAAGAUGCAUUUUCGUAGGUUAUGCUUCAUACACAAAAAGGUACAGACUCUACAAUUUAAAAAGGAAGAAAGUUGUGGUUUGUAGAGAUGUUCUUUUUAGUGAGAAAUCUUCGUGGGAUUGGAAUCAAGCAACCAUCCGAGAGGAAUCUGCACAAAUCAGAAUUGAAGAAGAAAAUCAACCAAAUGAAGAGGAAAUUGAGCCAGAAAUUCCACAAUUAUCACCUGAAAACAGUCCUCAAGCUCACUCUCCUACACUUUCAAGUCCAAGUUCAACGCCGGUUCGGUUAAGGAGCUUAAAUGAAGUCUAUGAAAGCUGCAAUUUUUGUGUUGAAGAACCAGAAAACUUUGAUGAUGCAGUGAAAGAAGAGACUUGGAAGGCUGCAAUGCAAGAGGAGAUCAAUGUCAUUGUGAAAAACAAGACAUGGGAACUAGUGGACAGACCUUGUGACAACUCCGUCAUUGGAGUGAAAUGGAUUUAUAAGACUAAGCUCAAUCAAGAUGGUUCCGUUCAAAGGAACAAAACUAGAUUGGUAGCAAAGGGUUAUUCUCAGAAACCCGGAAUUGAUUUCCAAGAAACAUUUGCACCGGUAGCUAGGCAUGAAACAAUCAGAGGCCUUAUUUCCGUAGCUGCUCAGAAGGGGUGGUUUCUACACCAACUUGAUGUCAAGUCGGCUUUCCUAAAUGGAGUCCUAAAAGAAGAGGUGUUUGUUGACCAACCUCAAGGAUUUGUUCUUAAAGGACAAGAGCACAAGGUGUAUAAACUUAAGAAGGCACUUUAUGGCCUGAAACAAGCUCCGAGAGCAUGGUAUGGAGAGAUCGACUCAUAUUUCAAUGAAAGAGGUUUUCAAAGAAGUGAGAAUGAACCUGCCCUCUAUGUCAAAACAGAAGGUAUUUCAGAUAUCCUUAUUGUUUCCUUAUAUGUUGAUGAUUUGGUUUAUACUGGAAGUAGUCAUAAUAUGAUCUUGAAUUUCAAGAAUGACAUGAUGAGGAAAUAUGAGAUGAGUGAUCUAGGCAUGUUGCAUUAUUUUUUGGGAAUUAGUAUCAUUCAAUCAAAUGAUGGUAUCUUUAUUACUCAAAAGAAAUAUGCAAAAACACUUCUAGAAAAGUUCAAAAUGGUUGGUUGCAAGCCUGUUGCAACACCUCUAGUUGUGAAUGAAAAGUUUCAAAGAGAAGAUGUUAGUGGUGAUGCUGAUGAAUCUGUGUAUAGAAGCCUGGUUGGGAGUUUGUUGUAUUUGACAGCGACUAGACCCGAUGUUAUGUAUGUUGCAAGCUUGUUGUCCAGAUUUAUGCACAAGCCUACUUGCAUUCACUAUGGAGCUGCAAAGAGGAUCCUAAGAUACAUACAAGGUACACUUGACUUUGGUAUUAUGUAUGAAAGGAAUGUUAAGCCCAAAUUGUAUGGGUUCUGUGAUAGUGACUGGGGAGGUAGUGUGGAUGACUUGAAGAGCACAUCUGGCUAUACUUUUACAUUAGGGACUGGUGUAUUCUCUUGGGCAUCUAAGAAACAGAAAUCAGUUGCACUAUCAACGGCAGAGGCUGAGUAUGUGUCGGCUUCAAUUGCAACUUCUCAAGCAGUGUGGCUGAGAAGAAUUAUGCAAGAUUUUGGUGAGAAACAAGAAUCAGGAACUCAUAUCCUUUGUGACAAUAAGUCAGCUAUUGCCAUGAGCAAGAAUCCUGUCUGUCAUGGUAAAUCAAAACAUAUUGCUCUGACGCAUCACUACAUCAGAGGUGUUGUGGAAGACAAUGAAGUGGAUGUGGUCUACUGCAAGACAGAAGAUCAAGUUGCUGAUAUCUUCACCAAGGCAUUACCAAAGGACAGAUUCAUCUACCUAAGAGAACUUUUGGGAGUGAAGCAGCAAAGCAUUAAGAGGGAGUGUUAAAAGUUAAUGCUUUACUUAAACUGAUUCUGCUUUACUGAAACUGAUUAUGUGUAAAAGGGCUGACUGUUGCCUUUAUCAGUCGACCCAUUUACUUCAGUCGGCUUAUGUAUUGAGCCAUAUAUAUCAGAAAUAUCUAAAUGAAAAUAUAGAUCUCUGUUUUUACAAAAAGCAUCAGCCCUCUAUUUCCAAAGCUCUCUGCACUCUGUUUCUUUGAUUUUCAAUCUUUAUCAUUUUAUUCAAGUUUUAUUAAUGAUGAAAGAUUGUCUAAAUACCAACAUUAGAUUCUUAUAUUUCAUGACCAGUAUCUAAUGGCUAAAAAUCUCAACAUAUAAGAUACAGCAAACAUACUAAAAUUUUUGGCAUACAUCAGCGUUGCUAUAUAUGUUUUUGUGGAGUGCUGGAAAAUAAGAAGCGUCAGAAGUGCAGCAGUUUUGGGAUUGUGCCGUGCCGAUCGAUUUCGAUGAUCAGAAUUUUAUAUGAGAUGCUCCACUACCAGAUUCAUGGAGAAACAACGCAUCAUAACUCACACCAUGUGAAACUCAUUCCUGUUACUUUUCAUGAUCACUUUGUACAAGAAGCGCAAUUAUGUUAUAUGUUAAUUAUUUUCAUGUGGGUUCUCAGCUGUGAAUGUUUGAUAUGUGCAUGUAAAUAUUUUAGUUUUUUUUCCAAAAUUUAGAAAUAUAGUCACUCUCAAGCAGUUCUCAAUGCUCGAAUCUUCUUCAAGUGGUCAAAAUGAUUUGUGAACUAAAGUCUUUAUAUUGUUAAAAUUUGAAAUUUGAUUAUAAUUCUUAUAUGUAUUUGAUAUAAUCACUAUCUCAACAGUAAAAUGGUAAUUAUAAUAAAUAAUAUAUUCACAUGAAUUAUAUUUGACAGUUAGAUAAUAAUUAUACAAGGUUUCAUAUAGUAUGUUUAAAAUUCGGGAGCACUUUUAAAGGUUCCUCAAGCAAAAGCUUGAACCACUCUCAAUUACCCUCGGGUUGUUGAAAUUCUAAAACUCUAUAAAAGUGGACUAAAAGUCUUCUACAUGUCAAGAGUUUAGCUAGCUAGUUUUCAAAAUUCUCCACAAAUAUAUUAGGUGUAUAUAAAUUGUUUAGUGUAAGUGUACACUCACUAUAUAUGUUUAAAAACUAGUAGUUUUACAUGAGAUUUGUUUUAUAUCACAAUCUAUUUACACUAAAGAGAGGAAAAUUUUGAAAAUUUAAUAAGAGGAGAUUAUAUAGUGACACUCCCAUUUAGUAUGCAUAUGUCACAUAUUUCACUUUCACAUAUAUGCAGGGACGUAGAAUGGAUAGCAAAUUGAGUUUGAUUCGUGGAGGUAUAUGGGAAAAGGCAUUAAAGUUUAAUAAGAUCUUUACUGGGGGUAGAUUUUCUUCUACCUUUUGUUAGGCUUCUGUCUAAUCAAAUGAUCAACAGUAAGGCAAUUAAUUAAGCCUUACUCUAUUUUCUCAUCAUUAGAAACAACAUAUAGAUUCUAGACAAGGCCAAAUUAACGUCCUUUUUAAGAUCAGAUGAUGACAAUUUUUUUUUUUUUUGAAAAGGAUAAGAUGAUGACAAUUAUUCAACAAAAGUACUUUCCCAUAUUUUUCCUUUAUACUUUAUAAUCCUUCUUGGUGCUGUGGCAACAUCCACAUAUUUUAUGAUCCAAAUGGUUUGCAAUUGAGAUAUAAGAGCAGCCGCCAACUGUGACUAGUUGGGGGCAAGGUAUUGUCAAUUUGGAGAAGGAUAAGUCUCCAUCUACCUACCCACCGAAACAGGUGAACCGGUGAAUUGCAAACCAACUCCUUAAAAGUCAAUUUAUCAAGCCAUGAUUUGCCAAAUUCGAACGCUGCAUCACAUACUCAAGGAGAGAACUCUGGCACGACAACUAAGGUUUAACAUAGGAUUGAGUAAAAUCAAAAUACAAAGUCCUAUAUACUAUGAGAAAUAUCCUAUACGAAUGACGUGAUCUGACAUCCUUACUCAAGUUUUAAAAAUUAUGUUUGUCCUAGUAAGAGAUUUUUUAUUGUAGAGUCCGAUUGACUCAUGUUAUGAGUACAAUAUACACAAAAAGAUAUAUAGUCGGUUGUAAGGCAGAUUCUCUUAUAUUUGUAUCCGUAUAUAUGCGUGAACACAAUGCAUGUUGAAGAAAGUAAUGAAUGACUCGGUUGGAAGUACUUUUAAAAUGUUUGAAAGCGUUUUUAGAAAAAAUAUUUUUGGAUUCCAAAAGCACUUGAAGUAUUCAAGUAUUUUUCUAGGACUCAUUUGCAUUUUUAUUAAAAAUUGAUUCCAAAAAUAUUUUCAUCAAAACGCUUUUAAAUUAAGAAGCCCAAAAUUAGAGUUUGGAUUGAUCAAAAAUCUUGGCCCUUUUGGAUAUAGCCUUUUAGAAAGACCGAGGACUGUAAGAGCAAUUCCACCGGAGUGGAAUUUGCCCAGCCCUCAGUCCAAAAAACGUGCCGGGCCUCUGUCAAUCAAGUCCACCCCAUGAAAUGAACUGGUACCCAGCCCGAGCUGGGCAAGAGCCCAGCCCAAAAGAGACUGAGACAAAAGCCGGGGAGGAAGCCUGGCGCGUGCGAUUCACGCCGGUUGGGCGCGAGUGCCCGACACGGUUUCAGGCCCGGGCCCGCGUGACAGGCGCACUGACUCCCCCCCCCCCGAGUUGGCGACGUGGCUUUCUUUCGGCCGUUGGAUUUCCAACGGUAAAAAAAAUUUAAAUUUUACUUUUAACAUAGACCGUCGGAUCAAAGAUCAACGGUCCACGUUUUUUUUUACAAAAAAGUAAAUUAAAAAAAAAAAAAAAGGCCCCAACGGUCAGAAAUAUGACCGUUGGCCACGUGGCAAGUCCCUGGCUCUUGGAUUUGAAUAUUUUUCAAAUCCAACGGUCCAGAUUAAUUAACUAUAUUAAAAUUCAUUAAAAAUUAUUAAAAAAUACAGAAAAAUUAUUAAAAAAUACAGAAAAUUUUAAAAAAAUUACAGAAAUAUUUGAAAAAUGUUAAUUUUUUUCCUAUAAAUACCUAACCCUCAUCUUCUACCUUUACACCACAUUCCAAUAUUUUCUACACUUUCUAUACUAUCUACAUUUCAAUAUUUUCUACACUUUAAGAGAAAAAAAUGUCUUCGUGGAAGCUCAUUGAAGAUGUUACGUUGUGUGAAUGUUGGGUUCACACUACUCAUGAUCCGAUUACGGGUAAUGAGAUGGAUAAGCGAGAAAUGUGGAGUAAAAUUACGAAAGCGUUUUGUGAUGUACAUGGAGAAAACGCCAGAACUAGUCAAGGUCUUCAAGGUCGUUGGAAAAAACUCAACGCAUCCUUUACUUGUUGGAAAAACGCCAUCUCUCAUGCUUCCGGUAACCUCCGUAGUGGGACAAGUUUAGCGGAUCAGGUGACAAUAUUUUUAUUUAUUUAUAUGCAUUCCACUCACAUUAAUAUUUUGAUUUAUUUAAUUUCGUAUGUAAUUUUUAUGUUAUUUCUUAUGUAAUUUUUAUUUAAUUUCUUAUGUCAUUUUUAUUUAAUUUCUUAUGUCAUUUUUAUGUAAUUUAUAUGCAUUCCACCCGUAUUAAUAUUUUGAAUUUAUUUAUUUGUGUUACACCCGCAUUUUUUAACACUAUGUUAUCCCACAUUUUUAUAGACACUACAAGCUCAAGCAUUUUACAAUUCAAAGAACGGGAACAAAUCAUUCACUAGAUGGAAAUGUUGGCAAAUUGUCAAAGAUUGCCCUAAAUACAAAAUUGUGGCAACUGGUCCAGAAGUUGUCAUGCACGGUAUGGGUCUACAUAGUUCUCCAGAACCAGACAUGGCCAAACAAGAAGCCGACACAUUUCAAGACACGGAAGGGAUGCCUGAACAAGUGCCCGAGACCCAACCGACUCGUCAGUCCCUCAGGCCCGUAGGUAAAAAGGCGUCAAAGAAAAAAGGUAGUUCUUCCAAGAAUGACUACACUAAAUAUAUGGAGGAACUUACUCGCCAAGGUGAACUGAACAUGGCACGAGAAAAGGUUAGAGAUGAGGAAAAAGUUGCUGCUAUGGCAGCAAUAUUAGCAGCUACUGAGGCCCGUGAUGCGGCGGCUGAGAGACAAAGAGAAGUAGUUAAUCGAGAGAACGAGCUGGUUAGAGAAGCACUUCAUCGAGAAAAUGAAUUGCUUCGAGAAGAAAGGAUGGCUCAAGCAGAUCGUGACACUAUGAGCAAGUCUCUAGUAGGACUGUCUCCGAAUUCUAAAUAUUUUUGGACAUCGGAAAAAAAAGAUGUCAUGCGAAGGAGGCGUGCAAGAGAUGCGGAAACAAGUCAAGGGGGUUCUAGCAACUUUUGUGACAACCAAGAUCCUCGCACCACAUAUCCUAGCUCGAGAGACUUUGUAUAAUUUUUAUGUAUUUUUUAUGUUUUUUCCUUCUUUUUUCUUUUGAACUUUAUUUAAUUUCUUAUGUUUUUUUCUUUUUUUAGGUUUGAACUUUAUUUAAUUUCUUAUGUAAUUUUUAUGUUAUUUCUUAUUUAUUUUUAAAACUUUAUUUAUUUUUAUUUAAUUUAUUAUGCAAUUUUAAUGUAAUUCUUUAUUUAUUUUUAAAACUUUAUUUCUUUUGUACUUUAUUUAAACACAUGAAAUAAGAUUACAUAAACUCACCAAAUAAAUUUAAAAACAAAACACACUACAUAGAAUUACAUAAACUCACCAAAUAAAUAGAAUUACAUAAACUCACCAAAUAAACUUAAAAACAAAACACACUACAUAGAAUUACAUAAACUCACCAAAUACAUAAAAUUACAUAAACUCAUUAAAUAAACUUAAAAACAAAACACACUACAUAGAAUUACAUAAACUCACCAAAUACAUAGAAUUACAUAAACUCACUAAAUAAACUUAAAAACAAAACACACUACAUAGAAUUACAUAAACUUAAAAAAAAGAUCGUGACAUUAUUCAACCACAAGCCUCAUUCUAAUUAUCUUCGCCUUCAUGCAAUCCCCACUGGUGCUCAAUCAAGUCAUUCUGGCGGGUUACGUGCCAGUAUGGCUCUUGCACAUUAGUGUAACGUUGAACGAUCAAUUCAUUGUAACGUCCAUCGCGUUCCAACGGCUCGUGUUGCACUGGAUCUUCGGUCCCAUCAUGAGCACAAUAGAUACGUGUUCUUGAGUUGUUCAUCGGAUCCGGCUCAUAUUCAUCGACGCCAUCAUAAUCAUACUCAUCUUCAACAAUCAUGUUGUGGAGAAUAAUACACGUCAUCAUGAUGGAUCGAAGAGCCUCGACAUCAAACAUUCUAGCUGCAGCCCUGAUAAUCGCCCAACGAGCUUGCAGGAUACCAAAACAACGCUCGACAUCCUUCCUACACCCUUCUUGACAUUUUGCAAAGUGUUUUUCCUUUUCAGUCUGUGGAUGUGGCACUGUUUUGACAAAUGUUGACCACCUUGGGUAAAUGCCAUCUGCAAGGUAGUAUGAUCCCUCAUAUUGGGUACCAUUAAUGGUAUAUGUGCAUCUUGGCGAGUUUCCUUGCAGCAGUUCGUCGAACACUGGGGAUUGGGCAAGGACAUUUAAGUCAUUCUGAGCUCCUGGAACACCAAAAAAAACAUGCCAAAUCCAUGUAUCAAAUGAAGCCACCGCUUCUAAAAUGAUGCUUUUGGUUCCUUUUCUGUUGCCAUAUGCUCCUUGCCACGCACUUGGACAGUUUUUCCAAGUCCAGUGCAUGCAGUCCAUGCUUCCAAUCAUGCCAGGGAAGCCUCGCAUCUCACCCUUCCUCAGAAGCCUUCGCAUGUCCCUUGGCGUGGGUGUCCGGAGGUACUCAUUGGUGUAGAGGGCUUCAAUUGCAGAGCAAAACCGCAUCAGGGACUCCAAAACAGUUAUUUUUCCCAUCCUCGCGAUCUCAUCCACUUGAUCUGCAGAUGCUCCAUAUGCAAGCAUUCGCAAGGAUGCCGUAAUUUUUUGCUCGGGAAUAAGACCUAGAACAUGAAAAGCAUCCUCUUUUUGCACAAAGUAUGAAUCAUGGUUGCAAAUAUCACUCAUGAUUUUGUUGAACAAAUUUCGUUGCAUUCUAAAACGCCGUCUAAAAAUAUGAUCAGGGAAUAUGCUAUUGGGAAUAAAAUAAUCUUCCAAUAGAUUUUUACCUCGUUUUUCCCUUUUUCUAUCGAGGUUUGCAACACGUCUUGGUUUGGCUAUCUGACCCACAGCUUCCAUGACACGGCGGGAAUGUGAGGCCUUCUACCUUCUAUGGUGAUCAUCCUCAUCCUCCUCCAUGAAGAAAGCCUCAUCUCCACCUCCACUUCCACCUUCCUCGAGAUUGGCCAAUUCUGCCUGUUGUGCCAACAACCUUUGUUGUUGCUCCUGCAACUGUUUAUACACCCUUCUUGAAGAAGACAUUGUAAUAAAAACUCAAGAUUUGAAAACGAUGAACAAGGAUUCUGAGCUAAAAAGAAGGAUUGAGCUUGGUGUGAGGAUGGAUGUAGGGAUGUAGGGUUUAUAUGGACAAAAAAAGCAAGGAUGGGGUUCUGGACAAUGUCACGUGGCACUACGUGAUUGGUUGAAAAUCUUAUCGAAAUCUUGGCUAAAUUAUUGUAAACCGGAAGUGACACGUGGCGUGUCGGGAUUGGUCGAAAAUAUUAUCGGAAAUCUAUCCACAAAAUAGUACGUUCAGAUAAUGACACGUGGCAUGACGUGAUUGGUUGAAAAUCUUAUCGAAAUCUUGCCUAAUUUAUUGUAAAACGGAAGUGACACGUGGCGUGUCGGGAUUGGUUGAAAAUCUUAGCGGAAAUCUAUUCACAAAAUAGUACGUUCAGAUAAUGACAUGUGGCAUGACGAGAUUGGUUAAAAAUCCUAUCCGAAAUUAAAACUAUUUUAUUUUCUUAUUCUUUUAGACAAAAUAAAAAUAUUUUAAAUGGGCUGGGUGCCAACGCAUUUUGUAGGGAUGGAGAUCGUUUGUGCCAGCACAUUUUUUCACUAUGUGCCAGCGCAUUUUUUUAGGGGUGGAGAUGCCUUAGCCUAUUACUGUUCAUUGGAGUCUGUUACUGUUCAUUUGAGUGGAUAAAUGCGCUGGAUGGCGCAAAGUCCUUAGGGGUGGAAUUGCUCUAACAUUUGAUGCAUGUUGCACCAAAAGGUCCCAACCAAAGCAUGUAACUGUAACUACCAGAGUGAGUGGGAGGAGGGUCCAAACUUAUUGCUCAAAUAAAUCAAAUGUUACACUAAUAAUAAACAUCUUGCUUUCCCUCGUACCCAAUUAAAUUCUCCUUUCUUUUUUAAAAGGCAUAUGCAAAGUAAGAACUCAAGCUCCCUUAACCACUUCACAAUAAUGGUCAUUAUCUCAGUAUCAAAUGCAUGCUGGCUCCACUUUUUGAACCUUCUCAUACACAUACAUAUAUAUAUUAAAUGUGAGAGAAAUUUACAUGUAACGUGUUACUUAUACAUUUUUUCUUAUUGAUCUCUCUCAUCAUGUGUUAACUUUUUAUCUCUCAUCAUGAACGGUUAGCAAAUAAGAUAUUGCCCAAAAUGACACGAAGAAAGAAUGAAGAGGUAUGAACAGAAGACCAAUCACAUGAGCCCUCCAGAAAACUUAACCUAACUAGCUCUAUAUUCCAUUAGAAGUUUCAAGACGCAUUUGAAUCUUAUGAUCUUUGUGUGUUUUUCCAAGCACUUCUGGUAAACUAACGCAUAGACAGACAACAACAUCGUUACUCAUGUAGGAUGUUCCUCAAGGGUCGGGACAGCUACAAAUGCCGUUACAAGCACACAUGCAAUAUCGUGAGUGCUCAAAUGAUAUGACAUCUUUUGGAACUAUGUAGGUCAGAAGAGUUAAAAGAGUUUGAUAGUUUGUCUAACUAUGUUCGGACUGAGACGUCUCAACUGCAAACAUAAUAUCAGGUGUGAAUUUAAACACGAAGACCCAUUGUAAUUUAUUUUUUUGCCUCAAACUCAAAUUAUGUACAAUGAGAGUAUCAAUUAUUGCAAACAAUAUAGAAUGAUCAUUAAAAACCCAACCUAACGUGAUGAAUGAGAUAUUACUCACAUCACAUGACUGGAAAAAAAAUAGUAUUAUUCCCACAUUUAUUUUAUCUUUCACACAAUCUUGUUAAUUUUUGUUAUUGAUCUGCUUCAAUUCAUUUGAUCCAAUAGCCGAAAAAUUGAGAAGAGUGUGUGAGAAAUAAAAAUGAAUAUGCGGAUGACAUCAUCCAUGUAUUGCUAAGAAAUCUGAAUUAUUAGAUAGUAUAUGUCGAAUGAUUCCAAUCAAAAUCUGAUCAUCAUCUAACCUAAUAUAAGCCCAGAAAAUUUCAUUAUAUUAAGUUGGCAAGGCAUUUACAUGUGAUACAAUCACAACCCAUUAUCUGAAACUAAAGAGAAAAAAACUUUUAAAGCCUUCACUGACCUGGAUCCUGGCCAUCACAGCCUUGGUGCAUUCCAGAUAGCAUCAACUGCUCUCCUCUUCUGAUCUUCCUCGUGUCCCAAAUUGCCCCACAAUAUACGGUCACUCCUUUUGUUCCAACACAUCAUACUUAUCCAUGAAGGUAGGGCACGGCCACCCAUCAGUUCAAAUGUUCCUUGACAAAAUUAGGGUUUUACCAAACUUAGGGUUUGAUAAAAAAGAAAGGUUCGAUUUUGUUUUUGUCCUUUUCACAGGGGAUUAUCACACACCAAAGAGAGAUCAAUGUAUGUUGCAACCCAAUGCCAUUUCGGAAAAAGCAAGCUAUGUUACAUGAGCUUUUGGGCACCAGUACUGUGUAAGAGCAAGUUCUACCCACAAUUUCGUAUCAAAAUAUCGUGAAGUACGUGAAAACAGAGUCAGUAACCUUAAGGACUGCAUCCAGAUUCGUAUAGGAAGUUUCAAACAUAUAUUCGUUUUUCACUAGACUAAAUUUCUUAGGGUUAACACUUCUUUUUAAUAAUGUGAAAGGGAUUGUGUGUGUCGAGUACGAAGGCACAUUGGAUGAAAGCCUGCAACUAUGCAUUCGAGUUAUCACUUUUUCAUGCAGGCUGGUUGUCUUUCUCGAUUGGGUUUUGGGUGAAGUCCAAGUGUCCAUGGAUGUAAGCUUUUAGUCACAGAAGUUGGGCUGAGUCAUUCUCUCUGGCCUUGGCCCGUGCGACUGCGCACUCCCCCAAAACCAAAAAGCACGUCCCCUUGGUCCUUGGUCACAUAAUGCCAUCACAAUGUUCACUACUACCUCUUUCUCCCCAUAAAAUCAAACCGGCCUCUCUUCAUAAAAGAAACAUCACCUUUUUGCCACAAUGUUCAAAUCAAAUGUUCCAACUCAAAAAAGAAAAAAAAAAAAUGUUAAUUAUAAAAUUCAUAUUUUUAAAAAUGUAAGUUAAACGUAAAUUUUUACAUCUUAUAUGUGCAUCUUUUAUGGUUAGAUACUUUUUAUAGUUUACCCAAUUAUCUAUUCUUCGAAACGUUUAAUCGGUAGAUUUUUAGUCAAAUCUACAAUAAUUACAAUCUAACAAUUAAGAUUCAAGAGUACUACAUAAUUUUUACUCUUGACUGUUCAAAUUUUUAGCAGAAAGUCGAUCCAAAUUUCAGAGUUUUCAAAUGACGUGUGUAAUGAAUUUACGACGUACUUCAGAGUAUUGAAUGAGUUAUUUUAAAAAUAAAAAUUCAAAAUUUAACAAUAAAUGAAAAAGAAAUACCUGAGGUUUGGUCAUUUUCAAAGUUUUGUUAUGUUUUGAGUGUUUGAGAAGCAGGCAAUGAAAAGUGGUAAACUCCAAAAGAGAAACCAGCUACAGCUGCAGGAGCGGUCCACUCCUCCCAUAACCAUCUCAUGCCUCCCAGUUUCCAGCUUUUCCAGACUGACAGUUACACGCGUCAUCCAUCCACAGCAUACACAUGGCACAAUGGGUACUUGUCAUAUCUUUUUUAUCCUUAUCUCAUUACAGUUAGACAAUCUCACAGUAAAUAACAAUACUAGUAAGCCACACGGUAAAAAAAUUCCUAUAAUUACAUAUAUUUAUUCAACAUUGCUAAUUCUGGACGGGGACUCUCUUCGAAUUUCAUUAUAGGUAACUCAAAGAGCAUGUAAUUUGAAUCGUUCAAAUUGAGUCUAACUGUACUUAUUAGUUGAUUCUACUGACACACUACAUACAAACUAAAAGCUCGAAUCUUAUUUUUGCUCUCUUGAACAGUCCGAGUUAUUUGGUUUGGUUUAAGACUAUGAGAUUCGGUGAGGAUUCAAAUUCAAAAAAAAUUAAACCCCCCCAAAAAAAAAAGAAAACCACUUGACUUGGAGAAUAAUUUUGGAUUUUAUUAAUUUACAAUGCAUUUAUAAUCUUUUAUUAUUUUUUAAAUUUAAUUAAACAAUCUAAUUAGAAAACUUUGAUUUAUGAUUGAAGGAAUUUGAAUGUGUGACGACAUUGUCCAAUCAUACUACAAUAUGUGACCUUUCGGAUUGGCCUUUUGGAGUGGUUGCACACAAAAAAAUCAUUAAAUGUGUCACACCUUAAAAUGUCCACAGUGAAACGGACACAGAGGCACCACUUGCAGAGAAAUAGAGAGGCAUGCUUGGCCAUGUCAGAAAGUGCCCCAUCAAAUUGUUCACCAAUUCGUAUAUGAAAUGGGCCACAUCCCCACAUGCCAACAAAUAUGUUACAUUUGUUCUAAAUUAUAAUUCAUAUAUCAAUAGGGCCACAUCCCUUAGCAUUUACCAAUAACAUUUGUAUUUAUAUAUCUUCUGUUGUCUCCAUCACUUGUAGUUGUUGAGAUUCGAGUUUAAAGUGGACAUGUAUUGUAGUGAGUUCAAUAUUAGAUUGUUCAUAUUUUUUUAUAGUAGCGUAACUUUAUUGUAUAUGAUCAGAAUUUUAUAAUAGCAUAACUUUGUUGCAUGCGAAUCAGUUGUAAAAAUAAACUUGUGAACAAAACAUGACAAACCAAAAGAUAUGACGUCUCUUGUAUCUAUCCAAAGGAUGAGAGGGCAGAAGCAUUUGGACGAUAUCCGCUCCGACUCUGAGCAAACAUGCCUCAACAAAUUAUUAUUAAUUUGGACUAUUGAUUGGUUGAUUGUUUACAGAUUUCACAAAAUAACAUUCAAAAAGUACAAUUGGAUACAAACACAAGUCAAAAUUCAAACACAAAGAUUGUAGGGGACACACAACUAAACGAAUUGAUUACCUUAAUUAAGUUUAACCCCAUUUGUUUGGAGGGAAGGGAAGAGAGGAGCUAAUCCCCCACUUUGUCCCUGUAAAUAAAUGCAAAAAGGUGUACUAAAACGGAAUUUCAUAAUUUCUCAAAAGCUACAAAAGACCUCGAGGCAUAUGGUCGUGGAAAAUCUUGUUGACUCACAGUCACAGUGUAUCUGCUUCGACCUCACCAAAACCUGAGAAUUGCUCUCUCUCCCUCUCUCCCUCUCUCUCUCUCUCUCUCUCUCUCUCUCCUUCCACGCUCGCUCCGGCCUUCAUUGUUGGUUUCAUCUGGUAUGCAACAACCAUCUUUUUCAGCUGUCUUUUUCCAUUUUAUAUUCUGUUUGGUUCCCGAGAAAAUGUUGGAAAACGGGCAGAAAUUUUGUUGGGAAUCUUUGAACAGCCAUUUUGUUUACCAUAUAUAAUUUUGUAGUAUCGAAAACCCACAUACGUGAAAUGGGUUUUAAGUUGUUUCUUGAAAUGGAUGUUCUGUAUUAUUUUCUCUGCUUCCUAAAAAAAAUUGAAAAAAAUAUGAUCUUUUCACUGCUUCUUCUUCCUCCAAGUUUUUUCACAGAAAAAUUUGAGCCUGGAACACAUUUCAUUUUCUUUCUGUGAUUUCAAAAGUGAAAGUCGGUGGAAUAUGUGAUUCUGUAAUCUGGGUAUAUUUUGGUUUGAGUUUUGAGGCUCUGUUUGGUUGCUGAGAAAAUCGAUGGAGGGAAACUCUGGAGCUAAGCUAUACAUUUUCCUGUGCUCACUGUUUUUGAAGCAUUAAACUUUCUUUUUGUAUCACAUUAAAAUAAAAAACUUUCCCUUUUUCUACUUUGUUCAUCUGAUUGCUCUGCAGCCAAAAGAGCAUGAUUUUUCUCUUCUAGUUUUGGGACUGCUUAGUCAGUGAAGCAAUGGUUUCAUCUUUUUGCUUGAUGGGUUUGUUUAAUUCCAUGCAGAAUUCUGUUUGUGGGUUUUUGGGGAUUUCUAGAUAUGUUUGAUUAAUUGAUGCUAUUGCUUUGAUUGUUAUUGAUAUUAUUUGCUUGCAUUUCCCAUUCCCUAUGAUUUAUUUGGAAAUGUAAAUUUACCUUUUGCUUCUGUGAAUUUUGGUAGGAAUCAAUUAACAUUACUGCAGAUACUGCUUGAAUUAGAUUCUGCUUCUACUUAUGGAGUCUUGGAGUUUUGGUUCAGAAGGGAAAGGGUUUUUGUUUCCGGAAGAAAUGGAUAUACCAACUGAUGCAUUUUCAAGGAGUACUAGGAAAGCAUUGCUAGAAUUGGAUAACAAAACUUGCUUUAAUUUUGGUAAGGAAUCAGUUGAUAGCGUGGGGUUCAUGGAUUUGGGAUUCCCUGAUAUUAACCAAGGAGUGGAAAUCUUGAAUGGUGUGAUUGGUAACGAUUCUAGUUAUAAUUCUGUAGCUUCACCUUGUUGUUUGAUUAGUUCAAGUUCAUCUUUUGGUGAUGGGGAAUCUGGGUCGAAGUUUUCGAGCCCUGUGACUGAAUCUAAUAGCAUGGAUUCAUCAAUGAUUGCUUUGAAGCUAGGGGGGUUUGCUGAUAGCAGAGGUGGGCAGAACAGUCAGCAUUCGAUUUCUAGAGAGAGGUCGAAAAGAGCUGGCAAUGGCAUGAGGAGUUCAUGCUAUCAUGCUCCAACCUGCCAAGUCCAUGGUUGUAACAUGGAUCUUACCUUUUCAAAGGAUUACCACAAGAGGCAUAGGGUUUGUGAUGCUCACUCCAAGACUGCCGUAGUGAUUGUUAAUGGAAUCAAACAGCGGUUUUGCCAGCAGUGCAGCAGGUUUGGUUCUGUUUUUGUUUUUUUUGAAAUUUGCUUCUGCAUUCACUUUUACUUUACUUGUUCUUAUGUGUUUGUAGUAACUUAUCAUGGCAUAUAUCAUAGGAAGAUUAGUAUUAGUUCAUUUCAUAAUUUUGUAUCCAAAUAAACCAACGAGUCCCAAUUGUUUAUUUUCGAGGUUAAGUGAUGAAUUUAUUUGUUGACUAUGCUUUAUGAGGAGUAAAAAAUGACAAGAAGUAUAGAUGAAAUGUGAAAAAGAGUCGAGGAAAAUUAUGUUGCAGAUUCACCAUUCCACCACAGUAUUGCUCUUAGGAUUUGGCACAUAGUAGGAUCUCAUGCGCAUGGUGAGGGAUCGAUUCCCAGACACUCCAUCUGAUAGUUGAAACUCGAAGAGAUACAAAUUUCCUCUUCUUUUCGAUUCAACUUGAGCUUCAACCUCGACCUUUAUAUAACCUUUACGAGAUUCCAUGCUUUUUCUUUUUCUAAUUCCUUAGUCAUACUCAAAUGCAUCCUAAGACAUUGAUUGGACAGUAAUAUGAUCUUCUCCCAGUCCAAAUAUGAAUCUCUCUAACCUCUACUCAUCUAAGAUUCCGAGUGAUAUGAACUGAAUGAGGUUUUGGGCUAUAGAAAGUUGCAAGUUUAUCUGCUUCUUCAACUUUGACAUGGUUUUUAUUUACAUGUGAGUCGUGUGACAUUGAAUACCAAAGUGCUUAAUUGUUACAAGAGGUUUGAAGUUUGAACAAUGUCAUUUUUCUGUGAUUAGGUUUCAUCUUCUUGCUGAAUUUGAUGAUGUGAAGCGCAGUUGUCGUAGACGCCUAGCUGGCCACAACCUUCGCCGAAGGAAGCCUCAACUAGAUACCCUCGAUUGUAAACCGCAUAAGUUGAUUCGGUCAUGUGAAGGUAUGAACACCCUCAUAUAUUCAAUCUGCUUGUGAAACGCCUCACACUAACCCGCCUGAAUUUACAUUUUCUUUUAAAAUAUACACCGUUCUACUAUAAAUCGGCCACAAUGCUUCCGAAGCUAGAACUUUGACAAAUUUUUUACCGAUACAAUUUUCGGUAAGAAGGAAAAAGAACUGGAAAAUGAUCCGUAUUACUUUUGUUAGAAGGGACUAAAGAGCUUUAGCAUUUUCCUAAGAUUGCAAGAUUCUAGAACCAUGUUUGAUGCAUAUAUUUUGAUAAAAAUUGUGAUGGAACAGCCUUCGUGCCUGAGCAUGUCUGUGGCUAGAAUUUAGAGAUAAGAAAAGAUAACUUUUAUGCUAUUCUUUUCUCCCACUAUGUUUCCAUCUUUCGACCAGGCCAUGUCUUUACCUAUAAUAUGCUAUUUUAAAAAACCAACUUUUGAGCUAUCAAGGCUAAAAGGGUGUGGCCACAUCAGCCACCCACAGAGGUUCUCUCAGUUCUUUCUGUUUUUGUAAAGUUUAUUUUGGAAGAGAAGCAAUACAAACCCACUUAGAAUCCACUAAGCACGCACUAAUUGGCAUUAAGGAUUAAGGCGUGUGCAAACAGUAUCGUUCUUAAAACAUUCGGUAAGAACAAACAAAAGGCACUUGUUUUUCAGGUGAAUAUAUGUUUUCUGUCAAAGAAUCCACAUUCAUGGUAAACGAAUCAUUUAUAAAAUUAUCUAUCGUAAAACACUCAAAGUAAUAUGUGAUCUGUAGAACUAAUUCCAUGAUAGGAUUACUUCAUGAACUAUGUUUUUUACAUUUAGCUUUUACGUCGUAUUUGCAGGAAACGGGUAUAUGGGAACUUCCUUUUCGAAGGGAACACCCUUUGUUUUUUCGGAUAUACUUCCAGAUGGCUGCAUCCUGUAUCCAGAAUAUGAAGAAGCUAACCUAUAUGGACAUGUCAAAUCUGAAGACAGGUCUACCUACGGCCAGUCUGUAACACCUAUACCAAACAGGCAGUUUAUUCCAAAAUCAUUCCGCCAUCUGCCUGGCCUUGGAGAACAGCAUGCUCCGGGAAUUCUCUCGUCAGGAAAUGAAUACUCUGUCUUUGAUACAGCAUCAACCGCUGAGAAAGCAUUUGAGACUCCAUACUCGAGCUGUGCUCUCUCUCUUCUGUCAGCUCAAUCGCAUAACUUAUCAAGCAAUUCAGCCGGAGUUCAAGUGCCUAGCCCCCUGAUAAAUCAAAGAGCCCAUCGCAGUUUUGGUCAACUUAAUGAAAAGACUUUGAGGGUAAACUCCAUGGAAAAUUGUGGACGAAACAGGUCCUACCCGUUUAGUAUGAAAUCUAUGGGAGCCUAUCAUAUGGAAUCAAUCAAAAUUUCUGAUUCUAGUCAUGCUGCUGACUUCCAACUUCACACAGACAGGGCUUUGCAUGUGUCAGAUUGCUUAAGUGACAAGUAUUGUGUUUCUCCUGAACGCGGAACAACUUUUGAUUUGCGGCAAUUGUCAUCACACCUUCAAAGAGUGGAGCAUGAGAGAAACUUUUUUCAAGUAAAGCAGGAAAAUGGAGAAUUCUACUGUUUCCCGACGGGCGUGCAAGCAACAAUGUGAUUAUGUGAGUGUUUCCACUAAUUAAAAUCUGUCCUUGUUUCUUUUAUCACACACUGUGAAAGUGGGAGUGCAUUCCCAGCUUGAAAAGGUCAUCCGAAAGCGAGUAGCAGCUUAAUGGAGAUAACUGUUGCAUAUAUUAGCGAUGAAAUAAAAACCAAGAAAUUGCUGGCUAUAUCUCCGCGUUUAUAUAACUUUAUGCGCACGAUAUUCUAGCGGAUUUGAUUAAAAACGGUGUUCGCGAUUGUGCAGGUUGCUGGAGGCUGGAGGCAGUUUGGAUCUUCAGCAGAAUUCCAACAUUUCCAUACAGAGGCUGGUAGAAACUUUAGAUACCAUUGGCAGUAACACUCUAUUCCGAAAGGAAAAUAUAGCUAUCUAGUUUUGAUGUGGUAAAAGCUCUGUAAGCUGGAUUUUUUGUAAGUUGCUGUAGACACCUUUCUGUUGCGUUAGUUAUCUGCAAACUUUAUGGUAAUCCAAUGAUUUAAGAUAUUAAAUUACACUAUCAUUGGUAUUGGUUCAUUUUUCUGGGAUGGGGUUCAAAUUACACGCGCUCUCUCUCUUGGGCCAUAUGGAUAAGCAUGAUUGAUGUUUUGGAAGAUAUCAUGCCCGUCCAACGACAAUUCUCAGCUGCAUCCGGGAUAUAAUCGUACAUUAGUAUCCCUUUGAUCACUUAAUAUGAAAUGGAGAAAAUUUUCAUCGUGACGGGGGGAUACAGUACGUGUUUUUAUGCAAGUGGUGGGAAAUUUUAUUUUUUAAGUUGUUAACCCUUUUAACACACAUAUCACAUCAUUUGUAUAGAGACGCGUGGUGUACCAUUCUGUGUUUCGGUCACACUUAAAAAAUCUCUCCAUGAAAUGGGGGUAUAAUCUAGUUACACAAAGAAUUACCCUUAUCAAGGUGAGGGUUUUUUUUUUUUUUUUUUCUCUGUGAUAAAAGGAAAGGUUCUUUCGUGCAACUAAGAUGCAGUCUCAGUUGCCUCAUCGUCUAAUAAAUAUUGUCACGUAUUUAAAAAAACAAUGUUCAUCUAGUAGACACUGCUACAUGAUGAAUUGGUGACAUAUGUGAAUCUUAAUCUCAGGUUGAUUAACUUCUUUAUUGUUGGUGUUGAAAUUAUGAAUCACACAUUAGGAAAGCAAAAGAGACUUUGCAUGUGCUUAAGACUAAUUAGCUUUAUGAUGCAACUAGGGAUGACAAUAGUUCGGUUUGAGGACGCAAAUGCUAUAUCCAUCCCCAUAACAAACAAAAUUAACCAUAUUCAUAACCGCAAAUUAAUCAUCAGGUAUUAUCCAUAACCAUACCAACCGGAUAACAGAUUCCCCAUCGGGUUACAAUUAUAUCCAUCUUCAUCAAUACAAAAAAUCUAAUAGUUUAGUUGACGCAUUAUAAUUUAGUAAAUAUUAAUUUUGUCAUUAAAUAUUUGAUAUAUAAUUCAAUGAUUCAAUGAACGGAUCUUGUGGAGUAUAAAAAUUGAAGUUAAACAUUGAUGAUGUUGGCGAACUUUGAUAUUUUUCGUAAGUACCAUUGAAUUCUCAUUGAUUUUGACUCAAAUUUUUUUAACUUUCUCACAAAAUGCAACUCACACAAUGCAACUUUUCUAUUUUAUGGAUUCAAUAAAUAAUUAAUAUACAUACAUUUAUUAUAUUAUAUAUAUAUAUAAUAUAUUAUAUUAUAUAUUAUUUGGGUGAAAUUCGGGGACGAAUACGGAUUGGGGACCUCUAUAACCAUAACCGAAUAAUAAAGGGGUGUGAUAUCCACACACCCAUUUUACUUCUCACACACCUUUUUAAUUUUCGGCCGUCGGAUCAGAUGAAUUGAAGAAGAUCAACGGACAAAAAUUAUCAAGGGGUGUGUGAGAUGUAAAAUGGAGUGUGUGGAUAGCACAUUCCAAUAAUAAAUUCAUGGUUUUUCCCCAUAUUCAAAAUAUAUCUAAAUUUUCAUAUCCAAAUCCAAUCAAUUCGGGCGGUUAUCCAUGGUUAUCGGGUUUAACGGUUAGAUUUGUCAUCCCUAGGUGCAACCUCAAUUUUCUUCAUGGUAUCAAAGUAAGUUGUCUCACGCUUAAAGUCCAACAGUCACACAUGGUCUACAUCACCCAUUUUGUGUUAUUUACGUACUAUAUUUGAAAAUUCACUAUACAUACUACUUCUGAUGUUCAAUUAGUAUUAUUGUUUAAAAGUUGAUUAGUCAAUACAGUUCUGCUGCAGCAGCAUGCAUGAAUGUUUUAGUCAAUCGAAUGAUCAUUUUGAUGUCCACUAUAGUUCUACAUUUUUGCAUUAUCCCAAAACCCUAGAAUUUGUGAUUACAGAAGUGAAAGGGAAAGUAAAAAAAAAUACUCCACUAUUGGUGUUUUCCAGGGAACCUUGAUCACUUCCAAUUAAAGCCAAAAAGGUGGGAAUGGCCGACGCUCUUAUCCACCUUUCAAAGUUGAAGACUUGAGACCCACCAACAAUUAGUGCUCACUAUUCCCUAAUCACUACUUUUAAUUAAUUAUAUUUAUGCAUUAAUCAUGGAAUGCAAUCAUCCUUGAAAGUUACAAAAUGCUGCUGCCAUCAGACGCCACUAUGAGCCUGCUUAUUUUAUGCAGCAAUAUAUGUGUAUAUAUAAUCCAUACGUACAACUUGGAGAUAAAAGUGUGAAGUGCUUUGUCUUUGCAUUGGACAUGAUUAAAUCAUUAAUCUUUAGAUAGAGGAGGAAGAUUAGUGUGCAUGUUUGUCUGCACGUGUCAAAUCAAGCACCUAAUCCAAAUGUCAUGUCAAUGUUGUAGCAAUCAUUUGACAUCAGGAAUGACGUGGUUUAAAGCAGAAAGGGAUCAUCUCCGGAUCAUUUCCUCCUAAUUCAUCAAAUCAAAGAAUCUGAACCAUUGAAAAUUGAUCUAACGGAUGAAGUUAUUAUAUCUUUUAAAGUAGGUCAUGUUUGUAGCUGUUAGAUCAAAUUUCAAUGACACAGAUUAUCUGAUUUGAUGAAUUAAGAAGAAGGAAUCGAGGAUCCCUUUCCGUUUAAAGCCACUUCCACCUUGAUGAACUCUUUUUAAUUAAUCGAACCUUGCAAUGUAAACAUUGUUUUAUAUUUUGAGGGAUGUUUGAAGUUCAAAUAUCUAAUCUAUAGUUGACAUAAGUUAUUUUGAAUCCAAAAGAAAGCCGAAGUACAAGAAUCCCUGCCUGCUAAGGGGAUUGAGAUGAAGCUAUUGAAAAGCCCACUAUAACCAAUCUGUAAAUGGUGAGGCCUUUUUGCCAAACGAUCAAUUUAAAAAGAAAAGUACUUGUACUCAUUAAGGACGUGCUUUUACUCUCACAAAAGCACUUUCAAUUACACUUGUUUCUCAAUACUGUUGCAUAAGAAGGUUAUGAGCUGAAUAUUAUGAACGAUAAUUGUUGUAUAACAGAAUAAUUCUAAGAAAAUAAUUCAUCAGUCUUGCACAUCACAUAUCUUUUCUAGGAUUUGGUAUCAGGGUUUCAUGAAAAUAUUACCAGAGAUUUGAAAACGCUAUAUAUAAAUAUAUAACAAUCGGAAACUAUAUAAAAUGAGAAACUAAUGGUGAAACUCAAAACGUUAAAUUAAUAAAAGCAUCAAAUAAUACAAAAUUAGAAUACUGAUCAGUCAUUCUGAUUCAAUACAAAUUACCAUACACCAAUCAAAGUACUCUUAGCACGGAAAUUAAGUUCACUAACAAAAGAAACGAAAACUAAGGAGAGUCAAAGUUCUGAACACGAACUAAACGAGAGUACUUAAUUAAUUGCACGCACGCUGAACUGCUAAUGAGGGAUGAAGUAGGUAGGAAGCAGCUGCGGAUAUGGUUAUUUAAGAUCUCCAUGAUACCCAUGUAGUCAUGGCGUUUUAGGGUUUUGGCAGCACGUAGCUAGCAUGUUCAUUCCUGCAAAAUCCGAGCCCUUGAAAGCAUCAAUCAGAGAGGCAAAUUAAACCCAGCUUGCUUCAUGCCACGAAAAAUAGAAAGUGAAAAAAAAAAAUCUAAGAUGAACAAUAUUCAAAAUAUAAACAGAAAAGCAAGGUCUUGUCUCUUACGUUGUUGUUGCUGCAGCUCCCAGAACCUGAUCCUGCAGACGACUGACUGGGAAUGUACCUAGCCCACUAUAAUACAAUAAUAUAUAUUGAUACAGCAAAGUUAGAAUAUUUUUUAAAUUAUAAACACGACUUUUGGCAAAAAUCUUGUACUUGAAACCCUAGGCAGCAGAAAAAAGGAACCUUACAUUUUUGGCUGCAGCACUAAAAGCCUCACGAUGUGGAACCUCUGGGUUGGCUGCUUUGAUUCGCUUGAUCUCAUCUCUAUCAACAAAACAAAGAUCGAUGUAUUAAUUUGGUUAUUUGUGAUAUCGAUCUGCAUAAUUUUGUUAGAGUUUUCGAUUAUGGUGACAUGUAUGAAGCUUAAUGAUUAAUUUCACGCUUUACAUGCAUCUUUGAUUCACGAAUAAAGCCUCCCUCGAGGUUACUUCAAAUGUCAAUGUGAAAGAACAAAAAAAGUAAAUUAACAGCACAAUAUAAUAUUUAAUUAAUCAAGAUGGCUUGGCAUGGAUCUCCUUACUUCAUGAACCGAUUGUAAGCAGAUGGAAGUCUGUGUUUCUUCUCAGGUGCUGCAAAACAAAAAACAUAUCGACAUGUAAUUUAUGAGCAGAUUGACCAUAAAUCCGUAGAAGAGUAACAACUCGUUUAAUUAUAUUUAAAUCUAGCUAUCAUUAAAUUAAGAGAUUGACUAAUUAAGCCUCGUGAAAUAUGGUUGUAAACUUGUCCGUACGUUUGACAACAAAGGGUGCUUUGGGGGAUGGUGGGUUGCCUGAUACAGGUGACGACGAUGAUGAGGAGGAUUGGCCCUUCCUGAAGUCAUUGCAACAGCCCGCCUGCUUCUCAUUCAGAUAUUGAUCACUUUCCUUAGUUAGCAACACACACAAAUAGAGAUAUGGUUUCUUAAUUAAUUAAUUUCUUCUGGUUUCUUAUGCACACAUAUAUAUAUAUAUAUAUAUAUAUAUAUAUAUAUAUAUAUAGGUGGCAAUAUCACUAGGGCUUAUACUAUACUGUAGGAAAACCCUAGAGAGAUAUAUCACUAGUUAGGAACAUAUGUAUAAGAAACUUUUACCCCAACGCAGGUUUGGCGUUCACAUAUUAUAGUAGUCUACAUAAAUGUAUACAUAUAUUUAGUACUGAUUAUGUAUAUGUCAACGGAUGUGACUACCAUCUAUGGUUUUGUGUAUAUAUAUAUGAUCGAGAGAAACUAGCUAGCAGAGUAAUUAGUAAUAUUUACCUGAAGAGUCAAGGAGGUAGGGUGAUCAGGAAGGCAUUGCCCUUCGAGUGGGGAUCUGGUGCUGAGAAAGGAAAGGUUACUGCAAUGGCCACAUUUCACAGUUAUUGUGUCCAUCAACCUUUUGCAUGGAAGCCCAACCUACAGAAACAUCCAAUUAAUUAGUUAAAAACAAGUUUCUUUUUCUUUCCAAAACUAUAUAUAUAUUUACAAACAACAAACAGCAGCUGGCAGAUUAGAGAAGAGAGAAAAGUAAAUAAUGUUAGGGCAUGAUUCUGAAAGUGAUACUUGUUGAUAGAGAGAGAAUGUGGGUUUUAUUUUAAUUGGAGCUCUUCAACAUAAAUCUAAAGGUGCACAACCUAUAUAUAUCAUGCAUAUAUAUAUACACACACACAUGCACACAUAGGUUUGAUUACCGCAAGGACAGUGUUGCAGAAGUUGCACCGAACAUAGCAAAGGUUCUCAGAUGGCUGAUUAAUGAAGUCCAUGGUAACUUUCUCUUCCAUGCUCAUGUUGGAAAGAAAAAGAAAAGGCUACAGUUCGAAGAUGAAGAAGAAGAAGUAGAGGAGGCUGUAAGAUGAAAGUUUGGGGUUUGUGAUGAUGUGAAGGGCUGAGUAGGAGGCACUUAUAGAUUAGGACAAGUGGCUAGGUGGAUAGCGUCAAAAGGAAAUCCAAAGUUACUAGUCAUCAACAUCGUACUUCUGCUAGCUGCACUUAAUUGCAAUGCAGAACUCAGUUAGACGUACGUACGAACCACAAACUUUGCUAAAAAGACAUUGACUCAACAUCUCGCCAUUUUCUCGAGAAAAUAUCCCAUUUGUGCUCCAAUUUUCUUUUACCUUCUUCCCAAGUAAAUUUGGUUGGAAAAAAUUAACUAGCAAUUUGGUUUCUUUUUAAGCUAGAGUAUUUUUGGUAGGAUAAUGCUUUUGUCCCUUCACAUGACUUAUUUGUCCUUCCACUUAUGAUUAUUCAAUUUGGAGAUAUUUUAGUCACUAAACAAAUUGACUAUUCAUCAUGAGGAUGCUAAUUGUUACUAAAAUCGUUGAUUGGUUUAACACGUAAGGAUGACUAAACAAUCUCGAAAUUGAAUGAUUUUUUACAGAUAUGAUAUUCAGAAAUGAUAAUGACAAUGAACGGUUCCGAUUAUGAUGUUGGGAUGGUAAAAGUUUGUUAAUUGUAAGUGGGGGACAGAUAAUUAAGUCCCAUGGGCGGUCGGUCACAAUUAUAGUAGGUAUUUAUGUAUUAUGUAUUACGUUAGAGUAUUAUGGUUUUCUAGUGAGAUAAGGACUAUGAUUCUUUCCCUAUUUUUAUAUUUCUUGUUUGUUUUAGAAUUAGGUCUUUAUAAACACAGCUCUUGUAACUCAAUAUAUAUAAGAUACAGACAAAUUGAGUUAUGGAGCGACAAAUAUGUAGUGUUCUUCUUUCUUUUUUAGUCAAUGGAAUAAUAAUUUGAGUUUCUAAUCGAUUUUUACUUCUUUGUCUUGUUGUUUGAUUCUUUUAACAAAAUAGUGGUGAUGUUCAAAACUUCAAAUCUAUGGCAGAGGUUUUGGUAUCCCGUUUAUUGUCUUCAUAUAUUACUUUCAGUUUAAGUUCAAUUACUCGUUGUAGACUUGAGAGAUUAGUCAAGCUACUUAGGACAAUUUGCUACUCUAUAUGCACUUAAUUAAGUUCAAAUCUAUUUUCUUGUGGUUAAUUAAUUUACAUAAACUUAAUGAAGAUUACCAGUGAAAAAUCAGUAUAUUUGUCCAAUUUUUCUUUUUUAUUUCCUCAAGCCGUCAACUAAUCAUCUAUUGACUGAUGCCUUAGCCAAAGAAAAAAACAUGAUUGAAUGCAUACAUACAGACGGACGAAUUAACAUAAUAAAGAUUCUUGAUAUUGAUAUGAAUAUAUAAUUUGAUUAUAUAUCAUCAUAACAAAGAAAAAAAACAUUAGUGCAGGGUAUUGAUAGUGAAUUGUUAUUGGCACUCCAAAAAUCUCAUUCUACGUACACUUCAAACUUUCCAUAUUUGGAAAGAAAAAUAUACUUGUAAGGAGUGUAGAAUGAGAUUUUUGGAAUGUUAAUAACACCUCCCUAUUGAUAUUGUUUAUAAUAUAUAUAUAUAUAUUAUUUACCCUGCAUAGUGCAGGAUCCCAUGUCCCAUCCAAAAUAUUGUUACACACCAAGACCACCAGAAAAACAAUUUGCAAUAGAACAUUUAGCCACUUUUUGUGAUAUACCCUAUUGCCUAUUAACAUCUAUAGGAGCUAGGACAAUUCACAAAAUGAAAAUCUUGACGGGAAGUUUGCUUUUUCAAUUUGGGGUUUAUAGUAGCCUUAGUAGGAAUUCAAAUGAAAUUGGACAUUUUUCAACAAACAGAAAAAAAUUUCACAAGGGGGAUAGAUAAUUCUUUCCGAUAAGAGAGUGAUAACUAGUUGAUGAAGAUUAAACAUAAUAUAUAUAGAGGGUUAAGAUUCGGGUCCACACGUUUUUGUCAUAUAUUUUCACACACUUUUUUAUGGGGGUCACUCCGUAAUGUAUUUUAAUUAUCCAACCGUUUAUCUUUUAUGUCUUACCUCAAAUAUCAUGUCUAUAAAAAUUCACCAAAUCCGAAACUAUAUAACCAUUGGAUUAAAUUUAGUGUUUUUUUUGUAUAACCGUAUUCGUCCAUUUUCUUCAGUACAAAUAAAUGUAAUAAUGAUUUUGAAUUUAUCUAAUUUUUUUAAGUGAUGAUCUAUUAAUGAUAUACUAAAAUAUAGACAGUUCAAAUUGAAAAACACAUUAGGGAGUGGGUCCACAAAAUGGAUGUCAAAGAUGUGUGUUCCCGUAUCCUAACACACACUAGAAAUUUCAUUUUACACUCCAUACCAGUGUAUUUUGUUAGAAUCCUAAUUGGACUUAACGAAAAAGGAUAAAGGAAAAUAUUAUGUUUUAAAAUACAAAACAAAUUGCCAUUUAGUAUUAUUGUAUAAUGGUAUUCCUCUUCACUUGUAAGUGAGAGGUCUUAUAUUCGAUUCGUCAAAGACGAAUUUGAACCACAUUAUUGCAUGUAGAUAAUAUCGUUUUAAAAAAAAUAAUACAAAACUAAUUAGAGUUGUUAUACGUGUAAAACAACAUCCUAUAAUUGAGGACAUAUUUGAACGUGCCUGACAGCAAAUACUACCCACUACGUUUGGAACUGGAUACAACAGUUAUAAACCAACCCUCCUUGAUAGAUGGGAGUUGGUUGUUGUUGUAUGUAGUUAAAGGAAUUUCCUGCUCACAAAAAAAAAAAAAAAAGAAAAAAAAAGUUCGAAGUACAUAAGAACACAAUCAUAGGAUUGAUCUCUCCAUUCUCCCAUAAUCUCAUGAGUUUCACAUCAUGUUAAAGAUAAGAUCAGCUGAGAAAGUAGUUUCGUUUGUGUUGUAUAUAUUUAUUCAAAUAUGGACCAUUUUACUACUUAGUACUAUGGUCUGGUGGUAUUCAUUUUCACUUGAAAGUGAAAGGUCUUAGGUUCGAAUCUCGUGGAUGGUGACUUUGAUACCAAAUUAAGCUGCCAUUGUAUGACUUAGCCAAACUCUUAUUCCUCUUAGUGUAAAAAUAUCGAUGUACUAAAAAAAAAAAAUAUGGACCCUUUUUUGACUUCAUGUACUUCUAGUAAGUAACAAGUAAGAUACUAAGGUGAUACAUUUCACAUUGUACGGUAAAUAAAUUUGGUGUGCAACAACGGCCUAUCUAGCUUGUAGUAAAUAUGAAUCGGAAUUUGGAGCCAACCAGUAACCAGGCAGUUCGAAGUUUAAUGAGUAGAAUAAAAGAAAAGUUAGAAGUGAAUGAAAGUGAACGAACUGAAUCAAUGAAAAAAUUGAAAAGGUAAUAAAAUAGCAUAGCUUAGUAGUACUGUAGUAGUGAAGAGAAGAGGUCCUGUCAUCCCUUCCUUCUUUUGUGGGUGCAAUGCCAAAGUUGGAAACCUGAAAGAGACCAGUGCUAAAAUCACAUGUCACUUUCCUCACUCACCAGCCCACAGUGUGAAUAUAUUGAAUUUAGGAGAUAGCAAAAGGCAAAUGGCUUGCCAGGACAUAAGUUGUUUAUAUUUAUAUUUGCGUCUUUUUUUGUGAUGGGACGAUUCCCUCACUUUCCCAAACAGGAAAUAAAGCCAUUUUUACACUUGAAUCUCCACCUUUCUUUGCUCGUGUAUACAACUAUUUUCCCAAGGUCUCCUUUUCCUUUCAAUUUUUUGCAUGCCUGGUAAAUUUCAUGCCUGCCUCUGCAGCCCUCUCUCUUCUGCAUCUUUCUGCUUCUCCAUGAUACGUUUUGUAUGUGGAUUGGACGCCCCACGAGAUUCCCAUGUCUUCUUUGAACCUUAGCAAAGUUACCAGUUCCCCCACUUAUUACCACACCGGACCCUUCCGGCUUUGGUUGUGAGAUUCUCCCGUGCAACUAAGACUUAGUUUUGAUAUUGUAAUUGUCAAAUAAAUAUUUGUCGUGUGUUCAAAAGUACAUCAUCUAUUUAAUAGACGAUUGACAAUAUGUCAUGAGAUGAGAAUCUCUUAUUCAAAUCAUGACUCAUGAGUAUGAACGAUCUUGUUCCAAUCGGAUUUGUGGUUCCCUUCCUUUUCAUAUUUGGACACAAUCAUUGGAUGCAUGUUCAUCUCCACUUUCUAUCUCUAUCGGGAAAUUAAGAUUAGACCCAUCUCAGUACCAUAUCUUUUUAGGCUCUAGCUACCUAGAUGUGUUCAUUGUACACUUUCCUAACCAUUAGGGUGCUUUCUCUCUCAUCCUAGCUGUUAGGUUAAUUCAUUUAUAUGCACUUAUAAUUAGAAAAAUGAUUUUCAUACAUCAUUUUUAGUUUUUCUUACACUCUUCUUUAUUUUUAACUGUUGAUUGGAUUGAAUAAAUCAAAAGCAAUCACAUUAUUGCUAAUUUAUUAUGAGGCUUAGCCCACUCCCCCACCCUCUUAGUGUAGAUAAUAUGAUUCAAAUUCGCAUUUGGCGAUAAUCGAACAUAAGACCUCUCACUUACAAGUGAAAAUAAAUACUACUAAGUGACAUGUAAUUAAGAAACUAAACAAAAUGUGUGUUUAUCAUUUCCCUAUAAUUAUUACUCCAUUCUCUAACAAUUUACAAGUUUUUUUAGGAUUUUAUUAACCGAUAGAGUUGUAGCUACAGGAUUGCCCAUACUAGGGUUUUCGAUUUGAGUAAGAAAAAAAAACUAGGGUUUCGGAAAUCUUUAAUCCGCGUUCCCCAUGCCUUUUAUUUAGAGAGUACAAUUUGGGUGUGGAGUUUUAUAUGAUUGACAAGUUUACAUGUUAGUGAGUGUGCCCUAUAUUUUAAACCCUAAACCGUGAUAUAUGCCAAGGAUGCCCCAACAACUUGCCAGUGAUGAUAAGAAGGAUUACAUUGUCCACACUAGUCCAGGUCAAACAUUAAAACCAAUGUUUAUCGAAACUAAGCAAUACUUUCAGUUACACACUUGACAUCCAUCCUAGAUUAAGCAUGAGCGAUCAAUGGUUAUCCAAACCAAGAAGAGCACAAAGAAAGUAGCGGUCGACAAUUUCCUAUAAGCUGGCACAAUGGCAAUCGACAAUUACAGUACGGCGACGACCGGCAAUUACUUGAUCCAAGGACAAUCUGCCUUCUGUUUUCUCUCUUUCCAUCUCUUUUUAUUAAUUAAAAAAUAGUACUAGAUGGGGAGGAACACCUUCCUACCAUGUCCAUUUGGACCAUUUCUAAUCUUUGUCUUCAUUUCGUGGCCCGUUUACCUCUAGGAAACGCAGGAACUAUGGUGAGAAUUAAGCUAUGGUAACGGAUUUCAGAGUAAAUUUCAGAAUAUAUAGUUUAUGACUCUACACAAAUAAAUCUUUACGAGAAAACAAGAUACAACGCAACAUUAAUUAAAGAAAACAUAGGAGAUACCUUAAAAAAGACAUAGGAAAUAAUGUGACUAAACCAACAACCUCAUCAAACAACAGUAACAAACAAAAGAGAAAAACUCUUCAUGUGUCCCGGAUUCGAAACUCUUCCAUCUUCUAAAUUAUUGUAAUAGUUUUUAAUUCUCCCCCUUAAUAAUAAUAUUUAAAAAUAAAAUAAAAAAGCAGAGAGAAAAACUCCAAAUUGUUAAAGCUGGUCAAUUGGAUGACAAUGUCUCAUUUUGAUCCCAAUUUGGGUGUUUUUUUUCAAUGAUUUCCUACUCUAUGGGGUAGAGUAUGUAGGGUACUCAAACUCGUAUCUAAGCAAGUCGAAUUUGAAACAUCUCACUUAUAAGUAGAGAUAAAUAUGAAUGUAUUAUGGUGCUAGUGGCUAUCUUAAUUUGGUGUUAACAAAACUAAGAUUUUUUGGCCAGAGAGGCACAAUUUUGAGUUCAUUGAGAAAAGCAAGUGGUUAAGAGUGUUAAAAGUUACUGAUUUAUUACUGGAUCUGGAGUUCGUAUUUGGUUUGUUUUUGCAUCGUUGAUUAAGAUUUCCAUCAAUUUUUCUUUAUUUAUUAGUUUUGAAAUUAAUUGUAGGAUUUGGAUCUUUUGAACUUGUUUCUUACUAUUGCUUUUUAAUUCUUGUAUAAACUAUUGAUCUUUAAUUCUUGUACAAAAAUCUGUUAAAAUAUUUCAACAAGGUCGUUGUAGUAUAGUGGUAAGUAUUCCCGCCUGUCACGCGGGUGACCCGGGUUCGAUCCCCGGCAACGGCGCUUUUUUUUCAUUUCCCCCCAAUUUUUGUGAUCCCGCCUUCUCUUACCCACUGUUAAUUAUAAUUUCUUCAAUCUCAAAAGCCUCUCUCGUUUUUGUUCCCGUCACAAAUUGAUUUAUUUUUUGUUGAUGGAACAACAAAAAGGAGUUCGUUACCUUUGAGUUUCUGUAUCGGGGCCUCUGGAACAGACGUAGAUAAUCAUUCGCCAGAGGCAUAGGCAUGUUCAAUCUUGGAAAUACGACGAAUCACAGGGAAGAGAAGUAGGAGAGGUGGACUUGUAAAUAAGUCAUUCAGUUUGGCAAUGAAGAAAAUGACAUGUUUAAAUAUCCGAAAGUAAUGCUAUGUACCAUUUCCUGCUCAUCAAGGAGAGAGUGACUUUCAGCCAAUGAUAGUUUGCCCUAGAUUCUGUUGGCGCCUCCAAUCAUCUUAGGAAGGAUGAUGCAGUUCAUGAAGACGCAGGGCUUUUUACAAGUUCUUGAGAUUGUAAAUCUACCGCGGUAGCCAGCAACUUGUCUGCAAAUGAAGAUAAUCGUGUGAACACAUUUUCCUUUCUUAUUCACCUUCCCUACAAACCCCAGAGGAAGCUGAAAAUACUAAUUCGAAUACCCAUGCAGAUCAUGUGUUACGUCCUUUCGGAAAGUUUCAGCAAGUUCAACUGUGAAGGUAAAAAUGUCAUCCAAUACAUUCAGGAUUAUUGCAUGCCUGUGCACUGUCCAGAAGUUGUUCUUUCGAUUGAGGUUUACCAUAACGUGUGAAAACGGAUGAAGAUCCAAGAGUUGUUGGUUCUUGGACAACAAACCACGUACCCUUAACCGAACUGAGGGAUAAGAUCUACUGCUAAACGGACAACGUGAUGCAAAAGGCCGGUCAGCAUGAUCUUUCGGGAUACUUCCUUAUCGAAGACACAUUUUGCUUAGUGAUCCGUCCGCGCGCGGUAGGUUAUGGCGAACUUGUACUCAAUUGGCUUAGAAAUUCGAACGACGAGCUCUCAGAAAAUGGGCGUGCCUUGACAGCCUUGUAGCUGGAAAGUCACAAAAGGAGCUAAAAGCAAUUAAGUGAUGUCACGAACUCUGAAUUUGCCUAGUUGACACGCACAAGACUCGAUUUUGUGAUAUUGUCACCAGGGAGACUAAAAACAUACAACUGUAAAUAGAGACAAGAGAUUGCUUCAUCCACAAGAUAUGCGAAACAAGCUCAGCAUGAUUAAUUGGGAUUCUUGAUAAUCUUAAUCUCAAACAAAACCCAUUAAUUGGGAAUGUUGAGAGCCUUGCUUCUGUUCAAUUAUAAAUAAUGAUUAGUCAAUAAAACAAAAUUUUGACACAAAACCGAGCGCAAUGGCGUUCUAGGAUUCAUAUAGCCGACCCCACUUAGUGGGAAAAGGCUUUGUUGUUGUUGUUGUUGUUGAAGAUGAAAGACACAUGUUGGAACAAAAAAUGGUUAUACGAAAAUGAACCAGAUAUCCAAUUGCUUGCACUAUAAGAAUAUCCCAAUGAAAAAUCUGAUAGUUGGUCUUGAUUCGUGAGCCAUUUAGCCUCGACGUGUAUCCAGUUGGAGUGCAAACGACUAAACAAGAAUGUUGUAUGGUAAGGAAUAAGGAGAAUGAGUUUAAAAAUUUGCUCUCCUCGGCAUUACCCAUAAAAUAAUUACGAUCAUAUACGUUAAAGUAAGCAAAAUAAACAACAAAAAUGUUAUUUUUACCAUGUAUUUACCAUUAUUUGCCCAUAAAAAGUUAUGAUCAGAUGCAUUAAAGUAAGCAAAAUAAACAACAAAAAUGUUAUUCUUACCAUCUAUUUGUACCAUAUCUUUAAUAAAAAUGGGAUGCACUUGUGUUUGUGGCUUUUAUUUAUUAGAAAGACUAGCAUAUGGGCACACACAAAACGUGUGAGAAUUUUUUUUUUUUUUAAAUCGAGAUAUGUUAGGAUUACAUGUAGGUUAGGCUUUGAAAAAAAAAAAGCAAAAUUUAGUUGUGUGAAAUUACAUUUAUACCCCGUAUUUCUUAUUCAUAUUAUUUUGUUUUAAUUAGAAGGUUAAACUGAUAAUUUUAUAAAAUUUUAAUUGACAAUAAGUAUUUUAUUAAUUAGUAGAGAUUAUAUAAAUAGACGAUAAGUGUGGCGGGUUUCUUUGGUUGUUGUUGCAUACAGGGUUUGGGCUUAAGCCGAAAUGGUAAGAAAGUAACAACAACAACCUCCUUUACACGCAACGCAAAGUCAUACUGCUUUCUCUCUUUUUACCUACGUGGCAAUCAAUCAUUGGGCCCUCAUAGCAUUUAAAGCCCAACGGAAGGAGAGAUUCAACCAACGAAGAGGGAGAGAUUAUAUCUGGUAGUUCCGUAGUUGGGGUAUCCAAUCCAAGGAGCCGAAGGUUGAAGAAAGACCAGCAACGAGAAUCUCUGAAGUUGGUUUGACCAAAAUCACCCGCGACGAUGCCGACGUUGACGAAGCUGUACACAAUGCAAGAAGCCUCGCAGCACAACACCAAAGACAACUGCUGGGUCGUCAUCGAUGGCAAGGUAAUUGUUUCCCCAUGAAUUCAAAUAUUCAAUUCAACCCAAAAACGAAGAUGCCAUGAGUUUUUCCUUUCGGGUAUUUGUAUUUUCAGAUCUGUAUGUUGCCCUUGGUAGCUAAUCUUUGCACUGCAUCCUGGGAUUGAUACAAAAGGACCACUUUGAAUAUUCUAACUUUUUGGGUUGUUUGUGUUCAGGAGGAUUCAAUGUGUCCUUAAUCUUUAGGUCAUAAAAAAGUCAAAGACUGAGACUUUGGAUUACUACCUGCAAAACCCAUAUUCUAUUUUCAUUUUGUUUACUAUUUACUGCUGUAAUUCCUCUGCGUUUCUCAGUUUCUAGGUCAAGUUUCCUCCUUUCCAAUCAUAAAUUUUGACCUAUAGAUAAUACGAUUUGGUUGAAUUGUCGUCGCGAGUAAUCUUUAUGUGUGUGUGGCUUUGCUAUUCAUAAUCUUGUUUAAAUUACAUAUGAAUAGUACUUAUGGAAUUUGAUCGCGAUUCGUGAGGCGUGUUGUGUUCUGUUAAAAUUAUUACCGGCUUUGGUACUCGAGAAUUGGCGUAAUCAAUUUUCUUUUCCAUCAUUUCAACUGGUUGCUGGUUUAAGUGCACGUCUUGCUGUAUUCGUGUUGCUUGCAGCCUUACUGUUGUUGUGGCAUUUAUGAACUAAUAUUCGUCUGAGUUUUAUCUGCAAAUUUGGUCAGUAAUCUCGGCAUCCUUCCUCUCUUAAUUAUCGAAAAAAAAAAUUUCAGUGUGCAGAAUGAGGAAUCCCAUGACUGUUGGAAGCUCUUUAUCAUCCAAAUUAUUGUCUUGAUUUACGAAUUUGAAAUCUGAUUUUAUGAGAUCGAAUUGAUUGUGUAUGUCAUAACGAAUUUCAAAUGUAGUUUGCAUUGCUGGUUCGGUUUCUCUGUUUUAUUUUGAUUUGGAGAACUAUAAUUUGACAUUUCAAUGGUCUGAUUGGGUUAUCCAGGUGUAGAUGCAUUGUUAUAUCCUACAUUGGUACGAUCCCAGUGUGGAUGACCUAUUUGGACGACCACCCUGGUGGAGACGAUGUACUCCUGGAUGCAACUGGUACAUUUAUAAGCUUCCAAUCUCCAUAACUUACUCAACUUAUUAGACUGUGCAAUCAAGAUUUUGCUUCAGUUCAGAUAAUCAUCUCAAACAACAAUGUAGAUGUGUCGUGAUCUGAAUUUAUGAGAUUCGAUUUCAUUAGGAAGAGAUGCCACGAAGAUUUUGAAGAUGCCGGGCACAGCAAAACUGCGAGGGAGGAAAUGGAAGCCUUCUGCAUUGGAGAGCUUGACACCACCUCCUUGGAUAUUCCAGAGCUCGAGAUUUUCUCCAAGAAUCAGCCAACUGAUUAUCCAAAGAAGCUCGUGGACUUGACAAAGCGAUACUGGGCUGUUCCUGCGGCUGUUGUUGGCAUCUCCGUGGUUGUCGCGGUCUUGCACUUGCGCAAGAAGUAACCAUCGGAUACAAUUUGCCCUUGGUAUACGACUUAAAGGGAGAGUUCUUCACAAUUUUGAAUGAUUAGGAGAAAACAGCAACUGAGAGAACUGCCCCAUUUUUAUCUAGAUUUUCAUGAUUAUAUUAUUAUUACAAACUAUAUGGAGAUUGUAUGUCAUUGAAGUUAGGGGAAACCCAUGGCUUCUGUGUUUGUGAGUCUCCAUUGUUGAAAGAUGGAAAAUUACACUAAAAUGUGCUUUAUUGAAUGUUUAGUGUCCUUUUAGUGAUAAGAGCUUUUACUUUGAUUGAAGUUAAAACUUGGCGCUAUAUUUUUAGCAAAGUUGUCGAUAAUACAUGUACGUACUUGAUUGAAGUUGAAAACACUAAACCAUUUAGCAAAGUUGCCAACUAAAGUAUAUUGUAGAAUAAUACACGUACAUUUGAUCGAGGUUAUUUUUUUGGUUUUUUGAUACAAUUAUAUUUUUUACAACAAAGUGUGAGGAAUAAAUUAGUUUUGAACUUAUCACUCACGUCAUUUAAACUUAAAACCUUGUUUACAACUUAUAAGUAAAUAGGAAUAAUUUAGAUUGUACUAUACAAUAAGACGAUGACAAGACAAUAAUACUUAAGUGAUACAUAUUUUGCUUGAAGUUCAAAUACACUAAAAUGUGAAUCAACUAAAAAUUUAAACAGAAGCUUUAAGGGAAAAGAUCUUUGCUUUUAUAAAAAAAAAAAAAAAAAAAAAAAAGGAAAUUAAAUUGUAGAGCCUAAAUAACAUCGAACUUCAACGAUCUGAGUUCUACACGUCCUGAAGUUUAAAAAGCAAAACGAAGGUAUUAUAGAAUACCUUAUAUUCUCAAAGCACAGCAAUACACAAACAAACAAACAACAACAACUUCCGCCGGGUUCGAACCCAUGACCUAUUGGAUUCGUAAAUCGCUCAAACCCCACAACGUACAUGGGUACUGGGG